rnacentral:lncRNA from 1 species
CAUCUUUUCCGACAUGGCUGCUUCUUCAAUCUUCAUGGCAACUCCCAUCACACUCCUCAAGAAAACUCCCACCUUCUCCGUCAAAUGUAUGUCACAAACACCUCAAAGCGGUGAACCGGGGGUUUCAAAACCAGCAACCACCCCAACACCACCACAGAUCAACAUUCCUCCUCCUCCGCCACCUGCUCCAAAGGUCAGCACGAAGUUCUCUGACGUGUUGGCGUUUAGUGGACCUGCACCGGAGAGGAUCAACGGAAGGUUAGCCAUGAUAGGGUUUGUGUCGGCGAUGGCUGUGGAACUGAGCAGCGGUCAAGACGUGUUCACCCAGAUCGGCAACGGCGGUGUUGCGGUGUUUGUCGGGACAAGUGUGGUGUUGACGUUGGCGUCGUUGGUGCCGUUGUUUAAAGGAGUGAGCGUGCAGUCGAAGUCGAGUGGACUGAUGACAUCAGAUGCAGAGCUUUGGAAUGGGCGGGUUGCGAUGUUGGGUCUGGUGGCUUUGGCUUUUACUGAAUAUGUUAAAGGCAGUGCCCUUGUCUAGAUAAUGUAUCAUAAACUUUUCUAUUACAGAAUUACAUCUAAGAUAGACAAAUGUAUAUUGUUUUGAAUAUUUAUGUUUAUCGAUUUACCAUACAUAGUUCAAAUCAUAAAAAGCAUGUUUUUUGAUAAUAUAGUAUAAAACAAAUAUAAUAUCAAUCAAAUUGAACGAUGUUGUGGUAUCUUUCAAUAUAAAAUUCUCUUUAUAAAAAUAAACAAACAACGUACUAAGAUAAAUUUUAGAGGAAUGAACUUAGAUUAGCAAUAUAAGAGUCAAAGUCUACAAAUUAAGGUAUUGAAAUCCUAGUUUCACAACUUCCUCUUUGAAUGUUGAACUGAGGUGAUCUUCAUUAAUUCAGACUGAAUAAGUGACUUAGUCCAGCCUAGUCAAUUAGCUAAUUUAAGAUGACAAGUAUCCAAAAUUCAAAAACAUUAUAGAGCUCAAUUUCAAACAAAAGUGACAAAUGACUAAUGCUCACAAAACGAUCACCGAAUCAUUCAAAGCAUUUACUAAAAGCCAGUCUAAUUCUUAUUGGUUUGAAAUCUAAUUUUAUCAUCAACUGUAUACAAGAUUGAGAUUGAUAUCAGAGUAAUAAUCUCUAAAAGCAAAAUAAUGUAUUCAAAAGAAUAUAUAUACAAAAUGAAUUAUGUCCCAAGCAGUACUGUGCAUGAGUAUAAGAUUACUAUUAUGUUGGGAUCCAUUAAUUGAUAACUAAGCACACUUCCAAAUUUACUAUAUGGAAUUUAGUUAAGGAUUAAUGUCAAGUGGGGUGCAUCCACCCCACUCAAAGGCCUUGUAUAUGUUACGGUCCCAAGUGAUAUUUUAUAAGGGUCUUUUUGUAGUUUUUCUUUUCCUAAUAUAUUAACAUUUUUUUUUGAUAUUUUUGGAACUUUUUAUUUUCUGAGAAAAGUAUACAAAAUAAUGUAUAUACAAGCUUACUUGAAGAUAUGAUCGUUUAUGAGGUUAUUCAAGACUUAUUCUCUUGAAGUAUCUAUUCCUAGCUAGAUAUGAACAAAUGUGUUUGCAUUUAUCCUUUUUUGCCCUUUGUCAAUUCUUGACUAAUAAGGUAAUGGUAGUUCUUGGUGAGGGAUUCACCUCUGUAUUGAUUCUUCAUUCUAUUUAAAUGUUUGGAUUCACCUCUGUAUUGAUUCUUCAUUCUAUUUAAAUGUUUGGAUUCACCUCUGUAUUGAUUCUUCAUUCUAUUUAAAUGUUUGGAUUCACCUCUGUAUUGAUUCUUCAUUCUAUUUAAAUGUUUGGAUUCAACAAUGUCUAGUUGAGUAGUUCUUUAAAAGCACAUUCUACCAUAUGCAUCUUUAUGUCAAUAUUAAUUGGGGAUUCCAUAAACUGAAACUCUUGGAGCUCAAUAGUGUAGUUGAAAAACUUUUGUUGAGCCCACCACUUACAUGAAAUAGGAGACUUUUUUCAAUAAACUAAGUGGUUCCUUCUUUAUGGAUCAUCUUUUCGUUUCUCCUUUUGAAAGGUCCCCUGGUGAUACUUUUAUGUGUUAAUGAAACUCAGUCCUUAUGGCAUGCUUUUUGGAUAUGAUAGUACGUGACUAUCAAGAGCUUAUUUCUACUCAGUAUAGUCAUACUCUCAUAAGUCUCUCAAGAUUUUACACUCAGAAGCAUCGUUAGAUUGUAUGGCUACCUACCUUGUACUAUAAGCAUGUUUAUUAACAUUUAGGGAUUUAUUUAGAAGGAUAUCAUUUUUCAUAUUUUUUGUCUAACACCAGAUCUUUUUUCUCAGCUCAAUUGUUUCAAGUAAAACUAAGUGUCUUCUUGAUUCGACAACAAACCAUUGGUCAUCUUUCCGAUUUCAAGUAUUUUGCAUAUCCUCUCAAAACUUCUUUAUUUUUUAACACAAAUUCAAAAACUAUUAGGUAUCGGGAUUUUAAGGCUUCUUUAUUUUCACCCUCAAUUAGAUUCAUAUUUUUCAUUGCCUUGCAGAUUUCCUUUUUAGUUUGAGUCUAUUUAUCACGAGCCUGAAGUCAUUUUCUUCCCCUACCCUUGUUAGUUUUGGCUAUUGCUAGUGCACGUACUUCAUUGGCUAAAUGAGAAGACACCUCGAUAAUGGUGGAUGACUUGGUGAAAUUUAUAGGUUGUUCCUUAGGCUAUCCAAAGUGGAGGUAGAAGAAGACGCAUGAUGCUGAAUGGACAUCCAAGUCAUGCGUGAACACUGCCCGAUGGCUUGGCUAUGGAGUCUCCAUGAAGACGAUGCAUUCGAUUGGUUUAGAAUCUGGUCCCUCAUAUUUUCUCUCCUCCUUUUUGUCCCUUCACUACCAACCCACCGGUAAACACCAUUUCCACAACCUAAUGGGUUGAUUGUGGAAUGGUAAACUACCUAUGUGGCGCUGAGUUAGAAGGUGUUUUGGAUAUAACCACUCCCCACAACCUUAGCAUUAGAACAUCCUGAUGCUCCACAUGAACUAAGAACAUCACUUAAUCUUCAUUAAAUACUUUGGGGUUGUACUCAUAAAGUAAAAUAUCUCCCCCCUUAGACAUAUCAUCAUUUUCCUCAUCUGAUGACCAAGGAAUUUGUGGAGAUAUAUGUGACUUUGGAUUAAAGGGGGUUAUAUUGGUCAUCCUUUUUAGACAACUUUUUAAAUUAAUCAAUCCAAGCUCCUAUACCGACGACAUUUUCUGGAAUCUCUUUAGAUGGGGAUGAUGGUUCAUUAAGCGACGACAUUUUCUAACCGUGUACCGACGACAAGUCGUCACAGACAAGUCAGGAUAGGUCAAAAAAGUCGUCGGCAUAGGUGUCGUCGGGAUAGGUACCCCAUAUACCGACGACAUGACGUUGGUACAAGUACCGUCUGGAAUGAUUUUCGAGAAAAAAAAUAAAGUUUUAUUAAUUACUUGUGGCGACGACAUGUCGUCGGGACAGGUGCCACCUAUAGCGACGCCAUUUUGUCGCCACAUGUUUUCCACAAAUAUCAAUCAAAUACCUAUAGUGGCGACUAGUCGUUAGGAUAGCCACUGGGUGUUUUUUUUUUUUUUUUUUUUUUUUUUUUUUUUUUUUUUAGUUUUUACAGAUUUUGUACAUUUACCAUUCGUGCAUUUUUAACAAAUCCAAACAUUUUGCAGCAUAUAUCAAAUAAGAUACAAUAACUGGGUACCAUUGUUUAAAUUCAAAACAUCAAAUUCAAGUUUAAUAUUACAUACCGAAUUAGAUAAAAUAAGUAGUUAACAUUGUUCAAAAUAACACAAAACAUAAACAUCAUUAUAUUCUUUUUUUUUUCUUCUUCUUCUUCUUCCAUCCUCUCGGGUUCACAUUUUGUUGAGAGGUAUUUCCUUGUGAUGUACUUCCUUCUGUGUUGGAAUUGAAUAGAAAACUAGCAAACGGUGGUGGUUGUGUAACAUCCCAAAAAUUUUAACAAAUAUGAACUUUUCAAAACAACCCAUUUAUUAACAAAAGUGUUUACAAAAACAUGAUUUAAAAUUAGAGUCUCCCAAGAUCCACUUUGUUCUAAAACCGAGGAUGCGUACGGUCACGCCUUUGCCUUGCCAUGAAUCAUUUGAAGAAACUGAAACCAUAAACAAAUCGUAAGCAAGAAUCUUAGUGAGUUCCUCCAAAAUACCACCGCACAAACAGAUAGCACAUAAAUAACGACAACAUGUACUAGGUCCACAACUAAAAGACUGGAUUACCCCUGAGCCUAUAAUAUGAAUCUGGCUUGCCUAUUGGGCCCACAACUCAUAUCUGGUUUGCUCUUGAGCCCACAACAUAAGUCAGACUUGCCCCUGGGGCUCACAACUUAUGUCAGGCUUGCUCCCAACUCAAUCAGUCAUCGGACUAGAAUACCAAUGUUCAGCCCUGUGACAACCUGAAAUUUCCAUUCUGAACAAACCAUAUCAAUCCAAUAGAAGUUAGAACAGUUACAAUGAAAUUCCAGACUUUGGGCAUAAGUUUGACAGUUUUUCAGGAUUUACACUUAAGGAGAUAUCAGGAGAGUGGAUGCACUAGGGUUUUGUGCAACACUGUUAUUCCAAAACUCUAGGAUAUUAGGGUUCAAUUCCGGAAUAAAAAUAUUUUCUGCCAAAAAUCUCAGGACUAUAUAUAGAAAUCUGAGCCAUAUUCAUUCAUUAGUUACAUUUCCAACUAGAGAAAAGCCAAAUUCUCUCUCACGGAUCUUCAGGUUUUUAUCCCAAAUCGUGAGUACUUCUAUCUAGUUGUAUUAUAUAGCUUAGAUUGUUUUUUAUAACAUCAAAAUCGGAUCAAAACCCCAAGAUUUGGGAGUUUACCGCCCAAGAACACUUGGAGAGUAAACUCCUUUUUAAGGGCCAAAAGUGUGCCCAAUGUCCCUCAAAGCCUUGGGAAUGAACCUAGAAGCUACCAUUACAUGUUUAAGACCACAAAACAAUUAAGAAUCAUGGCUAGAAGUGAGUUCACGGCCAAGGAAGUUCUUCGUCCGUGAACUCCAUUUUUAUGUGCCAAAAUGCCCUAAAAGCCUUCCUUAAGCCAAGAGACUAAUUUAGACAUGUACCUAGAUGAGUUUAGGACUAGCAAACACCUUUAGAACACCAAGAGUAAGGUGUUCACGGCCCAAGAAGUUCUAGGGUCGUGAACUCCAAACAAUGGUGCCAAAUGGUGCUAUAAACUCUCCUAAAGCCUUGGACAAUUUCCUUGCUUCAUUCUUAGAUAAAUUAGGGACUUGAAAACACCACAAACACCCUCCUAAGGGAGAUUACGGCCGUAAUCUCCAUGGGAUAUGGUCCAUGGCGCGUGAACUCCUCAAAGGAGUUAAAAGGAAGCCCAAACACUUGUUUAAGCCUAGAAGCACUUCACCACUUAAGUUGUAAUAAUGUUAGGCUUCAUUUAGUGACCCUAUAGAGAGUUUACGGCCAAGAGUUUACUCCCCUAGGCCGUAAACUCCAACACAUAUGGUCUUUUGACCAUAAACUCCCAUAAGAGGUCUUGCACUCCUUUGUUGCAACCCAUUAGCCUCCUAGCACUUGACCAAAGUGUUUUCCUCACAUUAGGAUGUUUAUACAUGUUUAAUUAGUGUUAUAAUCACUAAUUGUUUAUAUACAUAUGUCUUCAUAUGUAAUUAGGACCAUUGUGUGUGUCUAAAGUCUUCACUUGACACCUAGCAGUCCUACCUCUUCAGUUCAUCCGUAUCACCCACAACAGGUGAGUUUAUACCUNGGGGAUACAAGUAGAAUUAUGCUAAUUAUUAUAUCAAUCACAGGUGAUUAAUAAGCAGCAUUCAAAUGAUUAGCUACUCAUUAGCCGUUUUACCAAACCGUUUCCUUCAAAUGUUUUUCAUAAACACCUUAUGUGUUUAAAACUCCUUAUUACACUGUACCUUUUAUUCUGUAUGUUUCAAUUCAAACUUAUUUACAAUUGUGUUUCAAACAAAUGUUUCUUUAUACUAAACUAUUUUGUCAAACCCAUGCCUUCAAAACCGUUUUAUAGAUUGACAUCAAGUCGAUCUUUUCUUAGAUAAUAAUUAUGUUCAAAGGUUUUACAAAACUUAUUUUAUGUUUUUAUAUUAUAAAUUGGAUGCCUAUAUAUGCAUAGUUAUAUAAUAAAUGUUGAAAGGACUUAGGAAGGCUAUCCACCCUAUUUCCUUUUCCUCGAUUUGGAUGUGGUCUGGUGGGAUAUCAGGUACCCGUCCGAAGGUUGUUUAAAUAUUAAUUAUAUAUCAUGUGUACGUAUAUAGUCAUAAAAGUCCUUCCAGCUCAGCCAAUGCCCUUGGGUAGCAAGGGUAUAUUUAACAUCCCCCUCUUGCACGUAUCACAAUAUUAUCCGCUUUGGGCCACUCGGCACGAGGACUUCCCAGGGGGUCACCCGUCCUGGUACUACUCCCGCCCGAGCACGCUUAACUACAGAGUUCUUAUGGGAUUUGCUGCCCUCACGGCUUUAAAACGCGUUGUGCUAGGGAAUGUAUCCACACCCCUUAUAAGGAAUGCUUAGAUCUCCUUCCCAGCCGAUGUGGGAUCAGAUCUAACCCACUUUCACCCCCCAUUAUAGGGUUCGACGUCCCCGUCGAACACAUCGACCCAUGCCCUGGCUCUGAUACCAAUUGUGACAUCCCCUAAUUUCUCGGCCAGAAAAUACCGAUUUAAUUUAUGCUUUUUAAAAUAAAAUCAGAGAAAUCUUUUUAAAAGAUGUUGCGGAAUUGGUCCCCAAACAACAUAUGAUAAAAGUUUAUCAAAAUCCUUCAUUAAGAAGGUAUAUAUUUUCCAUAUAUAUCAAAACCUCGGGAUUUCAUGUUCCGAUACAGAUCAAAAGCAUAAACAAGACAUUAUAAGCCUUUCAACAGUUAUUUACAACUACUGGCCUAUAAUCCAAAAAUUCUCUCGUCGUCCUCCGACUAUGCUCAGGGUCCACUACCUGUAAUCAUAAAAACUGAGUGGGUCAGGCUUGGGAGUCUGGUGAGCAUAUAGGGGUUUCAACCCACAAUAAUAAUAUACUUAUUAAGUUCACCAAUCAACAAUAACCCUGAUUACCCAUUCCCGUUGUCCUCACUUUACGUCCCUAAACACCUAUCACAAGGGACCUAGCCUAAGGAUUAUCAUCGGGAUGGACACUACUGCUAAGGGGUUUCCUCAGCCAUACAUGUCCUUAAGGCAACCAUGAGGGGGAUGAAGUACGCCAAUGAACAUUUAAUUCAUCAACACCUACAAGUUGCGAACCUGCUAGUGUUCGACUGGACUAUCUAGAAAGUCUGUGGUCGUCAUCUAUACUCCGCUAGAUGACUACAACAACAACAACAACAACAUCGAGGCCUCUCACCUUUUUAACACACAUCAACUAUUUCAUCUACCCAUGUUCUACCCAACAUAUUUUGUAGAUAAAAAGAAUAUACAGUUUGAAACUUGUAUAAAACAUCAAAUCAAUAGUCACCUUAGUUAAACAAUUACUAUAUUUACACAUAACACGUAUUUCAAGGUAAAUACUUCAUAUCUAUGUGUAAAUUGAAAGUAACUACACACUCACAUAUUUUGAUGAACAUCGGGCAACAAUUCAUUUCCUAAAACGAUCGUUUCUAAUAAAACCGGGAGUUUUAUUGAGAAACUGGGCUCUGCAAAAGUCGGGGUUUGAAACCGAAAAGAUAAAUUUUCCGGGCUUCACGGGCACUUCGUGGAGUAUUCCGGGCUUUACAAUCGAUACCGGGGCUUUGCGGGAUGUUAAGAUGAAGAAAAUAUGGGUUUAGGGGUUAAAUAUGGCAAAAUUUCAAAGUUACCUGGGAGGUCUCGCACCCUUCUAUUUAUAGGGGCGAGGCUUCUGAUCCAACGGAUAGAAAGAGGACACGCGUCGCAGAUCCGAAGGCUCGCAGGGAAGCCUCGCACGUGGCUGCGCAUGGCUCGCACCUGUGAGGGGCUCGCUGGCAGCUUGUGAUUGGACCGAGGUCUAGGGUCCGAAGUAGAGGGUUCGUGGCAUGUUGCGAGGGCUCGGUCUCGUGCAUGAGGGUACGUGUCACCUUCUCAGUGGACCACUUCGGAUAAGGCCAUGUGCUCGGAUGACUCAGCAGCUCGGGUGACUCAACAGCUCGGAUGACUCAGCAGGACACAUGGCACUUUUUCAGCGAGGGUGACGUGGCAACUCGUGACUAUGCGAAUUUUCUCGAUUUUCGCGCCAAAACUUCUAAAAUCCAUAACUUUCGCAUACGAGCUCCGUUUUUGACGUUCUUUAUAUGCACGCGUAGCUAAAAUUACGCUCUACAACUUCCGUUUAGACUUCGUCGGCUAAUUUUGAAUUUAAAUUUUAUAUUAUUAUUUUUAACAGACCGGGACAGGAAAUCCGUUAAAAAUUCAUAACUUCUUCAUCCGACGUCCGUUUUCAUCAGAAUUUUUACCGUUGUGCUCCUAAUGACGAGACCUUCAAUUCUCGUUUAGGUUGUGUCGGCUAAAAAUCGCUCGAUCUAAAAUUCGAGUUUUUUAGCUGUCUACUGCUAAGCUGAAACUUCGAAAAAUCAUAACUUCCUCAUACGAAGUCAGAUUUGGGCGUUCCUUUUAUCGAACUUCUCAGUUUAACGACUACUACGACUUUCAUUUAGAUUACUAAGGCUAAAAAGUAGUUUAUCGAAAACUCACUUUUUACAACAUUCAGCACCGUGCCGGUUUUGUCGCGAAACUUCGACAUGUCAUAACUUCUUCGUUAUAACUCGGAUUUUGGUAUUCUUUAUAUCCCCGAAAUCCUUGUUUCGACCACUACAAAUUUAUGUAAAGAUAUCGGGCUUAUCUCCCACUUUAAUUUUGACGCUUAUUUUUAUUCUUAACUAAUUAAGCCCUAAUAAUUAAGCAUAAAACACAUAAUUCAUAUAAUAUUCACAUAAUUCCUUUUCAUUUCUUCAAAAUGAGUUACAAAGGUUAACCUAGACUAUCAACUCAAUAUAAAUGCCUAGGAUAGAAACAUGAGUGUUACAAAUUGUAUCAAGACAUGUUAUAUGGACGUGUUGAACUUCCGUGUCCAUUUCUCCUUCUGCUGUUUGUUCUUCUAAAGAAUGAGGAAAGAUAUCCAAGUCUAGCAUAUGCAGAGAACUAGCAACAAGUAGAUCUAAGUCGUCCAAGUUGUUGGCAAUUUCGACUGGACUCGUCGGGUCUAGGAAAGUGACUCGGUGAGUCAGAUCAUAUUUCACCAUUUCCACUGUGUUUUCCGAGUCGGCUCCUUCCAGUAGCUUUUCUAUCUCCUCCAAGUCCUUGUUAACAUCUCCAUCCUCUCCAGAAGGUAGCAAAAGCUUGCUUGGAUCUUCUUCUUGCAAAAGUGCAAGUUCUUUUUGUAGUAUCUCAUCAUCCAAAUCGAUAAAUGAGAUAUCUUCUUUUCCUUCCUCUUCUUGCUUGGCUUCUGGUAAAGCUCUAAAUAUUGCUGACUCGUCUCCUACCCUUAAUGUUAGUGUAGACUCGCAUACAUCAAUUAAAGCACAUGCGGUGUUUAAAAAUGACCUCCCCAAAAUAAUCGGAAUUUCGGGGUCUUCUUCCAUAUCAAGCACCACAAAGUCUACUGGAAAUAUGAACUUGUCGAUUUUAAUAAGAAGAUCCUCACAAACGCCUCUUGGAUGAAUUGUUGUCUUGUCUGCCAAAUGGAUCUUCAUGUUUACCGGCCUUGGCUCCGAUAAAUUCAGUUUCUUGAAGAAAGAGAAAGACAUUAGGUUAAUGCUUGCACCUGAGUCGGUCAACGCUUGAGUGACAAAUGCAUUUCCAAAUUGGCACGGAAUUAUGAUACUCCCCGGAUCGCCCUUCUUUUCGAGUAACUCACUCAAUAUUAUUUCCGUGACUUCAGCCAAAUAUUUCCUAGCAGCAAAGAGACCCUUUAGUAAGUUGAAGUACUUGGGUGUUUUAAGCAUCGUUUCUACAAAUGGCACAUUGACUUGUAGGGAUUUAACAUGCUCCAUAAAAGCUCAAUAAGCUUCAACUUUUUCAACUGGCAUGGCUUUGAUUGGGAAUGGCAAAGGGGGAUUAUAUGGCUUUAAGGGAAUGACGGUUUUGUCAUUAACGCAUGGACUCGUCGAGUCCAUUAGAGGGACUCGGCGAGUCUUGUCGGGCUUAGCUGGAGCCGACUCUUCUGCCUUUUCUGUCUUCCUAUUGGAGAUCCUCUGUGCAUGUGUGAAAAUUUCUUCAUUGCUGGAAGUUACUGCACUCACAUUCUCCAUUCUCGGAUUGUUUUCGGUGUUACUUGGAAGUUGACCCGGUCUUCUUUCGUUCACUUGAUGUGAAAGUUGUCCCAGCUGUUUCUCAAUGUUGAGAAUGGAUGCCUGCUCAUUCCUUAGCAUAUUUCUGGUCUCGUGUAUUGCAGCAUCGUGAUCAUUGUGUCUCUUUUCGGACACGGCUAUGAAUCUAGUGAACAAUUCUUCUAAAUCGGCUUUCUUUUCCAUUACCGGUUCUUCCUUUUGAUAAAAUACCCUCUCCUUCUGCUUGUAUUUCUCCUCCUUAUCCUUCUUGUAUUCUUCGUAUGGGAGCCAUUCCUUCUUCGGUUUCCCCCAAUUCUCGUCGUAUCUAUCGCCACUUGAGUAGAACACUUGAGCCUUCUUGUUUCCAUUUUCAUCCAAAUCACAAUCCUUUGUGAGAUGGGGCCCUCUACAAUUCUCACAUCCAACAUGAAUAGCAUGGAUUGUUUGAUCCAUUUUUGUCAUCCUUCUAUCUAGACUAUCGAGCUUAGCUAUCAUCGCCGCCAUGCUAUCAUUUGCCGAGUUCACUACCCCCCGACUUACUUCAUUUAUUGGAUUGUGGUAUUCUCUAGAAUGCUUAGAGAAUUCUUCAAUUAACUCCUUGAUUACCGGGGGCGCCUUCUUCGUGAGCGGGCCUUGUGAAUCGAGCAAUUGCCUUGUGGUGACAUUGACUCCAUCAUAGAAAAUGGAGACCUCUUGUUGGAUAUUGAGGUCAUGGUGUGGGCAAUUUCUAAGCAAGCUCUUGUACCUUUCCCAAGCUUCAUAAAGAGAUUCUCCGGGUUGUUGCUCGAAGUUGGCAAUGGCUUUCUUUAGUUUAGCUAUUUUGGAGGGCGGGCAAAAGUGGUCUAUGAACUCUUCUUUCAUCUUGGCCCAUGUGGUGACCGAUCCGGGAGGAAGUGACUUGAGCCAAUCCUUUGCAUCACCCUUGAACGUGACUGGAAGCAUGCGAAGUAGUUGGGUCUCGCGAGGCAUAUUUGGUACAUUGAAGUAGUCAGCCACAUCAUUUACUUCAUCCAAGUGCUUGUAGGCGUCUUCGUGGUCCUUCCCAUAAAAAGGAAUCUCCUUGAGUUGAGCGAGAAUAUGGCCUUUUAGUUCGAACGUAGUGGUUGCGGGAAUUGCGGGUUGCACAAGUCCCGAGCCGGUGUCAUCGCGCAUCCUUUUCUUCCAUUACCCCAUGGGGACUUCAUCGAUAUUAGCCAUAGCGAUAGCUAAAUCGUCUUCAAACUCGGAUUCUUGCUCGUAUGUGGGUUCUUCUUCUUCCUCGGUCUCGUACUCGAUGUCUUCUUGAAUUGGGUCUCUGAUUGUCAAAGAGGCACUGGAUGCUCCUGAUUUGCUGCUCCUUGUCUUGCUGAAAACGGACUUGAGGUUUUUGAGUGGUAAGUUCUUUGAAGAAGCGGAUUCUCCAACGGUUUUGCCUUUGCUCCUCCUUAGUGCGGAUUCCGGGUCUUCAAGAGGAGGGACCAGAGGUGUAUCAGAUCCUCAGGUCAUGAAACAACUGUAAACAAAACAAAAAACGCGUAAAAAGAACAAAAAAUAAAUAAAAAUUAAAACUGUGAAUCAGCGAUGUACUCGCCGAGUCGGCACGAGUGCACUAGGCGAGUCUGGUCAAAACAUAGAAAAAUUUUUCUAGUUACUUUAAAAACGGAUUUUUAUUAAAACUUAUACUACUUACUAAAUUACCUUUUAAAUAACUUUGUGUAAGAUAAAUCCCACACAAAUGAUCGAUUAAAUUAGAAUUUAACGUUAAUUUUAGAACCGUUCCCCAGCAACGGCGCCAAAAACUUGAUGUGUGCAAACUCACUUAGUUUUAAACCUACUUUUAAUUUUAAAAUAAACACACAAAGGCAGUGGACCUAUCAAUUGUGGUAUAGUUAAAUAAGUAGGGUAUCGAACACAGGGAACGGCAAAUUAAAACUAAAAACUAAUUCUAUCUAAAUUAAUUAAUAAGUAGGAGGUUUUCUCUAGUUUUUCAAGACUAGAAACUUACUAACUAUUACUUAUUCUAAAACUUAGAAAAACAAAGAAUUAACUAGAUUCAAUAAUGGGAAGGAACUUCUGUUUAGUUCAACUCAAUUGAUCCUAUGGUUGAUAUCAAGGUAAUGGUGCAAUGGAUUAACUCUUUUGUUGGUUACCGAUUCAAGUGAUUAGAUUUGCGUUCACUACACUAAUCCUUAGCAAAUAAACUAACUUAAACAGUGGCCAGUUGUCUAAUUUAAUUAAAUUCACUAGAUUAAUUAUUCGGGUUAAUUUAGACUUGCAAUAGUUAACUAAUUUGGUCCUUUAAUUAACUUNUUUGUUGAUGGUCAUCACAAGCUCACACAUGAAUUUACUCAAUUUUCUUAUUAAUUCUAGUUUCAUGUUCAUUAAUCCUAGACAUAUGACAAAGUGGUCACAUAGCAUAUGAGGUUGAUAAUCAAUAGAUGUUCAUGCUAUUCAAUUACCUUCCUAUUAAUAGAAAAUUAAUUAUCAUUCACACACAAGGUUCUUUAGCAAGCUAAAAUAACAAAAAUCACUAACUUUAAAUUAAUCCUACCAAUAAUCAAACCAUAGUAUCAAUUUUGUAUCCCCAAACAGAAGUUUAAGAGUUUUAGCUCAUGAUUGAAGUAAAUUACAGCAAACAAACAGAUUUUAAUUGUUUAACCAUUAUGAAAAAUAAAAAAUUAAGUAGAAUGAUGAAAUUUGCCUCAAAUCUCCUUCGGAAUUGGAUUCUAGCUUGUAUCUUCGUCCUCUAGGUUUUUUCUGACUCUUCAAUCGCAGCUAACCUCUCCAGAAUCGUUCCAGAAUUCCUCCCCAUCGUUCUCAGAAGUUAUCUUUAUAUAUGCAAAACGACUCGUCGAGUCAGAUGCCGACUCGUCGAGCCCAUCUCUAAGUCCCCGUAUGCGAUAAGUCUCUAGGUCUCCGAGUCUUUAUCUUCUCGAAUAUUCGCUUGGGCUCGCCGAGUAGUUGACCCUACUCACCGAGUAUGUGUUGUUUUUAGUGUUUUUCUUCUUUGUUCGAUUCCCGAGCUCUCAACCGCUUCUCCUGCUUCCUUUUGCUUCCGAGCUUCACUUUUGGACUGAAAACAUAAUUCAAACACUUUUAAGUACCUUUUGUCCAUGAAAUGCAAUAAUUUAGCUAAUAAAUGAAUAAAAAUCUACACUUAAUAUGAACUAAAUAUGCACAUAUCACUUUCCUUAGAUUCAUAGUCUCUCCAACCAAAAUUCCUAGAUAAUUGAAUGGGAUGGAUGAAGGUUCACAUCCAAGAGGAGCUGCCCAAUUUAUUACUUCCAUGUGGGUAGCUCCUAUCCCAUACACCUUCGAUUUCCUAAAGUUCACCUUUAGCCCCGAUGAUACACAGAAGCACCUUAAUAUCCGGGCCAAGUUUGCAAUAUUUCGCCUUGACCAUUAGCCUAUAAACAGUGUGUCAUCUGCAUAGAAUAAAUGAGACAAACAUUGAUUAGAUUGUGAAAAUUUGAUGCCUUCGAAGAUUCCUUUUUCCACAACUGUCUUCAUCGCCUGAUUUAAUCCUUCAAUCACAAUGAUAAAAAGAAAUGGGGAGAGUGGAUCUCCCUGUCUGACACCUUUUGACAUAGAGAACUCCUUGGUCGGACUGUCGUUGAUCGACUGGGAAGGAGAACUAAGCAUUCCUUAUAAGGGGUGUGGAUACCUUCCCUAUCACAACGCGUUUGAAAACCGUGAGGGAAGCAGAUCCCAUAGGAACUCUGCAGUUAAGCGUGCUUGGGCGCGAGUAGUACCAGGAUGGGUGACCCCCUGGGAAGUCCUCGUGCCGAGUGGCCCAAGACGAACAAUAUUGUGAUACGUGCCAGAGGGGAAUGUUACAAAUGGUAUCAGAGCCAGCGCACAGUUCGAUGUGUUCGACGAGGACGUCGAACCCUAUAAUGGGGGGUGAAAGUGGGUUAGAUUUGAUCCCACAUCGGCUGGGAAGGAGAACUAAGCAUUCCUUAUAAGGGGUGUGGAUACCUUCCCUAUCACAACGCGUUUUAAAGCCGUGAGGGCAGCAGAUCCCAUAAGAACUCUGCAGUUAAGCGUGCUCGGGCGGGAGUAGUACCAGGAUGGGUGACCCCCUGGGAAGUCCUCGUGCCGAGUGGCCCAAGGCGGAAAAUAUUGUGAUAUGUGCCAGAGGGGGAUGUUACAGUAUAUAGCCAUGUUCAUACGUACCAGUUAAAUUACUAGUAAGCUAUUGACUAUCCUACACCUUGCUGCUUGCUACAGCCGGACGUCAUUUCUUUCUACAUAUAGAUCAGUUAAGUCUUGGUAGAAGACUCCCUGUUAUAGUAGUAGGAAUCAUAGGGAUUUCUAGAGUUUUUCAAACGUUUACAGUUGUUUUACAUACAUUUUCAAUACUUACGAUUUACAUACAUUUUCAAUACUUACAAAUUCUUACAUACAAAUUCUUACAUACAAAUUAAGACACUAAAAUACUUAUGAUCUCACCAGCUUCAAAGUUGAUACUCGCUUUCAAAAUUACUUGUAUCCUCAGGUCAAACAUAGACAGGUACCGAUGCAAGGUUUAGAGAAGAUGGAGCUCGUUCAAGACUCAUCUUUCAUUUUGAUUUAUGCCUUAGUGUUUAUCAAAAUUUGACAGAACACAGUUGUAUAAUAAUUAUAUUAUUAAUGCAAUGGAUGAUGUUGCUGCUUGUUUACUACUUUUCAUUGUUGUGAUAUUGUACAUGACGUCCUCCGCCCCAGAACGUUUCCGCGGUUCUUGGUUUUGGGGUGUGACAAGCCCUCAGUAAGAGUCUAGCAUACCAACUGGUCCUCAGAUCAUAUCUGGAAUGCUACUAAUCCCCCAGUAUGAGUCUGGCAUGCCCCAUCCGAGACUCAACUCAUAUCUGGAUUUCUCCGAUACCCUCAACCCCUUAGUACGAGUCUGGCAUACCAAUCGGGUCCUCAGCUCGUAUCUUGAAUGCACCUGAGCCCUUAGUAUGCGUAUGGCAUGCCCUAAUCAGCUCUUAGCUCAUAUAUGGAAUGCUCCAGGGUUUGUUGGCUACAGAACGAAGCAGUACAACCUCAACCCAACACAAUAUGUCGACAAAUAACCAACAUAUACAGAUAAUCAUGCACACAUAAUCAUAGGUACUCCUAUAGAUCUACCAUACUAACAUAUCGGCAACUAGCAUACUCAUGCAGAUCUAUUCCAUACUCAGAAUAUUAGUGAAUUGUAGGAUAACAAACCAAUACACCGGCAUUGGUGCCUUCGACUCGUAAAUAUAGUGAGGAAAAAUCACAUCGCACUGCUGAACAUAAAGACGAUCCAUGGUUGAUGGCUGCCAGAUCCCCGAACCGCCAAUAUCAAGACAACACCCCAUCACAGCUGAUCCCAUGAAUAAUUUCUGACUACAGAACCACUAUGAUCCACGUGCUAUCAAAUACUACAAUGACAACCCAUCAAUAGACCUGGCAAUGGAGCGGGUUUGGAGCGAAUCAGCCUUGAUCCAAACCCUUUUAACAAAUUUCAAAAUCCGAUCCAAACCCGCUCCGUAACCCACAGGGUUUUAAAUAAUCAGACCCAUACCUUUAUCCGCCGAAUCAACGAAUAUUCAAGCCCGCCCCAUAACCCAAAGUUUUUUUAAAUAAUCAAACACAUUUUAAUAAACUCCUAAAAUAAAAUUUCUUAAAUAAGAAACUGUAUACUAUAUCUUAAUACUUAAAAUAACAUUUUUUUAAAUAAAAAAAAUUGAUUUAGAAAAGGACAUUACAUACUCGAAGAAUUUCAAUCGGAAUUAAAAAUCACUAUUGCAACAACUUUGAAUUGAUUUAUGACUGUUGGUUGUAGUGAUAGCGAAUUGCAAUUGCCAUCUUUUUUCAUGUUAAAAAUUGAUUUAUUGAAUUAGAAAUGGAUAUGAUGAUUUCUUGAUGCAAAUAAAUUAAAUGACAUUAUGAUUCUUGAUAGAAAUCUAUAAGUUUAGAAUCUGAAUUAUCGAUUCCUAUGUAAAAGCAUUUUUUUUCUUUGGCCUUUGCAUUUUGGACUUUUGAUUGGUAUUAAAAUUAAACGUUAAGAAGUAUAAAAUAUAAAUAUAUAAUUCUAAAUUUAUAUGGGGCGAGUUAUAAAUGGAGCGGAUCGGUGAUGAUCCAUACCUGACCCAUUUAAUAAAAGGGCUAGUGGGAAUGGAUCGUUAACGGGUAAACGAAUCAAAAACUACACUCCAAACCCAUAUAAUUCUUACGAGUUUGGAUCGGAUUAGGGUCAAAACCCACUUCAUUGCCAGGUCUACCCAUCAACCUUUAGCCCCUGACUCACGUUAUGAGUGAAAAUUAGGGUAAAAGACCUUUUUAUCCUUCUUAAGCUUGGCCCGAAGCCAAGGCCCAACUAAAUGGUUAAUGGCCCAAAAUCCAAAAUAGACUUCUAAGGCCCAAAUAUGGCCCAAUUUUCCAAAUUGGGCCCAAUUCCUUUCUUGGGCCUUCAGCUAAGAAAGUCCAUCAAAACAAAAGCCCAAACCAUAAAAUCUAGAUGGCCUAACAUGGCCCAAGACAAUCCGAGCCCAAAACCGGAGCCAAAAAUGAAGGCCCAAUAGUACCGCAUACGCGGGGAGUACUCCAAAGGCACACUUAGCGUACAUGAGGCUGCGUAGAAUCCACCAUUGGGGUGGCAGAUUGGGUAUGCGGGGCGUACACCUCCCUACGCGGGGCGUACCCUCUUAAAACUCAAUUUCUUCAUAACUGCUUAAUGGCUUAGCAUUUGAGCUCAUACUUCAGAUCCAAGGUCCAGAGCCAUACUAUGGCCAUAAAAUUCCCAACUUUAUGAAUUUCCACGUCCAAAAAGUCCUUAAUGAAAGGUCUUAAUGGAUUAAUACUUUCUACAAGAAGUAUGGAGAAAAACUAGCUAAGGUGAUCUCACUUUUAUGGCUUAGAACCCCUCUUAGGGUCUGAAAGGACAGCCCAAAAUGACCAAAACCAAACAUGCAUAACAAUGGGACUUUUGGGACAAAAAGAACAUCAUAAUGCUACCAAAAUGAGAUCCAAGCAAACAAAGCAUAAAGGUAGAAACUUUUUACCUUCUGGAGCUUCCCAAGAAGAUGAUGAUCCAAGAUCCACAAGCUUGCUUCAACUACUAAUCUCCUUGAUGCAACUCCUUCUUCCUUAAGAACACAAAGAACACACUUUUAGCUCAAAACACUCUCUUAUUGGGUUAGGGUUGCCAAAAAUGACUCAAGGGUGUGGAGGCUGAAAAGAUGAGGCUAAAUGAUCUAUAAAGGUGAUUAAAUACCCCACAAACCCUAAAACUUAGGGUUUUUUCUAACAAGAGUACACCCAUCGUACAUAUGAGUACGCCCAACAUACUAGGGUACACCCUAGUAUGCUUAGCGUAUGCACAUGUACGCUUAGCGUACCACUCCUUCUCCCAAAAUUACGAUUUUUCCAAUAGGGCUUCUUGCGACCACUUCCUUCCAAAACAAGGACCAAAAUGGUAUACUCUAAAGCCAAGAGAUGAAUUUGAAAAUGCCUGAAAACUGGGGCAUUACAGGUUGGGAGUUCGGAAUACAUGUCGCCAAUGAUGCAUUAUAUUGUUGCAAGUAUUCUUGCAUUUGUUGUGCAUUAGAUUGGGAUUGAGAUUGGAAAGAUGUGGAAGUUGAAGCACAUUUAUUUGGAAUUAGACCGAAGUUGGUGACUGGUCUCCUACCCACUACGCGAGCCUGCCCUUGUCUCGUCCUGAGGGCACGUGCAAGCCAUUCUUCCUCAUCUACUUCUUCACCUUACCCGACCCCGCUUUGCAUUUUCUCGUAUUUAUCUUGAAUCUUCUUCUAAAAUAAACAAGAUAAUAAACAUACGAUAAUUAAAACAAACAACUAAACUUAAACAUUAAAAUAAUAAUAAUAUACCUUAGACAUAAACUAUAAUUAAUAAUAAUAACAUAUUUAACUAACGUAUUAAUUUCGCUUAUGACUUACCUAAUCUUGUUGUGCUCGACUUGUACACCAACCCUAGCCUUCUUUGUAGCGCAUUUGUCUCCAACCCUCAAUAUGUUGCGGCUUCAGUCCUAGUUUUUCCUGUAAUAUGUAAAAAACAAUAAAUAUAUUUAUACGAGUGAUAGUAACAUUUUUAAAUAAUACUAAUAUACUUUAUUACUUUUAAAUGACGUCGUUGAGCAUACGACCUACAUCCAUGAGAACUUGUGUCCGGAAGUUUAAUUCGACCUAGUAACUUUAUUUUUGGCCGAUGUGUGUAUAUAUUCAUCAGUAAAAAACAACAUGCCAAUCGUCUUAUUCUAAGCUUUGGCAGACCAAUCAAUCUGUGGAUGUUUUUUUGUCCUUUCCACAUCCGCAUAUCCACCAGCUUUUUCAAAAUGAUUUUCCAUGUCAUGCUUGCAAUCUCGAUAAGCUUUUUGCAUACUAUCUUGGGUACCCGCUCGAACGGGUUCCCACAACUCUGUGCCCUAGUGCAUAUCGGGAUCAAAAUAAGUCUGCAAAAAAUACAUAUUUGAUUAGUAAUAAGAAAUAUUUAAUAAGUGUAAAAUUCAAUACAUAUAAAAUAUUUUGUAUAUACUUACUUCUAGCUCGAGAUAUAAAUUAUCUUCGUACUUGGUAGAAACAUGGCGCCAAGAAUGAUAAUGCAACAGUACCUCUGAUCCCACCAGAUUUGAGAUCAAUCUAACAAAUAAGUGUCUGUUGUCCCGCACGAAUCGAUACGUCCUCCUGGAGGUAUCAAGGCUCACAACCAAAGGAUUACUACCUUUAUCUUCAUACUCAUCGUACAAUUUUAAGUUUCUCCAUCUGCCAUGUACAUUCACAUUCUUCACUUUUGUUACAUUUACACAUAGAAUUGGAAAUUUAGAAAUUUAAAUCCAAUACUUAAUAUUUUCAUGUAACUUACAUGAUUGGCAACCCGAUGGUAAACCAUGUGUGACCAUGUGUGGGGCUCUAUCACCACUGUCUCCUCCAUGUUACCUCAUGACUUCUGCCAUUUAUUUAACAAAUAUUAUAAACAUUCAAAAUCUAUAAUAAAGCUACUUAUAAAUAGGCAAAAUUUAAAAACUUAACACAUAUUAUAAACAAUCAGGAUAUAUAAUAACCGUAACAUACCAUCAAUGAGAAUCAUCACUAGAACAAUAUAACAUCAUCAUCGUUAUCAUAGUCUUUGUUAUUUAUUUCUUCUUCUGAAGAGUACGUAUCCCCACCAUCAUCGUCAUCGUUAAUUGUCACACCCCUGAACCAGACGACGGAAACGUCUGGGGGCUCGUGUGACUAACAAUUGAAUUAUCAUCACAAUGAAUAUACAUGAAACAUUACACAUUCAUCACCAACAUUACAUAUUACAACCAGCAUUGUUCACAGCAAGUACAUUGUUAAAGAUUACAUAAAUUCAAAGUAUUAAUAGUAAGAUAGGUGAUGUUACACAAAAUAAAUCGAUACACUUGAAAAUCUUCCUGCUUAACGAUUACCUGAGAAUACCAGUUAUUUUGAAAAACGGUCAACAUAUAUAAUGUUGGUGAGUUCAUAAGUAUGUGUGAAUAAAAGUCUUUGCAUCUUUUGUAAAAACCUAGAAAAUCUGAUAUUUUCUGUAAAAUGUCUUAAAAUGAUGUGAAAAUCAAGUAUAAAUGCAUGUGUGAAUUUCAUAGCAAUAACAUAUAUGAUUUCAGUUUAAAUUUCUUUGUAUUUUAAGUAAGUGAUAAAUGAAUAAUAGUAUUUCCCUAGAAAAUCUGAGUAUUUCCUGAUUUAUAAUAAUGUCGAGGUUCUUGUAUCAUUAAUUAAGUUGUUUCGUAUUGACACAAUCGAAGGGUUAAUCUUCGAAAUGUCAAAUUGGUAUUGGAUCUCUAUAUGAGCAGUUAUAACCAUGUAUGAUAAUGACUAGGUUGUCUUUCUUGGCAUUUUCCAAACGUCGGUAUUUGCUCAAGGUUUUGUCGCCCAAGACUGGCCUAGUCUAGUUGUAGCGAACAACUAAGGCGUGGGGGGUCACCCCAUAUAGAUCUAUACACAAACUCCCGCUCUCCCUCCAGGAAACUCUGGUUAUAACUACAGACUACGAUUGUACACUCAGAGGUGUCAACCGACAUGUCUCACUAGAUUCUCAACUUUUCAUACCAUGUUUAAUGUUUACGUGAAUGUUGUAUGUUUUCAAAUCCAAAGGUAUAUAUAUAAGUAUACGAACUUUAGGGCUGGCAAUUGUUGACACGAUACGCGACACGACAUGAAAUAAAUGGGUUUGGGUUGAGUUUUUCAACCCGCCAACCCGCUAACCCGUCAACCCACCAACCCGUUUAUUAAACGGGUCAUAUAUGGGUUUCUCAAAAAAUAAACGGGUUGACCCGCCAACCCGUUUAUAUUCUUAAUAAAAAAAUUAUUAUAUUUUUAAAUGUAUUUAUGUAUCAAGUAUUAAUAUUUAAUAUGUAUUAUAUAAUAUAUACCAUUUAUUCAUAGACCAUUUGAUUGUUUUGACAUUAUUACUCGUGGUGGAUGGUCUAAGGUCAUAAGUCGUAACCUAUAAGACUAAGUCUGUAACAUGUUUCUAUGAAUGUUUUUAAUUUUCAUUUGGAUGUUUAAGACUUAAAUAUCUAAAAUUUAGACCCACGAACCCAAAUCUGACCCACGAACCCGCCAACUUGUCAACCCGUAUAAAUAAAUGGGUUGGUGGGUCAUAUAUAGGUUUAAGUUCCAAACCCGCCAACCCGUGACCUGUAUAUUUAAAUGGGUCGUCAUUGGGUUGGCAUAUUUUGACCCGCCAACCCGCCAACCCGCGACACGCCAACUCGAACACAACACGAUUGCCACGCCUAACGAACUUCAAGAAUUAUGUAAAGGUAUAGUUACAAUCUACUAAGCAUGUGAAUUUCAGUCCAAGCCCAACUAGCAUGUAAAUGGACCACAAAGGUCCAAUGACAUGUAAGAAGGUAAUUUAGACCCAAUAGGCAUGUAAGUGGACCACCAAGGCCCAACAAACAUGUAACCUAUAGCUCAGGCCCAAAUUAACAUGUAAAUGGGUCGCAAGGCCCAAUAAACAGGUCAUUGAAAAUAUUGGGCUCAAUAUAUACUUGAAUGGGCCCUUAAGGCCCAUUGGCCAUGUAAUGUGAAUAUUAGGUCCAAUAAAAUUAUUAUCGAUGUAUUUCGUCAAUUCGUUAUUAUUUCAUGGUUUGCUUUAGCUCGAUGUUUACCGAAUUAAAUAUAAAAGUCCCCUUUUUGUAUAAACGACGUUCUUGGCCAAUAAGACUAAAAUUUUGAAUUAAGGCCCAAAGUUUUGUAAAAAUUAACACUUUAGUCCAUAAUGUAUAAAAAUUUGUAAUUUUGCCCCAAAUGUUUAGAAAUUUACGGAUCUAGUCCAAAAAAUUAUAUUUUGACAUUUAUGGCCCAGUUUCGCAGAAUAUUACAUUUUCAGACCCUUGUUUGUAAAAAUGACACUUUUGACCCAGUUUUUAUAAAAGUUACAUUUUUGGUCCAAUUUAGAAAUAUAUGUUAUUUUUACCCCUAAAUUUGGUUUAUUUACAUUUAUGACUAAAACUUUGGUCAAAUAACAUUUUUAAUCCCAAAACUUCCAUUUUUUCGCAAAUUUGGCCCCAAAACCGUGAGGCCCAAAUAUUCAGCCCAUUAGGCUAAAAUUUACGUUUUUGGCCCUUUGGAAAGCAUGUUUAUCAUAAAAAUCCCUUUUUAUACAAACAGGACCUGUUUGGUCCUUUAAAAACCGUAAAUGUCACUUUUUUCCCUUAUCUUUUGUUUUCUUGACAGUUUUGACCCUUAACAAGGUUUUUGCUUUAAAUUUUUGUAUCUUAAACAUAUAAACACUUUUAACUUGAUAAUAUGAUGUAUAAGGUGUUUUAGUGUUGGAUUAAUGUCUAAGUUUAUAACUAUAAUUGGUAAGACUUGACCCGAUCCGGCAUGGUCCAUUUGGGUUGCAUGGCAUCAUGCACUUGGAUAGACUAUAAUGAGAGAAAUAAGACACUUAUGGUUAUUAAUAUAUUAUAAGUUCUAGUAUAUUAAUAAUAAGAAUAAUAAGAUUAUUUAAUUAGUAUUGAUCAAGAAUUAAUCUAGGAUUAAUUAAGUGAUCAAAAGAAGACUAAUUAAAUAUAUGGGUUGAUUGUGUAAAUCAUCCAUACUUAUAUAGUGGGCUAAUGCUCCAUGGAUAAUCAAGUUGGGCUAAAACCCAUAGGAUGGUCCAUGGAUGCUCCAUGGUGUAUUUGAACCCAUGGAUCCAAGGAAAUGGAAAGUCAUGACAAUUAGGGUUUACCCUAAUUGUAACACUAUAUAAAGAUCUUAUUAUUGACCAAAAUCGGCCACUAGAAUCAUUCUAGAGAAGGGCUAGCCGAUUUCAUGUAGUGUAGAUUUCUCUCAAGUUAUUCCAAGUGUAUUUGGUGUUGUGUGAACCAUUUGAGGUGUCACACUUGGGGCACUAGACACUCAAGCUUCAUGAAGACUUUCUACAUCAAAGAAGUAUGUAUUCUAUCUUGUUACAUUCAUUGUUUUGUAUGCUAGAUUAGGAUAAUACCUUGGAAGUUCUUAUUUGCAUGUAUAAUAGAGAAAACAUAGAUCCAAGGUAUUUAGGGUUGCAUGUACACUUAGGAGUGUUAGAAUGCUCAAAACCCAACAGUGGUAUCAGAGCCUAGGCUUGUUUUCUUGUUAUACUUGCAAAAGAAGCUGAAAAAUCGAGUUUUGAUGCUGUCUGCCCAGCAGACUCGCCGAGUCCAUGAAUGGACUCGCCGAGUCCAAGGCAAAAUGCAUCCAACUCGCCGAGUUGGUUCGUGCACUCGACGAGUUGGACCCCCAGACAGCAUAAAUUCGACUUUUUUGGCUGGAAUUGGACUAGGAACAUUACCCUAAGAUGUUUUUGGACUUAUAAACUUGUUUUUGAUGUGGUAAUGUUCAUGCUAAUCCAAUUUCAAAGAUAAUUGUCAAUAGAUUCAUGUUUUGUAUUAGUUUAAGGUUUAGACUAAUUACAUGAAAAAGUUUGAUUUGAAUUAUCUUGUUCUUAUGAGUUGCUUAGAUUAAUAGAAAAGUUGAGUGAAAUAGUUGUUUUCAAUCCAAAUUAAUCUAAGAGUUGAUUCUAAAAUGUGUUUUUGUAACUUGUCCUCAAGUUAUAUGAAAAGUCACAUUUAAGUUUCAUAAAACUCAUAAAAGUUGGCAAAGGUUACAAAAUGAAGAGUCUAGUUCUAAUUAAAUGGUUUUAUGACUCCAUAACUUGUCCUCAAGUUAUGGAGGACCAAGAGUCUCUUCAUUAAAUAAUAAAUAAAAAAAAAAAGUAACCUUAAUUAAUUCCAUAAGUUAUAAAAUAAAGAAAAGUUAAUUCUUUUAUUAGUUUAAAGUCUUCCAUAACUUGUCCUCAAGUUAUGGAACUUGAAGAGUUUUUGGAUUAAAACUACUUUAAACACAUAAGUUAUGGAAUUAAUUAGUUUUGAAUAGUUUCAAAACUUGCCCUCAAGUUUUGGAAUUUGAAAAGUUUUCACUUAUGAAUACUUUAAUUCCAAGUUAGCCCUUAGAAUUUUAAAAGUUAAAAUUCAACCCUUAUACUUUAUAAUAUUAUAAGUUAAUAAUAUAUAUAUGUAUAAGAGUAAAGUCAGUCUUACCGCUAGUACGCCUCAUUCACGAAGCCGGUCUAUAAGGUGGGUAUAAGGUUGUUGCCUAUAAAAUGGCAACUUAAUGGGUGUCCACUCUCACCCACCGCUUGCUUGACUGGUGGAGGGUCGUUAGCCGAACGGGUUUGACAGGACUAGAAUUCUCCCUUCAUUAAAAGUAUUAAUGAUAAUACUAAGUAACUAAACUCUUAAUAAUACCCAAUCUUAGUUACUUAGGAAAAAUGUGAAUAAGGUGCUAAUCCAUGAAAUUACACUUUGCACUUUGUUUAAGUCGGUUAGUGGAGCGUGUGUGGUUAACCGGCACACUAACUCGUAUUUAACAAGGUAGGCAAAGGGUAACUUAAUGUUUAUCAUAGUAUCGAUGGAGCGUGUGUGGUUAACCGGCACAUCGAUUGAGGGGUAAACACUUAAGGGUACCAAGUAAUUUGCAUGGUUACUUCACACCUUGUUUUGUGAUCCUCGGCAUCCCAGUCACAAAACCUGAAGGGCACACUCGAGAUUGAAACAUGCCAUUGAACAGUUCAAUGAAUCUCAAAGAUCUAGGAGUUUCAAAACCAAUUAAAACCUAAUAAUACAUUUCGUUUAUCUUGGUGGAAAUUGGUGAAUCGUCAUUCACCUACCUUCAAAUAUUUUAUAGCUUGGAUUACGGCAUACCUCUUCUAAGUUAUAAAAUAGUUUGUUGGGUCCUAGCCUUAAUAUUUCAUAUUGGGUGUCAUAUUAAGGACUUUAAAUCAACUAUCUUGAAUAUCUCCCAAAAGAUGUCUGGUUUAGACACCUAUGAUCUUCCCAAAUCUCUUGAAACAAGGUUUCCUAAUGAAGAUGAUGUCCCAUGGAUAUCAUACUUCUUCACCUCUUCAAAUUAUUCUCCCUAACCCACAAGUUCUUGAAAAGUUUAAGGUCACUCAGGCCCUAUUGGCAAGGCAAGGUCUAGGUGUGAUCACAUCUUGGAGAUGUAGUCACAUAUUGACAAGCCGGGAGAGUUGGGUGUCAAAGUCUUGAGAAAGUUGGUGGUUCAAUCACUUUCUAAGUCACAUAGUGAGUUCCUUUGGGACACCUAUGAAACAGACUAUGACAAGACCCUUAAUGAUCUUAUCUAUUUGAUAAGAUCAACUUCCUAAAACUUUAUGGACAUUGACAAUGAUAACAUUGGAUAUCUAGUAAAGCUCUCUCUUCCCAGUGGAAAGGGAUCAGCCAUAGUCAACUGGGUUGACCAAAAUGGUAAAGAGAAAAGCUAAGUCUGUGAUAGUCCCGUGUACCAUUAUCAAAGGGUCCAUAUGUUUAUAUUGCCAAAGGAAGGGGGAUUGGUUGCGAAGCUGCCAAAUUUACCUAAAGAUGUUAAAGUCAAUAAGUUUGACUCUACUUCAUGUAAAGUCCACUAUCUAACUCUGUUAAGUUUCUAUUCUGAGAUUCCUGAUACAUGAUGUGACUGGGUCACAUGGUGAUGUUUUAAGAAUCGGAGCAUAUCCUCGAGUGUCUGGAUGGUGCACUCACUCUGACCAUCCGUCUGUGGGUGGUAGGCAGUGCUCAUAUCUAGCUGUGUUCCCAUUGCCUUCUGAAGAUAUUGCCAGAAACUUGAAGUGAAUCUGCUAUAUCGAUUUGAGAUAAUAGAUAUUGGCACUCCAUGGAGUCUCACAACCUCCUUGAUGUAGAUUCGGGUCAGCUUUUCCAUCUUGUAAGAUUCUUUUAUUGGUAGGAAAUGAGCGGAUUUUGUUAAUCUAUCCACGAUUACCCAAAUAGCAUCCAAUCCGUCUGCUAUCUUUGGCAAUUUUGUCACAAAGUCCAUGGUAAUCCUCUCCGAUUUCCACUUGGGUAUCACUGGUUGUUGCAGUAGUCCCGAGGGCUUUUGGUAUUCCACUUUCACUUUGGCACAAGUAAAACACUUGCCCACGAAAGUGGCUAUCUCUGCCUUCAUAUUAGGCCACCAAUAUUGUUGCUUGAUAUCCAAAUACACCUUAUCUGACGCCGGAUGAAUAGAAUAUCGCGUCUUGUGGGCUUCAUGCAUGACUACUUCUUUGAAUCCCUUAAAUUUGGGAACCCAGAUUCUAUUCAUGAAGUAGUGAGUUCCAUCGUCUUUAACUUCGAGCACCUUCUCCAUUCCACGUAGUGAGUCACUAGCGACAUUCUCUGGCUUCAAUGGUUCCAAUUGGUCUUCCUUGAUCUGUGAGGCUAGAUGAGAUUGGAUGGUGAUUGAUAGAGUUUUCACACGACGACUUGAAUACUCCUUUUGGAUCAAGGCAUCGGCUACCACGUUAGCCUUGCCUGGAUGAUAUUUGAUCUCACACUCAUAAUCAUUUAACAGCUCAACCCAUCUCCACUGCCUCAUGUUUAGUUCCUUUUGAUUUAGAAUGUGCUGGAGGCUCUUGUGGUCUGUAAAGAUGGUGCACUUGGUACCAUAUAGGUAGUGCCUCCAAAUUUUCAAGGAGAAGACCACCUCCCCCAAUUCGAGAUGUUGAGUAGUAUAAUUUACUUCAUGUGUUUUCAAUUUUCUAGAUGCAUAUGCAAUUACCUUCCCGCGUUGCAUAAGGACACAACCUAAACCAUGAUUCGAAGCAUCAUAGUAAAUUAUGAAGUCUUUAAUUCCCUUCGGUAAGGAUAACAAUGGAGCACUACAGAGGGCUUGCUUCAAGGUUUGGAAGGCGAUCUCUUGCUUCUCAGUCCAGUUGAAAGGUACGCCUUUCUGUGUCAAUGUGGUGAGGGGUUUGGCUAUCUUAGAAAAGUUCUGAAUGAAUCUUCGGUAGUAGCCCACAAGACCCAAAAAUUGGCGAAUUUAUGUUGGCGUUGUUGGAAUUUCCCAGUUUUUGAUUGCUUUGAUCUUUGAAAGAUCCAUGUGUAUUCCUUCCUAACUAACUACAUGGCUUGGAAAGUUUACACUGCGGAGCCAGAACUCACACUUGGAGAGUUUCGUAUACAACUUUUCAGCUCGAAGGGUCUUCAAGAUCUGUUGGAGAUGUUGACUAUGCUCUUCUUUGCUUCGAGAGUAUAUGAGGAUAUCAUCGAUGAAAACGAUCAGGAAUUUGUCAAGGAAUGGGCGGAAGACUCGAUUCAUGAGGUCCAUAAAUGCAGUGGGGGCAUUUGUUAGACCGAAGGGCAUCACGACGAAUUCGUAAUAACCGUAACGGGUUUGGAAAGCAGACUUAGGAAUGUCCUCAUCUCGGACCUUGAGUUGAUGAUAACUGGAUCUUAGAUCUAUCUUUGAAAAGUAACUAGCCCCUUGAAGCUGGUCAAAUAGAUCAUCGAUUCGUGGAAGUGGAUACCGGUUUUUGAUGGUGAGCUUAUUUAGUUCCCUAUAAUCAAUGCACAUCCUGAAGGAUUCGUCUUUCUUUUUAACGAAAAGAAUCGGAGCUCCCCAUGGAGAGAAGCUUGGUCUUAUGAAUCCUUUAUUCAAGAGUUCACUUAGUUGGCUUGACAAUUCAUGCAUUUCAGCGGGAGCCAACCUAUAGGGUGAUUUGGCUAUUGAAGUGGCUCUAGGCACUAGGUCGAUUCAGAAUUCGAUUUGUCGUUCUGGGGGUAUUCCUGGAAGCUCUUCUAGAAACACAUCCGGGAAGUCACAUGCCACUGGGAUGUUUUGAAUGUUCGCUUCCUCUUUGGUAUUAUCCACCACAUGAGCAAGGAAUGUGUAGUUCUUCUUUUGUAGACACUUUUGUGCCUUGAUACACGAGAUAAGGUAAAGGUUUGCACCGGGUUUAUCUCCGUAGAUUAUUAGGGUUUCGUGAUUAGAAAGAUGAAAGUGAAUGACCUUCUCGUGACACAUAAUAUCGGCAUGAUGGGGGCUUAACCAAUCCAUGCCGAUGAUGACAUCAAAACUCCUAAUAUUUACUGGCAUCAAAUUUAUUUGGAAAAAGUGGUUGUUUAGUGUUAACGUACAUCCUAUAUAGAUAUCUUUGGUUGUUUCAGUGUUCCCAUUAUCCAUUUCCACCGUGAAGGAUUCGUUGAGCUUCUGGGGUUGUUGAUUUAGAAAGUAUUUGAAUUUAUUACUAACGAAACUUCGCUCCGCCCCACUAUCAAAUAAGAUGCAUGCAUACGAGUUGUUAAGUAGGAACGUACCGAUGAUAACAGCUGGGUCCUACACUGCUUCAUCCUAACCCAUUGUCAACACUCUCCCUGCUGCUCCUGCCCCUUGAUUGUUUGCGUUGGGGAAAUUUCUCCUGAAAUUCCCGGUUUUCCCACAUACGUAACAGGUAUAAUUGGCCCCAACAUUGGUGUUGUUGUUAUUGUUGUUGUUGUUGGUGUUGUUGUUGUUGUUGUUUUUUGGCAUCUGGUUUUGUUGAAGCUGAGUCCUGCAAUACUUUGUUGUAUGGCGUUUCUGGUUGAACCUUGCGCAAAUCAUCUCUCUGUAUUCCCCAUGAUGGUGGAAGUUGCAUUUGUUACACUUGGCGAGAUUUCCUGAAUACUGCUUUGGAGCAUUUGGCGUGGAUGAGGCUGGAGCAUGGGGUGUGGUGGUAGCUUGAGUUACAGCAUGGACAGUCACAGUUUGUUGCUUCUUAGAUGAUUCUGAGUUAUGUUUUCCAUUUCUCUUGUUGUUUAUCCCUUUCUUUCUCUCUUCUUCCUUCUUAACCUCCGCUUCCACUGUUUUGGCACGCUUCUUAUUUCCAUGAUCAUACGAUUUCUUGUCCAGUCUCUUGGCGCUAUCAAACAUCUCAGGGUUUUGCUGCAAUAACAUUCCCUUAGAUAGGUGCAGUCAAUCCCUAGAUAAACCUAUCAAUCUUUUUCCCUUCUAAGGUGAUCAUUCCGGGACACAAAAGAGAUAGCUCACUAAACCUAGAUAUGUAUGCGGUUAUAUUGGAGUUUUGAACUGUGAGGUUCCACAACUCUUGUUCCAUCUUCUGAAUUUCACCUCCAAGACAGUAUUCUGCCAACAUCAUUUCCUUAAGCUCUUCCCAGAGCAUCGCGUUCGCUACCGGGAGUGUCAUGGCCUCUACAUGCCCAUUCCACCAGGAGAUGGCUUGAUCAAUGAAUUUGCAGGUUGCGAACAUGACCUUACACUCAUCUGGGCACCCACAGAUUUCAAAAAUGGAUUCUACUUUCUCGAUCCAUCGCUUCAGGGCUAUUACGCCUCCUGUCCCAUUAAAGGUUCGAGGUUUGGCAUUGGUGAAGUCCUUGUAGGUGCAUGUUCGUGUGGCUCCAUGGAUUGUUCCUUGAUUUGUGCUUCCGUUUCCCUGUCGGUUGCCUUCUCUAUUGUUUCCAUUGCGAAUCUGCACAAGUGUUGUAGUGACCGCAACAGACAAUGUUGCCUGGAAUGCAACCGAGAUUAUUUUCGGCGGGUUUGGUGUUGCGUUGUUUCCACGAUUGGGCCUUUGAGGCAUCUUUCUGUCAUGGAACGGAAAGAUGUAGAGUGACUAUUGUUUUGCGAGUUUGGAAUCCCCUAGGCUAGGUGUAUCGAGUGUGUAUUUAAGUAAUUUCAUACAUUAACAUAAAAUAGGGAAGUAAAACACAUAGCAGAUGACAACAUCAUGAUAAAACGUAAAGCAUUUUCAUUAAUACUAAUUGUUUUGAUACAUGAACAUUUGCCAGAAGGCAUACAGUACAUAGGGAAAUAUAAAAUAUGGCAGCAUUACAACCCUAUGAGCAGUGUGAUCACUUAAACAUAGAGUCGAUAGUACAUAGCAUAGUACACAUAAGGGAAACCUAAUAGUAUUAAGAGAUACUACUGGUCCUGAUCAUACUGAGAAGUGCCUAAUGGUGGUGGUGAAAUCAUAUCCCAAAAUGUUAUGCUAAUAACUGAUCCAUCUCGGUCAUCUCUCCGAUGACCUCAUCUUUUUCCUACUCAGUUUGCAUGGCUCGUGCCUCCAUAGCAAAUAGUUGUUGUCGAAGUGUGGCAACCUCCGCUUCCAGAGACCGAUCCUCAUCAACGGGGUUCCCUAGUGGACCAGGGUGGUCCUGGUGUGCCUCAUUGGUAGGUGGUUCGACGGGGGCUUCAUUUUUGUCCCCAUCCUCCUCCAUGUCUUCGUCAGUCCUAUCAAACUCAUAGUCUGUAUUAGUGUACUCGUCGGGCCCAAUGGUAGGGGCUCCUCCUUGUUCCUCCUCGGGAUUCUCCUCAAGCAUCCCAUGUGCCACUAGGGAUUGAUAAAAAUGGACUCCUUGCUGAGCGUCGUCCAUGGUGACUGCAUGAGGGCGUAUGAAUAAGUCAUGUUUUGAUUAUUCCUAUAGUAUAUUUUACUUAUUUAGGUUUGGUUUCCCUAGAGUUGUUGGAGAGUGAGGUAGGCUUUUGGAUUCAUUUCCCGCUAUGAUUACUCCCAAACACAAUUUGGUCAUAUUCUGAAUAAAUAUAGUUGAUCAGGCUAUAUUUAUCCCUAAUAGGACUACAUAACUGCCCAUGUUUAAUUAUAAUGUUCAAUAUCCUCCAAAAGCUUUUAUUAAAUAUUGUUAGGUUAUUAUCCUAAUAUGCGCAUAUAAGUAUGAAAUUUUUGUUUUGUUCACAGUUAUUUAGUCCCAUUGUGUUUAUAGUUGCAUAUCAUGUAUGGUUAGAUAUGCUAGUUCACUAUAAACAUUGCUUUGAUACCAACCUGUCACACCCCCGACCCAGACGGUGGAAACGUCUAGGGGCUCCUGUGACUAACAAUUGAAUUAUCAUCACAAUGGAUAUACAUGAAACAUAACACAUUCAUCACUAACAUUACAUAUUACAACCAGCAUUGUUCACAUCAAGUACAUUGUUAAAGAUUACAUAAAUUCAAAGUAUUAAUAGUAAGAUAGGUGAUGUGACACAAAAUAAAUCCAUACACACUUGAAAAUCUUCCUGCUUAACAAUUACCUGAGAAUACAAGUUAUUUUGAAAAAUGGUCAACAUAUAUAAUGUUGGUGAGUUCAUAAGUAUGUUUGAAUAAAAGUCUUUGCAUCUUUUGUAAAAACCCAGAAAAUCCGAUAUUUUCUGUAAAAUGUCUGAAAAUGAUGUGAAAAUCAAGUAUAAAUUCAUGUGUGAAUUUCAUAGCAGUAACAUAUAUGAUUUCAGUUUAAAUUUCUUUGUAUUGUAAGUAAGUGAUAAUUGAAUAAUAGUCUUUACCCAGAAAAUCCGAUAUUUCCUGAUUUAUAAUAAUGUCAAGGUUCUUGUAUCAUUAAUUAAGUUGUUUCGUAUUGACAAAAUCGAAGGGUUAAUCUUCGAAAUGUUAAAUUGGUAUUGGAUCUCUAUAUGAGUUGUUAUAACCAUGCAUGAUAAUGACUAGGUUGGCUGUCUUGGCAUUUUCCAAACGCCUGUAUUUGCUCAAGGUUUUGUCACCCUAGACUGGCCUAGUCUAGUUGUAGCCAACAACUAAGGCGUGGGGGGUCACCCCAUAUAGAUCUAUACACAAACUCCCGCUCUCCCUCCAGGAAACUCUGGUUAUAACUACAGACUACGAUUGUACACUCAGAGGUGUCAACCGACAUGUCUCACUAGAUUCUCAACUUUUCAUACCAUGUUUAAUGUUUACGUGAAUGUUGUAUGUUUUCAAAUCCAAAGGUAUAUAUAUAAGUAUACGAACUUUAGGGCUGGCAAUUGUUGACACGAUACGCGACACGACAUGAAAUAAAUGGGUUUGGGUUGAGUUUUUCAACCCGCCAACCCGCUAACCCGUCAACCCACCAACCCGUUUAUUAAACGGGUCAUAUAUGGGUUUCUCAAAAAAUAAACGGGUUGACCCGCCAANUGUAAGUGGACCACCAAGGCCCAACAAACAUGUAACCUAUAGCUCAGGCCCAAAUUAACAUGUAAAUGGGUCGCAAGGCCCAAUAAACAGGUCAUGGAAAAUAUUGGGCUCAAUAUAUACUUGAAUGGGCCCUUAAGGCCCAUUGGCCAUGUAAUGUGAAUAUUAGGUCCAAUAAAAUUGCUAUCAAUGUAUUUCGUCAAUUCGUUAUUAUUUUGUGGUUUGCUUUAGCUCGAUGUUUACCGAAUUAAAUAUAAAAGUCCUCUUUUUGUAUAAACGACGUUCUUGGCCAAGAAGCCUAAAAUUUUGAAUUAAGGCCCAAAGUUUUGUAAAAAUUAACACUUUAGUCCAUAAUUUAUAAAAAUUUGUAAUUUCGCCCCAAAUGUUUAGAAAUUUACGGAUCUAGUCCAAAAAAUUAUAUUUUGAUAUUUAUGGCCCAGUUUCGUAGAAUAUUACACUUUCAGACUCUUGUUUGUAAAAAUGACACUUUUGACCCAAUUUUUAUAAAAGUUACAUUUUUGGUCCAAUUUAGAAAUAUAUGUUAUUUUUUCCCCUAAAUAUGGUUUAUUUACAUUUAUGACUCAAACUUUGGUCAAAUAACAUUUUUAAUCCCAAAACUUCCAUUUUUUUGCAAAUUUGGGCCCAAAACCGUGAGGCCCAAAUAUUCAGCCCAUUAAGCUAAAACUUACGUUUUUGGCCCUUUGGAAAGCAUGUUUAUCAUAAAAAUCCCUUUAUAUACAAGUAGAACCUGUUUGGUCCUUUAAAAACCACUUUUUGCCCUUAUCUUUUGUUUUCUUGACAAUUUUGACUCUUAACAACGUUUUUGCUUUAAAUUUUUGUAUCUUAAACAUAUAAACACUUUUAACUUGAUAAUAUGAUGUAUAAGGUGUCUUAGUUCAUGGGUUUUUUACUUAAUGUUGCUUAAGAUGUCGAGACAUGCUAAGAUCUAACAUAUUUUUUACAAAAUAGACUAAGAAAUCACACACGACAUGCAUAUAACACAUAGAUCUACACAUUUUACUUGUAUUCUCCCCCAAAACUAAUAUGAAAACCAAAAACAAGGGGGUAAGAACUCACCUUUGCUUCGAUGUUUCGGUUUUGAAGAAGAAAUGGAAGAAGUUGAUGUGAUUUUUUGCUCUAGCAAGCUCCUUGAGUAGAUUUCGAGCUUAAGAAGUUUCCAAGAGUCUGACCAUGGAAUAAAGCUAUGUAACAAGGAAUUUUUUGAUGUUAAAAUAAAAGGAGAUGUUUGUGUUUGAUAACAACUUACCAAAGAUUGAAAAUGCUUGAUGAAGAUCCUUAAAACUCAAGCAAAAUUUUGAGAUCCUUGGAGAAAGGAGGAUGAUCUUUGAGAGUGUUUGGAGAGGAUUUGAAAGAGUGUGUGUGUGUGUGUGUGUGUGGUUUGCCUCUCGGCCGUGAGUAGAAGAAGAAGGGGGAAAGAGAAGAUGUGAUGGAUACUUAGGAGUAUAAGCUUUGUAUUUGCUUAAUGGGUAAUUAGCUUGGAGAACCACCAUGUAAUUAUCAUGUGUCAAUGCAUGGUAAUUCUCUUAUUUUCCUUUUUUUACAUGUAUAUGAAUGUACAUAUCUAAUGGGCCGAGAAAAAGAAAGAAUGGAGGGGCUUUGGCCUCUUUUUGAUUUGGUUCGAGUUUAUGAGGCCCAUAGAAAGAGGCUUUCGGCCCAUUGGGCCUUUAGGUGUGUUCACGGCCCAUUUCGAAAGAAGAAAGGGUGUUUAUGGCCCAUUACGGCUAAUUAAUUCAUUAAUGGCCUAAUAAGGCCCAUUAAGGAUAAACCAAUUUAUUUUGGACCCAAAAUGGCCCAAAAUGCUAAGUUUCACGGAAGUGGGUCCAAUUAGUGCCCAUUUAAGGGUCCUAAGCCCAAAAUAGUUAAAUUGGAACCUCAUUGGUCCAUUAGGCCCAAUAAGGAAAUCCUAGUCCAAUAUGGACUUAAAUCGGGAUUCUUAGGGUUUUCAAACUCUUUGUUGAACAUGAGAGGUGAAUUUAAAUGAGCAUUGCGUGAUAUUUACUUAAAGUAUAUGUUUUACACUAGUUGAAUGAUUACACGAGAAUAGAGUUUUCUAGCAAAAAUGCUAGUUGUGACAUUAAUGAAAUCGUGAUUAUUUAUAGUAGGAGCAACAUUCCUCAUAGCAACCACACUUGAUUUACCAACUUCACCUAAAGUCAUCUGCAUAGGCAAGGUGCUUAAGUUUACAAACAAGGUAAAAUCAGUUGAUCGAGUUUUGUUCACGACAUCUAUCUCAUUAACAACACUGAUACUUGGAUGAUCCUAAAGUUUUGAUGAUGAACCUCUUCCACAAAUAUCCGUUUAUUGUUUUGAGUAUGAUCUUUGAGAUAAAACACUUGUUUAGCUUGUGUGGAUAAGAUGUAUUAUUGAUCAUCAUACCUUCUUUUAUUGACAUACCAUCCAUGACUGGUAUCUAUAACGACCAUAUUAUUUAUAGUCUUUAAACAUCCAUUACGUAAUGACACAUUGAACCAUUUACCACGACAGAGUAAAAUUGAGUUACCAUAUAAAUAAUGCGAAUCUAGGAUCUCCUCUAAUUGUCCAUAGAAUGGUCUACCAUCUUCUUGUUGGAUUAGUGUCUAAUUCCAUAACUAUAUUUGGUAUGUACUUGACCCAAUUGGCAUGGUCCAUUUGGGUUGCAUGACAUCAUGCAUUUGGAUAGACUAAAAUGAGAGAAUAACACUUAAGGUUUAUUAAUAUAUUAUAAGUUCUAAUAUAUUAAUAAGAUUAUUUAAUUAGUAUUGAUCAAGAAUUAAUUUGGAACUAAUUAAGUGAUCAAAUGGAGACUAAUUAAAUAUAUGGGUUGAUUGUGUAAAUCAUCCAUACUUGUAUAGUGGGCUAAUGCCCCAUGGAUUAUCAAGUUGGGCUAAAACCCAUAGGAUGCUCCAUGGUGUGUUUGUACCCAUGGAUCAUGGAAAUGAAAAGCCAUGAAAAUUAGGGUUUACAUGGUGUAACCCUAAUUGUGACACACUAUAUAAGUAUCUUAUUCUUCCCAAAAAAAGAGCUAUAAAGGAAUGGUGAGGGCUAGCCGAUUUCAUGAAGUGUCUAAUUUCUCUCAAGUUAUUCUAAGUGUAUUUGGUGUUGUGUGAACCAUCUGAGGUGUCACACUUGGGGAACUAGGCUCUUAAGCUCCGUGGAAUCAAGCUACACCAAAAGGAAUGUCUUCUAACUUGUAUUAUUCCUCAUGAAUCAAUAUUUUGUAUGCUAGUUAGGAUAAUACCUUGGAAUAUUAAUAUUUGCAUGUAUAAUAGAGAAAACAUAGAUCCAAGAUAUUUAGGGUUGCAUGUACACAUAGGAGUGUUAGAAUGCUCAAAACCAUUCACUUCUCCAAAUUUAACAACACCACUAUUUUUAGUAGUGUGUCAGAGAUCACGAAUACUCACAACAAAACGAACACCGACAAUAUGUAUUAUGUUGGUCAUAGACAAUUCUUGAAUAUGAACCAUAGAUGGAGGGAGAGUCUAUUGUUUGAUGGUCCACCCGAUACAAGACCGUAUCCUAGACGAUUUAGUAAUUUAACUAUAUUAAAGUAAUGUAACGUCUGUGUUUCUGGGCUUGCCAUUUUUAGCAAUGUANNNNNNNNNNNNNNNNNNNNNNNNNNNNNNNNNNNNNNNNNNNNNNNNNNNNNNNNNNNNNNNNNNNNNNNNNNNNNNNNNNNNNNNNNNNNNNNNNNNNGACGAAGGUGGACCGGUAUGCGAAGGGACUCCCAUGGGAGUAUGACGUGCCAGUACGUCAGGCACAUACUUUAGAGGCAGCUAUCUGGGCUACCAAGUCUGUUGAGAACAUGAUAAAGGGGAGAACCACCAACAAGGUUGAGGUUGGUGAGAAGAGGAAGUUUGAGGGAACAUCUGGUUCCGGUAAGAAAAGCAAAUUUUCGAAAUCUGAUUCGAAAAGGUUUGGUGGGGGUAAAGGAGGGGAAGCGAAGUGGUGUGAAAAGUGUAAGAAAAAGCAUUUCGGGAAAUGUAGCGAGGAUGUAACUUGCUACAAGUGUGGAAAGGUUGGACAUUUUGCCAAUGAAUGUCCGAACAACAAAAGGAUGUGUUUUGGUUGUAAUGAAGAGGGGCAUAUUUUGAAAGACUGUCCGAAGAAGAAGGAGGCAGCUAAGCCCAACAUUCCACCAAAGCCGAAGGCGAGAGCCUUCCAGAUGACACUUGAGGCUGCGAAAGAUGAAGCUGAUGUCGCUUCAGGUACCUUUCUCGUAAACGAAUUACCUGCUCAUAUAUUGUUUGAUUCUGGAGCCAACUACUCCUUUAUUUCGCAUGAGUUUGGUAGAAAGCUAGCUUUGCCUAUUGAUAGACUAGAUGAUGCUUUAUUAGUCGAAGUAGCUAGUGGCAAGUUUGUACCUGUUAGUCAUCGUAUGAAAAGCAUCUUAAUUGAUCUGAAUGGGAAUAAGUUUCACGAGGAAUUAUUGCCUAUCGAACUAAAUGGUUUCGACAUCGUGUUGGGAAUGGAUUGGCUUAGCGCCAAUGAUGCCGAAAUUUUGUGCAAGAAGAAGAUAGUUAAAGUAAACCCGCCUGGGAAAGAUUCGUUUAUGGUGUAUGGGGACAAACGCAGAGUGAAUUCUGGAAUCAUUUCUCUAAUGAAAGCCAGAAAGUGUUUGACCAAGGGAUGUACAUCAUAUUUAGCAUUCGUGAUUGAUGCUAAGAAGGAAAAGAAGGUGAUGCAGAGUAUUCCAGUGGUGUGUGAUUAUCCGGAAGUAUUUCCCGAGGAUCUUCCUGGAUUACCACCUGAUAGACAAGUGGAGUUCAGAAUAGACUUGUUACCAGGAACCACGCCAAUAGCAAAAGCACCUUAUCGAUUAGCACCGACGGAGAUGAAGGAGCUGAUGAUGCAACUUCAGGAGUUAUUGGACAAAGGUUUCAUUAGACCUAGUUCAUCGCCCUGGGGAGCUCCGGUGUUAUUUGUAAAGAAGAAAGAUGGAAGUAUGAGAAUGUGCAUCGAUUACAGAGAGCUGAACAAGGCAACAAUAAAGAAUAGAUAUCCGUUGCCGAGGAUUGAUGACCUGUUUGAUCAAUUGCAAGGUUCGAGCUAUUUCUCGAAGAUCGAUCUUAGGUCAGGAUAUCAUCAGCUGAAAGUAAGAGAGCAAGAUAUCGAGAAGACUGCAUUCAGAACUAGAUAUGGACACUACGAGUUCUUGGUUAUGUCGUUUGGACUAACCAAUGCUCCAGCAGCGUUCAUGGAUUUGAUGAAUAGGGUUUGUAAUCCUUUCCUUGAUAAAUCCGUGAUAGUGUUCAUAGACGACAUUCUGAUCUACUCGAAAAGCCAGGAGGAGCAUGGCAGACACUUGCGAGAAGUGUUAGAAGUUUUGAAGAAGGAGAAGCUUUAUGCGAAGUUCUCCAAAUGUGAUUUUUGGAUUCGUGAGGUCCAAUUCUUGGGUCACGUGGUCAACCAAGAAGGGAUAAUGGUUGAUCCAGCGAAGAUCGAAGCUGUGACGAAGUGGGAACAACCGAAAAGUCCCACGGAGAUUCGAAGCUUUUUAGGAUUAGCCGGAUAUUACCGAAGGUUUAUCCAAGGCUUUUCUUCGAUUGCUACUCCAUUAACAGCUUUGACCCACAAAGGAGCUACUUAUGCUUGGAGUGAGAAGCAUAAAGAAGCAUUCGAGAAGUUAAAGAAGAAGCUAUGCGAGGCACCGAUACUUUCUCUACCCGAUGGAGUUGAAGACUUCGCUGUUUAUAGCGAUGCGUCUGGUGUUGGAUUGGGUUGUGUUUUGACCCAAAGAGAAAAGGUGAUAGCAUAUGCGUCUCGACAGCUGAAAGAGCAUGAAAAGAAUUACCCGACUCAUGAUUUGGAGUUGGCAGCGGUAGUUUUCGCUCUGAAAAUAUGGAGGCAUUACCUCUAUGGCACGAAGUGCAAACUUUUCACUGAUCAUAAGAGUCUCCAAUACCUCUUUAAUCAGAAAGAAUUGAAUAUGAGGCAACGACGCUGGCUAGAAUUACUUAAAGACUACGACUGCGAGAUACUUUACCACCCCGGUAAAGCUAAUGUUGUUGCUGAUGCUCUCAGUCGGAAAGUCAAUCUUGAAAGGAAGAGGCCAAGAGCGUUGAGAAUUGAAGUUGUCUCGACUAUUGUGGAAAGUAUAAAGAAAGCUCAAGAGGAAGCUUCUGAGAAAAAUGACCGAAAGGAGGAACGUUUGGGUAAAACGUUGGUGUUUGGUACUAACGGUCAUGGACUGAAGGUAUUCCAAGAUCGUAUUUGGGUACCUAAGUCAGGAGGAAUUAGGGAUCUUCUGAUGGAAGAAGCUCACAAAACCAUGUACUCAAUUCAUCCGGGUAGCACUAAAAUGUAUAGGGACCUGAAACCCUACUACUGGUGGCCGACGAUGAAGCUUGAUGUUGCAAAGUAUGUGGCCGAGUGUGUGACUUGUGCGAGAGUCAAGACACAACAUCAGAAACCUUACGGGAGUUUAGAACCAUUGCCUGUGCCUAUGGGUAAGUGGGAAGACAUUGCUAUGGAUUUUGUCACUAAACUGCCCAGAACAAAGAAUGGUCACGACAUGAUUUGGGUGGUCGUUGAUCGAUUCACUAAGAGUGCGCAUUUCAUAGCGGCCAGGGAGAAAUGGUCUAUGGAAAAGCUUGCGAAUUCUUACGUGAAGGAAAUUGUGAGGCUUCACGGUGUUCCGUUAACGAUUGUAUCGGAUCGUGAUAGCCGUUUCACCUCAAGGUUUUGGAAAAGUCUACAAGAGGAAAUGGGUACCAAGUUAUGUUUAAGCACAGCUUACCAUCCGCAGACUGAUGGUCAGAGUGAAAGAACAAUACAAACACUUGAAGAUAUGCUGAGAGCAUGUACCUUGGAAUUCCUAGGUAAUUGGGAUGAACAUUUACCGUUGGUAGAAUUUUCCUAUAAUAAUAGUUUUCACUCGAGCAUUAAGAUGGCACCUUAUCAAGCUUUGUAUGGACAGAAGUGUCGUACGCCGUCUUGUUGGCUUGAGGCUGGGGAAAAGCAGUUUAUGGGACCGGAGAUGGUUCAUCAAACUGCUGAAAAGUUGAAAAUAAUUAGGGAAAGAAUGUUAGCAGCUCAAGAUCGUCAAAAGAGCUAUGCUGACAAGAAGCGAAGACCGAUGACUUUUGAGGUUGGAGAUUCGGUUUUGCUUAAAGUCUCGCCGUGGAAGGGACUUAUAAGAUUUGGUAAAAGGGGAAAGUUGAGUCCAAGGUUUAUUGGACCGUUUAAAGUCCUUCAGAGGAUUGGGAAUCAAGCUUACAAGCUCGAAUUACCCGAAGAACUGAAUGGAAUUCACAACACCUUUCAUGUGUGUUAUUUGAGGAAGUUCACGGGAGAAGUUCCCGAUAUAAUUCCAAUUUCUGAAUUGAGAAUUGAUGAGAACAAAAGGUUGAUUGAAGAACCAGAGGCAAUUGUUGACCGAAAGACUAAGAAGUUGCGACGCAAAAUGGUUGGGUUAGUGCUUGUCCGAUGGAAACACACGAAUGGGCCGAAUCUCACCUGGGAGACGGAGAGUGACAUGUUGAGUCGCUAUCCGCAUUUGUUUGUUGAUGUGUGAUUCCGGGGACGGAAUCAUUCUAAGGUGGAGAGAAUUGUAACGCCUGUGUUUCCGGGCUUGCCAUUUUUAGCAAUGUAAUAGUCUAGGUUAACCUUUGUAACCCGUUUUGAAAUAAUAAGAUUGUAUUAUUUGAGUAUUAUGUGUUUUGUGCUUAAUUGCUUAAUUAUGUGGUUUGAUUAAUUAAGAAUAAAAAUAAGCGUCAAAAUUUAAGUGUAAAAUAAACUUAAUAUCUUUGGUUAAUGUUGUAGUAGUUGAAACGAGGUUUCCGAAUAUAUAUAGAACGCCCAAAUCUGACUUCGUAUGAGGAAGUUAUGAUUUAUCGAAGUUCCGGCUUAGCGAUAUACAGCCUGUUUUACUCGAUUUGAGAUCGAGCGGUUGUUAGCCGAAGCAAUCUAAAUGAGAAUCGAAGAUCUCAUUGUUGGUAUUGAAACGAUAAAAAGUUAGGCGAGAACGGACGUCAAACGAAGAAGUUAUGAAUUUAUAACGAAAGUUUCUGUCCCGGCCUAUUAAAAAUAAUUAAUAAAAAUAAAGUCAAAAUUAGCCGACGGAGUCUAAACGAAAGUCGUAGAGCGUGGUCUCACCUUCGCGUGGAUAUAAAGAACGUCGAAAACGGAGUUCGUAUGAAGAAGUUAUGAAUUUCCGAAGUUUAUUAAUCAUUUUGUAUUUAUUUUUAAUUCAAAAUUCGGAAGCAUUAUCCGAAGGAGUCACCGAUCUGAUCCGAGGUACGCCCCGCGUACUCGAGUACGCCCCGCGUACUCCGAGGGAUGUCGACACUCGCACUCGAGCACUUCGGAUACGUAAGCAAUGACGUUUUGGGCAGUACGCCCCGCGUAACGCAGUACGCCCCGCGUACUCCGAGGCUCCAGCCUCCUAUAAAUAGGAUGCGAGGGUUCCGGGUAUUUUUGCCAAUUCCCUCUCGUUUUCGUGUCGAAGCUCUGUGCAAAAACCCCCGAAGCUACCCCGAAGUCCCGGUAUCAUACUCUAGCCCCGAGGCAAGUCCCGAGAUCCUGAAGAUCCCGAAAAGUGCGGUUCCCGAGUCGAAGCUCUGCCCGCGAGAAGUUCGAUUUUCGAGAAGAUCUUCCAGAUCUGCUGUGGAUUACUACUUCUAUAAGCCGUAGUGCUGUCCGAUCAUCUUCUGAUCAAGUGAGUGUGUAGUUAUUUCUUCUAAUACAAUAAUACGAAGUAUUUUAUAUAAAAAUACGUGCUAUGUGUAUAUAUUUUGUUGUUAUAUAUGUGAAUGUAUACCCACUCUCUUCUAUCUUAUAGAUCUGAUUAUUUCUCAAUGAAAUACGUGUUAUGUGUGUGUGCCUCAUCUGUUAUGUGAAAAAUGUUUUGAUUGAGCAUGCUAUACAGGUUUUGAAACUACGUAUAAAAAUGUAUAUUUUAUCUACUAAUAUGUUGGGUAGAAUAUGGGUAGAUAGUUGGUGUGUAAUAAACAGAUGAGAGGCCUCGAUGUUGUUUUGAUCCAGUCAUCUAGCGGAAUUUAGAUGACGACCACGGACUUUUCUAGACAGUCCAGUGGAACGCUAGCAGGCUCAUAACCUGUAGGUGUUAAUGAACUUGGGUGUUCAUUCGCUGUAUUCCAUCCCCCCCAUGGUUGCCUUAUUUGACUUAUAUUGCUGAGGAACCCCCGAAGCAUGUGUAGUCGCCCCGAUGAAAUAUUCUUUGACUAGGUCCCUUGUGUUAGUUAUUUUAGGGACAUAAAGUGAGAAUAACGGGAAUGGGUAACUGGGUUAUUGUUGGAUGAUAAUAAUUAAUUAAAUUAUUUAUUGUGGGUUGAAAACCCUAUAUGCUCACCAGGCUCCCAAGCCUGACCCACUCAGUUGAUUUAUUUUACAGGAAGUGGCGCAAGAGCUUAAGAUGGGCGAACAUCAAGUUGUUUUGUUUACAAGUCUGUAUAUGUAUAUAUUUGUUGAAAGACUUGUAAUGCUAUCGUUUAUGCUUUAUGAUCUGUAUCGGAACAUGACAUCCCGACUUUUGAUUAUGAAAUGAAAUCAUAUUUCUUUAUGAAAUGUUUUGAUAAAUAUCUAUUUUAUCAUGUUUUGUUUUUGGGAACAAAUUCCGCAUCUCUUUUAAAAAUUAAAAGGAUUUACUCUGAAAAUUAUUUUAAAAAGCAUAAAUGAAAUCGGUCUUUUCUGGCCGAGAUUUUGGGGAUGUCACAAGUAAGUAGCUCGUCUCUCUGAUAAUAUGUAUUAUGUUGGUCAUAGAUGAUUCUUGAAUAUGAACCAUAGCUAGAGGGAUAGCCUAUUGUUUGAUAGUCCACCUAACACAAGACCGCGUCUUAGACAAUUCAGUAAUGUAACUAUAUUAAAGUAAGUAGCUCGUCUCUCUGAUAAUAUUCCAGGGGAAUAUCCUAAUCAUGGGGCUAAAAAAGAAAGCAUGAACAUGAAAGCAAAAAGGCAGAGUUGAAUCGGAUGAAACAAAGUAUCUUAUUUGAGCUUGAGUAUUGGUCUUCCCUCCACCUAAAACAUAAUUUUGAUGUUCUACAUGUUUUGAAAAAUAUGAAUGAGAGUGUGUAUAAUACUACACUGAUGAACGAUAAAAGAAAAUACAUAAAAGAAGUAAGAAUUGACUUGAAAAAUACGGUCAUUCGACCAGAUCAAUGGCCAAAAGAGAAAGUCAAGAAGAAGAAGACAGUACACCAUUCUAUGGUCCCUUGGUUGAUGCAUCUCUCAUUUGGACUCCUUCAACCCAUAACAUUUUCAACUCAGCCACCAAAGGCCUCAAGUAAACAUCAAUGUCCUUUGUAGGUGAUCUAGGGCCAGGAAUCAACAAAGUUAGCAUGAAAGAAGAGUCCUUCAUACAUAUCCAUGGUGGUGUAUUGUAGUUAGUAAAUAUAACCAUCCAAAUAAUAUAAGUAUUAUUAAAGUUGUUGAACGGAUUAAAGCCAUCAGCAGCUGAACCUAGACGAAUAUUUCUAUAUUCUUUAGCAAACUCUCGAUAUCUCUUAUCAAAUUAUUUCCAUGACUUCUCGUCAACCGGAUGACGCAUCUUACCAUCCAUUGAGCAUCCAGUAUUAUGACAACUAAUAUAUUUACCAGUGAAUCUGGAACUAUACAUUCGUCGAAGCCUUGAGUCAAAGGAAACUACCACAAUGCUUUUUGUGGUACUCUCUUCCCAUUUUGUUGUUGUGUCCACCCAUUUGCUUGCAUUACAAAUUCGGGCAAUUUUACAUGGAAUCAUUCUCCUUCCAAAACGAAGCACAAUCAUAUUUACAAGUAUGGAUGGAUUGAUAUCAAACCCUAUCUUUCUCAACUUAUUCUUAGCUUCAUAGUGUGAAGUUGCUCUUCGGGAAUGAAACUCUUAGUAACUCUACAAGUUGGUUAAAAAAAAUAUUUGUCCAUUUAUUUAUCACUUUAGUAUGCAACAACUUUGCCAGAAAGUUUAUGUAACGUCCCAAAAAUUAAGACUAAAAGUUUUUAAUUUUAAAUUAAUUAAAACCAUUAUCCAAACAACAUCUUAGAAAUCAUAGUGCAUCAAAGUGUAUCAAUAACAUCCAUGUACAUCAGCAAGAUAUAAAAAUGCAGAACGACGUGGUGGGUGCAUUGCAAUCAUCCCGUGUAACGCCCGUAAACUCGGGCUAGUCAAUUUAGAGACAAUGUGCGUCAAAAAUGACUUUUUGAUGGGAGAUUGUUUACAAGAAACAAUCUUAACCAAGUUAUAUUAUAUGUCACAAAGGUUCCUUAUAUAUAAAGAACGCCAAAAUCCGAGUUAUAACGAAGAAGUUACGACCUUUCGAAGUUCUACGACAAAACCAACACGGCACCGUGUAACGUAAAAAGUGAAAUCUUGAUAAAUUACUUUUUAGCCUUAGGGAUCUAAAUGAAAGUUGUUUUAUACAUUAAAUUGAGAGCAUGCAUAAAAAGAACGUCAAAAUCUGACUUUGUAUGAGGAAGUGAUGAUUUUUCUAAGAUUUCGCACAGAGUAUACAACCUGGAAUUCGAAUGUCAGAUCGAGUGAUUUUUAGCCAACACAACCUAAAUUAUAAUUGAAUAUCUCAUUAAUAGGAGUUCAACGAUAAAAAGACAGUUAAAAACGGAGUCUGUAUGCAGAAGUUAUGAAUUUUACACGGUCGUUAACAAAAUAAUAUUUUCAUACUGUUAUAUUUAAAAUUGGUUGAGAAUUAGCCGAUUCAAUCUAAAGGAAAGUUGUAGAUCUUGUCAAUACCUAUGUGUGGAUAUAAAGAACGUAAAAAACGGAGCUCGUAUGCGAAAGUUAUGAAUUUUUUAAAAUUUGUUGUUUUACCUGCGUCCAGCGCCACGUGUCAGCACCAGGCGAAGCCUUAGUGCCUACACAAGGCCACGACGUGGAUUAUAAGUCUAUGAUGUUGAUUUCCCCAGAUAACCUAUAAAUAGAGGUGGAAAUAAUCCAUUUCCUUCACACCUUCACCCUUCUUUCUGUCUCAACACUCCCAAUCUCUCCCUCCUAAUCCCUAGCAACUUCUAAGUGCUAGAGGCGAGUCCCGGAGCGCCAAAAGGGUCCGAGAAGAAGAGUUUUCGUCUCAAAAUUUCCGCCCCCUCAGAGCCCGGUUCCUAGCCAAACCCCCAGGAAGUGAGUUAUGCUUACACUACUUUAAGUAUACUUAUGUUUAAGUUUAUUAUCGUUAUUAUGAACUUAUAAACAAGAUUUAUCAGUGAUUCCAAGUCGUUAUACUAAUUGAUCUACUUACGGGGAUGAUAUAUAGGUUGUGAUUUAGUGAGGUGUUUAAAGUGGGAUUUCAAAACAGUAUACUUCGUAUACGAAACGGAACUUACCUCCGAUAUGAUCCUACAUGGUUGUUCCUUACUUGAUAGAUCAUGAAAGUAGACUUUGAGUUAAUGAUGAAUCUAGACUAAUAAUUAGUCGUGCGUAAAGAUUAGACUAAAACUUAGCGAUAAUAAUGCUAGGUUUCAUCGAAGGAAAAUAGAAUCAUGAGAAGCAAAGUGCUUCCCGAGUUUGGAAUUAUCACUUUGAUAAGUGAGUGCAUAGUUACUUUCAUCUUACACAUAGAUAUGAAGUAUAUUAUAUAAAUUACAUGCUAUGUGUUCAUAUUAUAUGUUUACUUUAUAUCUAUGCUAGAUGAAUGAUCCUAUACAUGUUUUGAAUGAUUUAAACUGUAUAUAUAUUUUUUGUAUCUAUAAAAUCUAUUGGGUAAAACAUGGGUAGAUGAAUGAUAAGGGAUGAAAGUUGAUAUAGAGGAACAUUGGCAGUUAUAGACAUAGUGUCCUAUAGGUGAACAUUGACAACAAUGGACUUAGUGCCCUAUAGAUGAGCAUUGGCAGCCGUGCCACCACCUGUAGAUGUUUUGAUCUACGAUGUACUCUAAACAUCAUAGCAGCUGCGCUCAAAGGGUAGUAUCGGCAGCUGCGUGUAACGCAUGUGUUUCUAGGCUUGUCAUUAAUAUUGAUGUAAUAGUGUAGGUUAACCAUUGUAACCUGUUUCGAAAUAAUAGAAGUGUAUUAUUUGAGUAUUAUGUGUUUUGUACUUAAUUGUGUGUCUUAAUUAAAUUAAGUAUGAAAAUAAGCAUCAAAAUUAAAUGUUACAUAAAGCUGAUAUCUAUGGAUAAUUUUGUAGUAGUUGAAACGAGGUUUCUGAAUAUAUAUAGAAUGCUGAAAUCCGAGUUAUAACGAAGAAGUUAUGAUCUGUCGAAGUUUCGCGACAUAAAUCGGCACGACGAUGAAUGACGUAAAAAGUGAAUUUAUGUUAGAUUUAUCUUUAGUCCUAGUGAUCUAAACGAAAGUUGUAGAGUUCGUUAAACCGAUAGCGUGCAUAAAAAGAUCGACCAAAUCUGACUUCGUAUGAGUAAGUUAUGAUUUUCCGAAGUUUCGACUUAGCAGUGUGCAGCCCGAAUACUCGAUUUGAGAUCGAGCGGUUUUUAGUCGAAACAAUCUAAACGAGAAUCGAAGAUCUCGUCAAUGGUAGAGCAACGGUAAAAAGAUAAAUGAAAACGGACGUCAGAUGAAGAAGUUAUGAAUUUAUAACAGAGUUUUCCUAUCCCGGCCUACUAAAAAUAAAUAAUAAUAAAAUAAAUUCAAAAUCAGCCGACAGAGUCUAAACGAAAGUUGUAGAGUGUAGUCUCACCUACGCAUGGAUAUAAAGAACGUCGAAAACGGAAUUCAUAUGAAGAAGAUAUGAAUUUCUGAAGGAUUUAUAUGAUUAAUAUUUAUUAAUUAAUCUUUAAUUCGAAUGUAUAUCCGAAGGAGUCACCGACCUGAUCCACACUAUGCCCAGCGUACACCGAAGCGUGACCCACCUCGCACUCGAGUGCUCCGAUGACACAUGCAGUGACGAAUCCGAAGCGUACGCCCCGCGUACUGAGCAUUACGCCUAGCGUAAUGCGAGGCUUCAGCCACUAUAAAAGGGCAUGCGAGGGCAGCCAAUCCUUUUGCUCAAUUUCUUUUCUCUCUCUCUUGUUUUCCAUCGUUUUGCGUUCAACUUAUACCCCGAAUCCCCAGUAUCAUUCCCGAGCCCCGAAGCAAGUCCCGAAGCCCCGAAGAUCCCGAGGAGUAGAGUUCCCGAGCCGAAGCUCUACCCGCGAGAAGCCAAUUUUUGUGAAGAUCUUCCAGAUCUAUCAAAGAAUACUACUUCUACAAGUCGUAGUGCUAUCUGUUCAUCUUCUAAUCAAGUGAGUGUGUUGUUACUUUCUUCUAACGCAUAAUUACGAAGUAUUUUAUAUGAAAUACGUGUUAUGUCUAUAUUUUGUGUUGGAUAAGGUGUCUAAGUCCAUAACUAUUUCUGGUAUGUACUUGACCCGACCCGGCAUGGUCCAUUUGGGUUGCAUGGCAUCAUCCAUUUGGAUAGACUAUAUGAGAGAAUUAACACUUGUGGUUUAUUAAUAUAUUAUAAGUUCAAAUAUAUUAAUAGUAUUAUUUAAUUAGUAUUGAUCAAGAAUUAAUCUAGAAUUAAUUAAGUGAUCAAAUGGUGACUAAUUAAAUAUAUGAGUUGAUUAUGUAAAUCCUCCAUAACUUAUAUAGUGGACUAAAGGGCUCCAUUGAUAAUCAAGUUGGGUUUGUUGGAUUAUUGUCUAAGUCCAUAAACUAUUUUGGUAUGUACUUGACCCGAUGGUGUAUGGUCAUUUUGGGUUGCCUUCACCAAAGCAACUUGAUAGGAUGAAUUAUAAAGAGAAAGGAUUAAAUAUGAUUUAUUAAUAUAUUAUGAUAAUACUAUAUUAAAGGAGAAAUCAUAUUGUUUAAUUAAUAUUAGUCAAGAAUUAAUUGAUAAUUAAUUUUGUGACUAAAAGAGAUUAAUUAAACUUAAGGGACUAGAACUGUCAAUUGUAUGAUAGUUGAAUAUUGAGCUAAUGGACUCCAUAUUAAAGGAGUGGAUGAAUUCUAUGGGGAAACCCAUUAGAAAUCGUCCUAGGCCUUUAAGGAAGGAGCCCAUGGGUUACUUAGGGCUUAAGCAUCCAAAUUAGGGUUUCCUUGUUAGAUAACCCUAAUAGCCUCACUAUUUAAGGACCCUUUGGGCACCAAAAACGUAGGCAACUGAAUCCUAGGGGUUUCUACACGUUUUUGGGUGUUUCUUCUCUUCUCCUAUUCAUCCUCUUGCUCUUGGUGUUUGUGAACCAUUAGAGGAGUGACAUUUGUGACUCUAAGCUUUCUAAAGUCAUUACAAAGGAGGAUUUGAGAUUGUUAUUGCUACAUAACAAUCAAGGUAUGAUCUAAACCCUAAUUCAUAUCUUAUACUGAUUAUCAUAUACUAGAUCCAAGCAUUAGGGUUUGUAUGAGCACAUAGGAUGUUCUUAUAGCUAAAACCCAUCAGUGGUAUCAGAGCCUUGAUUGGUUUCUAUUGUAUUGAUGCCUUGUUAAUUUGUUCAUGCUUGAAAAAUUCGAUUUUGUGAGUCUGCCUAAUGAACUCGGCGAGUCCCAUUGUGGACUCGGCGAGUAGGCCCCUACUCGGCGGGUCCAUAGGGGUACUCGGCGAGUUCGAGCGUCAGAAAGAGGGGACUUCGAGAUUUCUUGCUGAUUUACUCAUGGAUACUUGCCUUAUCUGUUUUAGAUCAUUAAAAUCCGAUUUUAAACAUAUUUAUGAGUAUAUCCUUGAUUAAACAAAAGAUAAUUACCAAUUGAUUAGAUAAUAACUUCCUUAUAUGAUAAAGUUUGAUUAUUUGUAUUAAUUGGGUAACUUAUUUUGCAAGAAAUUGAAAUUAGGUCAAAUAUAGAUAAUGAUGAGAUUAAUUGUUUAAUUUAUAUUAUUUGUUAUUUGAUCCUUGUGUUAUGAAAAGUUUCAAUUUUCCCCUUUAGGUUUUAUAGUUUAAAUUUGAACUCAAAAGUUUNUAGGGUUUCAUGUACACCACAGGAACGAUGUUUCAUAAACUUGACGAGUUCCAUAGACUCGAUGAGUUAAGUGUCCUGGUGCCGGGAUUUUCGAUUUUCUGGCCAAAUUUUAAUGAGGAUAACUGUGAAAACUCGUUUUUCUUUCCUAAAUUCAAAUCUUUAAGAUCGGUAUGGAUAUCCUUAUCAGAUUUGGUGGAUUUAGUUAAAUAUGGAUGAUAUAGGAUUAUUUUGAUUCAAAUAUUUAACCUAGUAAGUUUGAAAAGUUUCAAAUUACACCCUUUAGGUUUUAUAGUUUAAAUUUGAACUUAAAAGUUUUAGUUUUGAAAUUUAAAUAGUUAAACCCUAAUAUUUUGAAAAGUUUUAAAAUUUGUCCUUAAAUUUUGGAAUUUAAAAUUUAAUUAAAAGGUAUUACUUUUGCAAUAUUAAUUUCUAAAACCCUAGUGUUUUGAAAAGUUCAUAUUACACCCUUAUGGUUUUAUUAAAUUAAUUAAGUGCUUAAUUAAGAGAGAGAAUUAAUAAAUCCAUAACAAUAUGGUUUAAGAUUAAUCAAAUUAAAAGUGUAAUUUAUUAAUAGAUUAAACCACCUAAUAUUUUUAAAGUGUAAAAUACACCAUUAUACUAUAUAUAAAAUUAAAAGUCUAAUAUAUUAUAUAUGUAUAAGUAAAGAGUCUGUCUUAUCGUUAGUAAGCCUUAUUCACGAAGUUGGUCUUUAAGGGGUGUUUAAGGAAGCGGCAUGUAAAAUGACCGUCAUUGGAUAUCCACUCUUACCCACCGCACCAUUAACUAGUGGAGGGUCAUUAGCCGAAUGGGUAGGAUAGGACAUAACCUUCCAUUAUAAGUAUAAUGAAAUACGAAGUAACUAAACGUUUAUAUAAAUUCUCAAAUCUUAGUUACUGUAGGAAAAAUGUGAAUUUGGUGCUAAUCCAUGAAAUUGCACAUUGCACCUUGUUGGUCGUUAGUGGAGCGUGUGUGGUUAACAGAACACUAAUAUGGGACCAAUGAAGGAUGGCAAUGGGUUUCUCGUAAUAUUAUCAUUGAUCAAUGGAGCGUGUGUGGUUAACCGGCACAUUGAUUGGGUGGUGAUCGACAUCGAGAGUAUCAAGCUAAUUUGCAUGGUUAUUCACACCUUGUUUGUGAUCCUCGGCGUCCCAGUCACAAACUUGAAAGGCAUAAUCGAGAUUAAACAUGCCAUUGAAAAGUUUAAUGAAUCUCAAAAGAUCUAGGGCUUUCAAUUCAUUAAUAACCUAAUUUUCAUUUUUGUUUUUCAUGGUGGAAAUUGGUAAAUCGUCAUUUACCUACCUUCAAAUAUUUUGCGACUGGAUUACGGCAUCCCUCUUCCGAAUUGUAGAAUAUUGUGUUGGAUCCUAGCCUUAAUAUUCCCUUUGGGUGUUAUAUUAAGGAUUGAAUCAACUAACUUGAACUUCUCCCAUUUUGUAGAUGUCUAAAUCUAACAACUAUGGUAUUCCACAAUCCUUUGGAAAAAGUCUUCCACAUGAAGAUGAUGUUCCACGAUUCGAUCGAGGAACAAGAGAUCAUGCUUCACUUCAUCCUCCUCCUCCCGUUGUUCUCCCUAACCCACAAGAUCGAAGAAUUGAAAGGUUCAAUGUCACUAAAGCCCUAUUGGAAAUGAAACAUGAAGAUAAUGUUGGGUGCGUCAUUCCCCGAUAAGUUGGCUGUGAACUGGGUUCUGCAGUCGCUCCCUGAAUCAUAUAAUGAGUUCAAGAGAAUGUAUUAUAUGAUGGAUCAUGACGAUAACCUCAUUGACCUAACUUACAUGCUCAUUGCUGCUGAAUCAGAAAUAAUUUGGCAAAGCAAUGGAGCGGUUUUGUUGGGAAAGUCAACCAACCAUGCUUUCGAGGACGUUCUAGGAGAACCGACCUGCGUUUGCUGCCAAGAGAAAGGGCGUUGGAUACAAGUUUGCCCUAAGAGCCUGAAGAAUCCAAAAGAUGGGAGAGUCAAAGAGUAUGGUUGUGCUUCAGGUAAAAAUCCACUAUCUAACUCCAUUAAGUUCUUAUUCGUUGAUUCUUAAUACAUGAUGUGAUAAGAUUGCAUUUGAAUGUUUUGCAGGAUCAGUGAAAAGAGAGGAAGCUUGAUGGAAAAGCAAGAUAAGUCUAAUCACAAAGAAAUGGAUCUCGAUCGCAUGGACUUGAAGAUUAGAUUUUGAGCUUAGAAAGUUAUGAUAGAGUUGUUAGGAAUAUUAGACUACAUAGUUUUUCAGUUAAUUUUGCAUUGUAAGGAAAAAUGUUUUCCGCUGCUUUUAUGAAUAAAAUAAAUUUUGAUUUGACUCAUUUAUUUAUUUAUUUCCUUGCAAUGAAAUCGUUAUGAAAAAUUGAUGUUUGCAUAUUUCUACAACGAAUGGAUGUGAUUCUUAAUUAUGUUAAUUAUGGAAAGGUCAAGAAUUUACCAAAUAGGAAAAGUUUCUCAUCGCCCAAGUUUCAAUUGGAUAGAGACUUGGGUCAUGCAACUUGGUUGCACGAUGAAUGAGAAAUUUCAUAUGUGGAAAUAAGACUAAUUCGUUGACAAAGUGUCAAGUGAAGAACUAGGAGAUCGAGUACACAAAGUUGUGUGUUGAUCAAGUCCACCGCAAGAGUAACGAAGAUAUUCGUCAUGAUUUACUAGAGGUUUAGUAAAAAUGAUUAUACUUAUAAGAUUAAGUGUAAUUCUGAAUUGAUUGAAAAAGGUUUAAAUCAAUAGCAUAACGAAUAAGAAGAAUCAAGUAGACAGAAAGAUAAAAGUCUCUCUAUUCUAAGAAGAAGGGAGAGUAUCUUUAUGCUUUAUGAUAUGUCUUAAUGAUUAAGAACCAUAUCUCAAUUGAUCCUCUAAGUAAGUCUUAGUACAAUUGUAUGUCUGAGAAGAGGAAUCAAGAAUUAAAGAAAUGGUUAAAAUCAAGAAGUCAAUCGUAUUUCGUUCCAAACAAGUCUUAGAGUUAAGAUUGUGACAUAGAGUGACAAGUAUUAGGAAGGUUUAUGACAAUCAUCAAAUGUAGAAUUUGGAAAAGGGUUUUCUUAUUCUUGCACAUUUGAAAUUCGUAAGUUGUGAUGUCUUGGAUUAGACAAAGACCAACGAGGACCAAUUUGUGAAGUGUUUUGUCUUGAUAAAAGCUACACUAACUCUUGAAUAUUUGGUUGUCGAGAAAUGUUUAUUGACAAGAGAAUCUUAUAUGUCAAGGAGUCAGUGGGAGUCUUAAUGGUCUUGAAAAGGUUUCAAUAACAAAUCAAAAUAAACCUUAUCAAUCAUCACUAGCACACGAGUUGAGGUUUACAACCUAUCGUGUUGACAUUAUCUUGUUUCUGUGCCGUUCCAAUCGAGUUAAUUAUGCAUGUGAGUUCUAUGAGUUCUCAUUUGAAUGCAUAAAAGGCAAGGACCUUGAUCAAUGGAAAGUACAUUGAUAGGAAAGGGUGAGCUGCUUAACUACUUGGAAGACAUGGUGGGCAGCCGUGUUACCAUAAGGCAAGAAAUCAAGAUUAAGAGUUCGGUCCAUAUAAGUUUGAAUUUGUCAUAAACUUUGGUUUUAACAAAUUCACAUGGAUAGGAACACAUACACUAUUAAAAUCUAAGUGUCAUAAGAUUCCCUCCUUCAUGGAAAUGACUGUGAGGUAAUGCUUUCACUAAAAGAGAUUUUAAGAAGAUAGUAAUUGUGAAAAUUGGAUUCUCGAAUUCGAUUAUGGUUACAGUAUCCCUUUCCAUGAUUCGAAUUGUAAGAUUUGGCAAUUAGUCUGAAUUGUUUAGACACACAUAUGAGCUAUCUAAGGGAAAGGUGUAUAAGCUUAGAUAAAGGAUUAUCAAAGCAUUAGUUAUUAGAAACAUGAACUUAAGAAAUUCAAUAGGUAUUGUUCUUCUGAAAGUUAAGUUGUUUCUAAAUACAUGUCAAAGCUAGUGGGAGCAUAAGUGUUAUGUUUAUAAUAAUCAUCAUGAUAGUGGGAGCAUAAAUGUUAUGAUUAUGUGAUUAUUAAGGCAAGUAUUGCAAGUUAGCAAUAUUAAUUAUAGAAAACAAGAGUUAUACUUUGCAAAGUCACAAUGGUUAAAAGGUUGUUUUGCUAUAAUUAAGGGAGAGAAUAUUAUGCUUCAUUUCAAAACUAAAGGCUUAGGUUGUGGAAUGUUAAUUAUUUUAGUCAAGGAUACAUAGUAUUCUUAAAUUUCGAUUAUGAUUACGACAUUUCUCUUCAUAGUUCGAAUUGUGAGAACAUAGCACAUAAAAUAUUAUGGCAGAAGACUGAUAAAGUAUCAAAUCUUUAUGCAUCGUGUCCCAUGCGCUUCGGGUAUAGGAUCGAUUGCAAAUGCUAUAAUAUUUGACCAUUCCAAAAUUUUCCAAAUGUCUAGCGCAUUUAGAGGGAAAAGGACAAGAAUAGGUUUUGACUAAGAUAAUUAAACAACUAUCAAAGGACAAUCCAAAGUUCGCCAAGGAUUGGUCACUUAUGAGUAGUUGGAAGUAUAGUAUUGAAUAGACCAUAUCGACAUUAUUAUGAAUAGAAAAGAUUCUAUUAAGAAUGAGUUGUCAUAUGGAAAAUAUGGAAACGUUUCCAUAUUGGGAGUCGGAUAUUGAGAAUCUAUGUCUAGAUUAGAAAUUUUAUGCAAAAGGAUGUUCAAAGGAAUGUCCUUUGAGUGAGAGACAUCACAUCUAAGGAAUUGUCUUGUAACAAUCUCCAAUAGACAGCUUUGUAAUUCAUUGGCAAUAGUCAUUGUGACUUUGGUGCAGUGACAUUAUGAAAGGAUGAUUGCAUAAAAUAUUAGAAUCUAACAUAUUCCAUAAGUGGCAAGAAUUUGAUAUUCUUUCACUUGUGAAAAGGAUUGGGAGUUAUGAAAUGAUUAUGAUUGGAAAUGUGUUCAUUUGAUCUAUUUCACAAAGUAAGAACCAUAGAUAAACACUGUGUGCAUGCUAAGAGCAUGGGACAAGUGUUGUAAUAAUUUAAGUAAGAAGUUUAUUACCCGAAACAAGAAAUAAUGAGUAAUCGAUAUGGUGAUAAUAAAAGGUGUUUUAUUUAUACUCAAGGUUUGAGGCCAUAUGGGACUAGUAUUAUUCUUGUGUUUCACUUUGCAUGUUUUGACUUCCUAAAUAAUUUAAAUUGGUUUAGAACAGUUAAAUUAUUCGAACGGGCCCUAGUCGUUCAUAUGUUGGAAGUAGGUAUGAAUGAAGACUGUCAUGAAUUGGUGUGUGGAUUGUCUAAAGAGCAUUAGACAUAAGCAAAUGUUUGCUGCAACGUUCAUGAGUGCUUAUAAAUAUGAUUUGAGCAUUGCAUUAAACCCACGCUCACUUGGAUCACUUCAUGGAUUUUAUCACGAGUGAUUGGUGAGACGAUAAUAUCUUAUAUUCUUGAAACCGAGAUGUGUGAGUUGUAUCUUGCGAGUUGGUUGCACAUUGAUAAUACGUAAACGCACCAGUAACUUGGUGUUAUAAAACAUAUUGUUGUGUGUGAUUCGGUGAGUAAGUGCAAUCGAACAUUGAGUCAAAGUUUAUCCGUUCCUUUUAUCAAAAGUAGGAUAAAAACGAUUUCUGUGGGCCCCUCGAUUAUUUAGUGAUGGCACCUAAGCGCUUGGCCAAGCCGGGACUAAAUUGAUGUGUUCAAUUGUAGUCUAUUGUUAGUCGUCAUAAAUCUGAAUUCGGGAAACAACACAUAGACAGAGAGAAUGUUUUAGAUCCAUGUCUCAGUCUAUACGAUAUCUAGAAUGGAGGAAUAUAUGAUCCCUUAUCUAAAGGAUACGCGAAUAUGAUAAGAUCAGAGUUGACAGCGGCUUUAGAAAGCUACGAUUGCAGAUCAGGAUCUGAAGUCAUACGCAUAAUAGUUAUUAGACUUAUCCAAGUGGGAGACUGUUGGAUUAGUGUCUAAGUCCAUAAACUAUUUUGGUAUGUACUUGACCCGAUGGUGUAUGGUCCUUUUGGGUUGUCUUCACCAAAGCAACUUGAUAGGAUGAAUUAUAGAGAGAAAGGAUUAAAUAUGAUUUAUUAAUAUAAUAUGAGAAUAAUAUAUUAAAGGAGAAAUCAUAUUGUUUCAUUAAUAUUAGUCAAGAAUUAAUUGAUAAUUAAUUUUAUGACUAAAAGAGAUUAAUUAAACUUAAGGGACUAGAACUGUCAAUUGUAUGAUAGGUGAAUAUUGAGCUAAUGGACUCCAUAUUAAAGGAGUAGACAAAUUCUAUGGGGAAACCCAUUAGAAAUCGUCCUAGGCCUUUAAGGAAGGAGCCCAUGGGUUGCUUAGGGCUUAAGCAUCCAAAUUAGGUUUUCCUUGUUAGAUAACCCUAAUAGCCUCACUAUUUAAGGACCCCUUGGGCACCAAAAACGUGGGCAACUGACUCCUAGGGGUUUCUACACAUUUUUGGGUGUUUCUUCUCUUCUCCUAUUCAUCCUCUUGCUCUUGGUGUUUGUGAACCAUUAGAGGAGUGACAUUUGUGACUCUAAGCUUUCUAAAGUCAUUAUAAAGGAGGAUUUGAGAUUGUUAUUGCUACAUAACAAUCAAGGUAUGAUGUAAACCCUAAUUCAUAUGUUAUAUUGAUUAUCAUAUACUAGAUAUAGGGUUUAUAGUCUUGGAUGAGUUGCAUGUACAAUAGAGAAACCUAGAUCCAAGCAUUAGGGUUUUUAUGAGCACAUAGGAUGUUUUUAUAGCUAAAACCCAUCAGGGUUAAACCCAUUGGAUGCUCCAUGGAGGCUCCAUGGGAGUUACAAACCCAUGGGUAAUGGAAAUGAAGAGUCAUGUCACAUUAGGGUUUACAUGGCGUAACCCUAGAUGUGACACACUAUAUAAAGAACAUCAUACUCCCUAAAAUCGGCUACACAUAGUGACAAGAGGGCUUGCCUGAUUUUUUGAGUGUUACACGUUCUCUCAAAGUUGUUCCAAAGCAUUUGGUGUUGUAUGAAGCAUUUGAGGAAUCACACUUAGGGUGCUAGGCUCUCAAGGUUUCAAGGAAUCAUAACAACAACAAGGUAUGUGUUUCUAGCUAUCUUUUAUAUUAUAAAGUUCCCCAUGUAUGCUAGAUAGGUUUAUGAACCUUGGAAAAAAGUAAUUUGCAUGUAUCUUAUACAAACAUAGAUCCAAGGUUCUCUAGGGUUGCAUGUACACUUAGGAGUGUUAGAAUUGCUCAAAACCCUUCGAUGGUAUCAGAGACUAGGCUUGCUUGUUUGAUAUUUGAUGCAAAAUAGUGAAAAAAGUCGAUUUUUUGUUGUCUGCCUGCUGAAAUCGCCAAGUCCAUGGGGGGACUUGCCGAGUUCAUGUGUAAAAUCAUCCUACUCGUCGAGUAGGUUCAUGCACUCGACGAGUAGGAGCCUCAGAAUGCAGUUUUUUGACUUUUGCUGCUGGAAAUGGACUAGAAACGUUACCCUAAACUGUUUGGGUGUUAUUAAACAUGUUUUAGAUGGUGUAAUGGUUGUUCUAAUCCAUUUAUAAUGACUAAUAUCAAAAUUCCAUGAUUUUAUGUUUUCUUGAAAAUUUGAUAUUCAUAUUCAUGUUCUUAUGAGUUUAGAUGAUCAUAGGAAUUAUGUGUAACUUCUUGAUAGUUUUAAUUCUUAAUCAUUAUGUGUUUUAAUGGAAUCCAUAAUUUGUCCUCAAGUUAUGAAUUACCAAAAGUUUUAUCUUUGAAUGUCCAUUGAAGAAACACAUAGGUUACAUAAAAUGAAGAUUUACUCAUUUUAAUGAACCAAUUAAUCUCAUAAGUUAUGGAUUGAAGAGUUUUGUUAAGUUACAAAACUUUCCCUCAAAUUUUGGAACUUGUAAAGUCACCUAAUUAACUUUAGUUCCAACCCCUAGAAUUUAAAAUGUUAAAAUUCAACACUUAUACUUUAUAAUAUUAUAAGUUUAAUAUAUAUAUAUAUAUAUAUAUAUAUNNNNNNNNNNNNNNNNNNNNNNNNNNNNNNNNNNNNNNNNNNNNNNNNNNNNNNNNNNNNNNNNNNNNNNNNNNNNNNNNNNNNNNNNNNNNNNNNNNNNNNNNNNNNNNNNNNNNNNNNNNNNNNNNNNNNNNNNNNNNNNNNNNNNNNNNNNNNNNNNNNNNNNNNNNNNNNNNNNNNNNNNNNNNNNNNNNNNNNNNNNNNNNNNNNNNNNNNNNNNNNNNNNNNNNNNNNNNNNNNNNNNNNNNNNNNNNNNNNNNNNNNNNNNNNNNNNNNNNNNNNNNNNNNNNNNNNNNNNNNNNNNNNNNNNNNNNNNNNNNNNNNNNNNNNNNNNNNNNNNNNNNNNNNNNNNNNNNNNNNNNNNNNNNNNNNNNNNNNNNNNNNNNNNNNNNNNNNNNNNNNNNNNNNNNNNNNNNNNNNNNNNNNNNNNNNNNNNNNNNNNNNNNNNNNNNNNNNNNNNNNNNNNNNNNNNNNNNNNNNNNNNNNNNNNNNNNNNNNNNNNNNNNNNNNNNNNNNNNNNNNNNNNNNNNNNNNNNNNNNNNNNNNNNNNNNNNNNNNNNNNNNNNNNNNNNNNNNNNNNNNNNNNNNNNNNNNNNNNNNNNNNNNNNNNNNNNNNNNNNNNNNNNNNNNNNNNNNNNNNNNNNNNNNNNNNNNNNNNNNNNNNNNNNNNNNNNNNNNNNNNNNNNNNNNNNNNNNNNNNNNNNNNNNNNNNNNNNNNNNNNNNNNNNNNNNNNNNNNNNNNNNNNNNNNNNNNNNNNNNNNNNNNNNNNNNNNNNNNNNNNNNNNNNNNNNNNNNNNNNNNNNNNNNNNNNNNNNNNNNNNNNNNNNNNNNNNNNNNNNNNNNNNNNNNNNNNNNNNNNNNNNNNNNNNNNNNNNNNNNNNNNNNNNNNNNNNNNNNNNNNNNNNNNNNNNNNNNNNNNNNNNNNNNNNNNNNNNNNNNNNNNNNNNNNNNNNNNNNNNNNNNNNNNNNNNNNNNNNNNNNNNNNNNNNNNNNNNNNNNNNNNNNNNNNNNNNNNNNNNNNNNNNNNNNNNNNNNNNNNCUCCUGGAAGAAUCGCGGGGCCACCCCGACUCAACUCGCCGAGUCUGAAGAACAACUCGACGAGUCCCAGUUAAUCUUCAAGCUACUCGCCGAGUCUGUUCAUCGGACUCGGCGAGUCCAUGCCAUGCAACCGCUCAAACUGCUUUCUAAGGUCAGAACUGCUCCGACCAUUCAUAGGUCUGGCCUUCCUAGACUGAUUCAUCACGUAAGGUCCUCAUUUCGGUGCUCAUAAUACACCCCAUGACUCAUAAUUUACAUUUUGACCUAAGGCAUAAGGAUUCCAAUCCAAAACCUCCAUUGAUUCCUGAAAUGCUCAGGCAUGGGACAUUCUGGACUUCCAAAGAUCUCAAUACAGGGUUCCAAUCGUUUGGGGGACUAAAGUAACACUCAAUCUAGCCACAAAAGGGUUCAAUAAAUCCUAAAUCCAUAUACACAUCAACAUAGAAGAAUGUAACUCGAAAUAUUACCUGAAUAACGUGCUCUCUGUGUCCCCAAUCCACAGAACGUGGCUCUUCCUGUUGUUCCCUUAACCAAGCCUCUUCUUCCUUGCAAAACCACACUUCCAAAAUCAACAAUGGUCUUCAACCUUGCUCCAGACGCUCACAAUCGAAUUAGGGUUUCUCUCAGAGGACUAGGGUGAACAAUGACGGCCAUAAAGUCCCUCAUAUACGUCCCAAACCUGAACGGUUAGGGUUUUCGCUAAAUAGCGCAGACUCGCCGAGUCCAUAUCCGGACUCGUCGAGUCCAGUCGCGAACCCGCAACCAGAUCCGCGAUCCUACUCGGCGAGUCUAGGCUCCAACUCGCCGAGUCCCCUCUUAAAACACCCAAAAUCAUAAAUAUAACAAUACCUGAAAUUCCAGGCUGUUACAGUAAUCGGGUUAUUGUUGGUUGGUAAAAGUAAAUACAAUUAUUUAUUGCGGGUUGAAAACACUAUAUGCUCACCAGGCUCCCAAGCCUGACCCACUCAGUUUAUUUGUAUUACAGGUAGUGGCGCGAGGGCAUAAGAUGGACGAAUCAUCAAGUUAUUUUGUUUAUUAGACCAGUUGUUAUAUGUAACUAUUGUAUGGUCUAUCUUUUGUUGUUUAUGCUUUUGUGUCUGUAUCGGAACAUGACAUCUCGAGUUUUGAUUUUAUAGUGAAAAUACAUUUCUUUAUGAAAUGCUUUGGUAAAUAUUAUUUUAUCAUACUUUGUUUUUGGGAACAAAUUUCGCAACUCUUUUAAAUCAAAAGGAUUUACUCUUAAAUUAUUUUAAAAAGCAUAAAUGAAACUGGUCUUUUAUGGCCGUGAUUUUGGGGAUGUCACAGUGGGUAUCAGAGCAUUAGUUUAAGCGAACUAGGAAUUUGUAAGAUUUCUAGACUUAAACUUAGAAUGCUAAGUGGAGAUUGUGAGAAGUGUGUCUGUUAUAUUAUGGACACGAGCACUAGUAUAUUUUAGGAAGUUGCCUAAAAUGCUCUUAGGUGCUAAAUGUUAUAUGUUGCCAUAUAUGAUAUUAUUUGUUUGGAUCUAUGGUCUGUUGCCGACCGGAUCAUGAAACCUUAUGUGUGUAGGAUUCUAAGCAUACGUCUACGACAUUAGAACUAGCAUGUAAACGUUUCGGAGUGAUAUGGAAGAUCGUAAUAUCUAUCAUGAAUAAAGAUCUAAAUUUCACCUUAUUCGGUGUAUUGAUCAAGAAUGGCAAGAACAAGAAGCAGUGAUGGAAAUGCAAACAAGAACAGGAAUCAACCGCCUCUAAUUGAACAAGUAAUUGUUGAAACUGCUGCACCAGAGCAAAUCACUCUGGCUGGGGUGCAAGCCAUGAUUCGGGCUAUGUUAGCCGAACAAAAGGAAGAAAUGCGACAGAUGUUGCAUGAAAAUAGGGACGAACCAAUCAUACCCAUUGAGGAACCCAAACUGAUUCCCGAACAAUCGGAGGAAGGAAACAAUAGUCGCGUUGUGAGUCAAGUUGGGAGUCAAGGAGAACGAAGGAACGACCCGGAAAGGGGAAACAAAAAGGAUGGGAGAAUGUAUAAGAAUUUCUUGGGCGCCAAGCCGCCAAGUCUUUCUGGGAACCUAAAGCCCAUUGAGAUUAUGGAUUAGAUCUCCGAAAUGAAGAUGGUAUUUGAAAGUUGCGACUGUAUCAACAAACAGAAGACUGUCUUUGCAGUUAGACAACUGAAGACCGGAGUCUUGAGCUGGUGGAAGUUGUUGGCAGAUAUUAUGUCAUGAGGAGAAGCCCUGAAAAUGUCAUGAGAGGAGUUCUUAGAACAACUAAGGGCGCAGUAGUGUUCAGAGAUAGAUCUGAUUGAUCUGAACAAUGAGUUCCAAAACUUAAAGAAGGGGAGGAUGAGCAUAAAUGACUAUGCUAUCGCAUUCACUGAUAAAAUGAGGUUAUUUCCAUACCUAGUGCGAAUGAAACUCUCCAAGAUUGAGAGGUUCGCUAAUGGACUACCUUCCGACUUUUGCCCGAUAGUCAAGAUGGCAACUACUCUAAAAAUAGUUGUUUGUGCGGCUAAGAAUGUGGAGACCCAGCAGAAGGAAAAGGGUCUGGAAAGAAUAGAGGUUGGUGAGAAAAGGAAGUUGGAUGGACCUUUAGGGUCCAACAAGAAAAUCAAGUUUUCGAAGUCUAGUUCGAGAGGAGGAGGAGGAAGAGAAGCCAAAUGGUACGACAAAUGUAAGAAGAAGCAUCAUGGAAAAUGUGAAGUAGUAGCCACAUGUUUUAAAUGUGGAAAGCCAGGGCACUAUGCCAAUGAAUGCACUCUCACCAAGAAAGUUUGUUAUGGCUAUGGUGAGGAGGGGCACAUCUCGAGAGAUUGUUCGAAGAAGAAGGAGGCAUCAAAACCCAAUAUUCCCCCAAAGCCGAAGGCGAGAGCAUUCCAGAUGACACUGGAAGCUGCAAAAUAUGAAGCUGAUGUCGCUUCAGGUACCUUUCUCGUAAACAAAUUGCAUGCCCAAAUUUUAUUUGAUUCUGGAGCCAACUACUCCUUUAUUUCGCAUGAAUUUGGUAGAAACUAGCUUCUCCUGUCGAUAGACUAGAUAAUGCUUUAUUAGUCGAAGUUGCUAGUAGCAAAUUUCUACCUAUUAGCCAUCGUAUGAAAAACAUCUUAAUUCACUUGAAUGGGAAUAAGUUCCAUGAGGAAUUAUUGCCUAUCGAACUAAACAAUUUCGACAUCGUGCUGGGAAUGGAUUGGCUUAGCGCCAAUGACGCCGAAAUAUUGUGCAAGAAGAAGAUUGUAAAGGUAAAUCCGCCAGGNGCAAGAAGAAGAUAGUAAAAGUAAACCCACCAGUGAAAGAGUCAUUUAUGGUGUAUGGGGACAAACGCAGAGUAAAUUCUAGAAUCAUUUAUCUAAUGAAAGCCAGAAAGUGUUUGGCCAAAGGAUGUACAUCAUAUUUGGCAUUUGUGAUAGAUUCUAAGAAGGAGAAAAAGGUGAUGCAAAGCAUUCCUAUCGUAUGUGAUUAUCGGGAAGUAUUUCCCAAAGAUCUUCCCGGAUUACCGCCUGAUAGAAAUUUGGAGUUCAUAAUAGACUUGUUACCAGGGACGACGCCUAUAGCAAAAGCACCUAAUCGAUUAGCACCAUCAGAGAUGAAGGAGCUAAUGAUGCAACUUCAGGAGUUAUUGGGCAAAGGUUUAAUUAGACCUAGUUUAUCACCCUGGGGAGCUCCGAUGUUAUUCGUGAAGAAGAAAGAUGGAAGUAUGAGAAUGUGCAUCGAUUAUAGAGAGCUGAACAAGGCAACAAUAAAGAAUAGAUAUCCGUUGCUGAGGAUUGAUGACUUGUUCGAUCAACUACAAGGUUCAAGUUAUUUUUCAAAGAUCGACCAAAGGUCAAGAUAUCAUCAGCUGAAGGUGAAAGAGCAGAUAUAGAGAAGACUGCAUUCAGAACACGAUAUGGACACUAAGAGUUUUUGGUUAUAUCAUUUGGACUAACCAAUGCUCCAGCAUCAUUCAUGGAUUUAAUGAUCAUGGUUUGUAAUCCGUUCCUAGAUAAAUCUGUGAUAGUGUUCAUAGAUGACAUUCUGAUUUAUUUGAAAAGCGAAGAGGAGCAUGGCAUACACUUGCGAGAAGUGUUAGAAGUCUUGAAGAAGGAGAAGUUGUAUACAAAUUUCUCCAAAUGUGAUUUCUGGAUUCGAGAAGUCCAAUUCUUGGGUCACGUGAUCAACUAAAAAGGGAUAAUGGUUGAUCCAGCAAAGAUUGAAGCUGUAAUGAAGUGGGAACAACCGAAAAGUCCCACGGAGAUCCGAAGCUUUUUAGGAUUAGCCAGAUAUUACCGAAGGUUUAUCCAAGGCUUUUCUACGAUCGCUACUCCAUUAACAGCGUUCACCCACAAAGGAGUUACUUAUGCUUGGAAUGAUAAGCAUAAAGAAGAAUUCGAGAGGCUAAAGAAGAAGCUAUAUGAGGCAGCGAUUCUUUCUCUACCCGAUGGAGUUGAAGACUUCGCUGUUUAUAGCAAUGCGUCUGGUGUUGGCUUGGGUUGUGUUUUAACCCAAAGGGAAAAGGUGAUCGCAUAUGCAUCUCGACAGUUGAAGGAGCAUGAAAAGAACUACCCGACUCAUGAUUUGGAGUUGGAAACGGUAGUUUUCGCUCUGAGAAUAUGGAGGCAUUACCUCUAUGGCACGAAGUGCAACUUUUCACUGAUCAUAAGAGUCUCCAAUAUCUCUUUAGUCAGAAAUAAUUAAAUAUGAGGCAAUGAAGUUGGCUUGAAUUACUUAAGGAUGUACGACUGCGAGAUACUUUACCACCCUGGUAAGGCUAAUGUUGUUGCUGAUGUUCUCAGUCGGGAAGUCAAUCUUGAAAGAAAAAGGCCAAGAGCGUUGAGAAUAGAAGUUGUCUCAACAAUUGUGGAGAGUAUAAAGAAAGCUAAAGAGGAAGCUUUUGUGAAGAAUGAUCGAAAAGAAGAACUUUAGGGAAAAAUGUUGGUGUUCGGUAUAAACAGUCAUGGACUGAAGGUGUUCCAAGAUCGGAUUUGGAUACCUAAGACAAGAGGAGUCAGAGAUCUUAUGAUGGAAGAAGCUCAUAAGUCCAUGUACUCAAUUCAUCCCGGUAGUACUAAAAUGUAUAGGGACCUAAAACCCUACUACUGGCGGCCGACGAUGAAGCUUGAUGUUGAAAAGUAUGUAGCCGUGUGUGUGACUUGUGUGAGAGUCAAGACACAACAUCAGAAACCGUAUGGGAGUUUAGAACCUUUGCCUGUGCCUAUGGGUAAGUGGGAAGACAUUGCUAUGGAUUUUAUCACUAAACUGCCCAGAACGAAAAGUGGUCACAACAUGAUUUGGGUGAUCGUUGAUCGAUUCACUAAGAGUGCGCAUUUCAUAGCAUCCAAUGAGAAAUGGUCUAUGGAAAAGCGUGCGAAUUCUUUUGUGAAGGAAGUUGUGAGGCUUCACGGUGUUCCGUUAACGAUUGUGUCAUAUCGUGAUAGCCAUUUCACCUCGCGAUUUUGGAGAAGUCUACAAGAGGAAUUGGGUAGCAAGUUGUGUUUGAGUACAUCUUACCAUCCACAGACUGAUGGUCAGAGCGAACGGACGAUACAAACACUUGAAGAUAUGCUGAGAGCAUCUACCCUAGAAUUCCAAGGUACUUGGGAUGAACAUUUACCUUUGAUGAAAUUUUCCUACAAUAAUAGUUUCCACUAGAGCCUAAAGAUGGCACCUUGUCAAGCUUUGUAUGGACAGAAGUUUCGUACGCCGUCUUAUUGGCUUGAGGCUGGAGAAAAGAAGUUUAUGGGACCCGAGAUGGUUCAUCAAAUUGCUGAAAACCUGAAAAUAAUUUAGGAAAGAAUGUUAGUAGCUCAGGAUCGUCAAAAGUGCUAUGCUGACAAAUAGCGAAGACCGAUGACUUUUGAAGUUGGAAAUUCGGUUUUGCUUAAAGUCUCGCCAUGGAAGGGACUUAUAAGAUUUUGUAAAUGGGCAAAGUUUAGUCCAAGGUUUAUUGGACCUUUUAAAGUUCUUGAGAGGAUUGAGAACCAAGCUUACAAGAAUGAAUUGCCAGAAGAACUGCAUGGUAUUCAUAACACUUUCCAUGUGUGUUAUUUGAGGAAGUUUACUAGAGAACUUCCCGACAUGAUUCCACUUUCGGAGUUGAGAAUCAAUGAGAACAAAAGGUUGAUUGAAGAACCAGAGGCAAUCGUUCACUGAAAGACUAAGAAGUUGGGACGCAAGAUGGUCGAGUUUGUGCUUGUCCGAUGGAAACACACGAAUAGGCCAAAUCUCACCUGGGAGACGGAGAGUGACAUGAUCAGUCACUACCCGCAUUUGUUUGUUGAUGUGUGAUUCCGAGGACGGAAUCAUUCUAAGGUGGAGAGAAAUGUAACACCUGUGUUUCUGGGCUUGUCAUUAAUAUUGAUGUAAUAGUCCAGGUUAACCAUUGUAACCCGUUUCGAAAUAAUAGAAGUGUAUUAUUUGAGUAUUAUGUGUUUUGUGCUUAAUUGUGUGUCUCAAUUGAGUUAAGUAUGAAAAUAAGCGUCAAAAUUAAAUGUUAGAUAAAGCCGAUAUUUAUGUAUAAUGCUCUAGUAGUUGAAACGAGGUUUCCGAAUAUACAUAGAAUGCCGAAAUCCGAGUUAUAAGGAAGAAGUUAUGAUAUGUCGAAGUUUCGCGACAGAAACCGGCACGACGCUGAAUGACGUAAAAAGUGAAUUUACGUUAGAGUGAUACUUAGCCCUAGUGAUCUAAACGAAUGUUGUAGAUUUCGUUAAAUUGAGAGCGUGCAUAAAAAAAUCGCCCAAAUCUGACUUCGUAUGAGGAAGUUAUGAUUUUCCGAAGUUUCAACUUAUCAGUGUGCAGCCCGAAUACUCGAUUUGAGAUCAAGCGGUUUUUAGCCGAAACAAUCUAAACGAGAAUUGAAGAUCUCGUUAAUGGUAGUGCAAUGGUAAAAAGACAGAUGAAAACGGACGUCGGAUGAAGAAGUUAUGAAUUUAUAACGGGGUUUUUCUGUCCCGGCCUACUAAAAAUAAAUAAUAAAAAAAUAAUAUCAAAAUCAGCCGACGGAGUCUAAACGAAAGUUGUAGAGCGUAGUCUCACCUACGCGUGGAUAUAAAGAAAGUCGAAACGGAGUUCAUAUGAAGAAGAUAUGAAUUUCCGAAGUUUUUAAAUGAUUAACAUUUAUUAAUUAAUCUUUAAUUCGGAUGUAUAUCCGAAGGAGACACCGAUCUAGUCCGCACUACGCCCAGCGUAGUUGAGUACGACCAGCGUACACCGAAGUGUGACCCGCCUUACACUCAAGAGCUCCGAUAACGCAUGCAGUGACGAAUCCGAAGUGUACACCCCGCGUACUGAGCAUUACGCCCAGCGUAAUGUGAGGCUUCAGCCUCUAUAAAAGGGCUUGCGAGGGCAGCCAAUGCUUUUGCUCAAUUUAUUUUCUCUCUCUCCCGUUUUGCAUCGUUUUGCAUACAAAUUAUACCCCGAAACCCCGAUAUCAUUCCCGAGCCCCGAAGCAUGUCCUGAAGCCCCGAAGAUCCCGAGGAGUAGUGUUCCCGAGCCGAAGCUCUGCCUGCAAGAAGCCAAUUUUUUUGAAGAUCUUCCAGAUCUACCGAAGAAUACUACUUCUACAAGUCGUAGUGUUGUCCGAUCAUCUUCUGAUCAAGUGAGUAUGUAGUUACUUUCAUCUAAUGCAUAAUUACGAAGUAUUUUAUACGAAAUACGUGUUAUGUGUAUAUUUGUUGUUAUAUGUGUGAAUGUAUAUUCACUUUCUUCUAUCUCGUACAUAUGACUAAUUCUCUAUGAAAUAUGUGUUAUGUGUAUCUGUCUCAUCUGUUGUUUGGAAUAUGUAUUGAAUGAGAAUGUUAUACAGGUUUUAAACUAAGUAUAAAAAUAUAUAUUUUUAUCUACUAAUAUGUUGGGUAGACCAUGGGUAGAUGGUUGAUGUGUGAUAAACAGAUGAGAGGCCUCGAUGUUGCUGUUGAUCUAGUUAUUCAGCGGACUAUGGAUAAUGACCACAGACUCUUUCGAGACAGUCAUGUGGAACGCUGUGACAUCCUCAAAAUCACGGCCAAAAAAGACCGUUUUAAUUUAUGCUUUUAAAAUAAUUUGAGAGUAAAUCCUUUGAUUUAAAAGAGUUGCGGAAUUUGUUCCCAAAACAAAAUAUGAUAAAAUAAAGUUUUUCAAAGCAUUUCAUCAAGAGAUGCAUCUUCAUUAUAUAACAAUAUUCGGGAUGUCAUGUUCCCAUAAACAGACCAAAAAUAUAAACAACAAAAGAUAGAUCAUACAACAGUUACAUAUAACAAUUGGUCUAGUAUCAAAAGAUCUUGAUAAGUCAUCCAACUUAUGCUCUCGCGCCACUACCUAUAAUACAAAUAAACUGAGUGGGUCAGGCUUGGGAGCCUGGUGAGCAUAUAGGGUUUUCAACCCGAAAUAAAUAAUUAUAUUUAAUUUCACCAACCAACAAUAACCCAAUUACCCAUUCCCGUUAUCCUCACUUUACGUCCCUAAAACAACAUCUAUCUCAAGGGAUCUAAUAUAGGAUUUUCAUCGGGACAGACACUGCACAGGGGUUACCUCAAUAGUAGAUGUCCUAAAGGCAACCAUGAGGGGGAUAGAGUACACCGGUGAACACAUCGUUCACAACACCUAGCUAGCGUUCCACAGGACUGUCUAGAAAGAGUCUGUGGUUGUUAUCCAUACUCCGCUGAAUAACUAGAUCAACAACAACAACAUCGAGGCCUCUCAUUUGUUUAUCACACAUCAACUAUCUACCCAUGUUCUACCCAACAUAUUAGUAGAUAAAAAUAUAUAUUUUUAUACAUAGUUUAAAACAUGUAUAGCAUUCUCAUUCAAUACAUAUUCCAAUCAACAGAUGAGACACAUACACAUAGCACGUAUUUCCUAGAGAAUAAAUUAUAUCUCUGAGAUAGAAGAAAGUGAAUAUACAUUCACACAUAUAACAAAAAAUAUACACAUAACACGUAUUUUGUAUAAAAUACUUCAUAAUUAUGCAUUAGAAGAAAGUAACUACACACUCACUUGAUCAGAAGAUGAUCGGACAACACUACAGCUCUAAGAGUAGUAUUCUUCGGUGAAACUGGGUUCACUUCACUCACCAGGCUUCUUGCGGGCAGAGCUUCAGCUCGGAAACUCUUUUCUUCGAGGGAUCUUCGAGCUUCAGGACUUGCUUCGGUUGUCGGGAUGAUACCGGGGCUUCGGGGGUACUUUUUCACGUAAAUCGAGGUAAUAUGAGUGAGAGAGAAGAGAUUUGGCAACCACAAACGGUUGCCCCUUCAAAUCUAUUUAUAGGGCUAUUUUCUCAUUUUCCACGUCGUGGGCACUUCUUCCACGUCGUGAGCUUGGUCGUCAUUGCAUGCGUCAUCGUCCACUUGCUCUGCCAGGCUCCAGAAGGCGUCAGAAGCCAUGCCACGUCGUGGUCUCUGACGGUUUUGGUGUUUCGCACCCCGAACUUCAGAAAUCCAUAACUUUCGCAUACUUACUCCGUUUUCGACGUUCUUUAUAUCGACGUGUAGGUAAAAACAAGAUCUACAACUUUCAUUUAGACUUUGUAUGCUAAUUUUGACUUUAUUUUUAAUAUAUUAAUAAUAUACUAUUGUUAGUAGGCCGGGACAGGAAAACCCCGUUAGAAAUUCAUAACUCCUUCAUCUGACGUCCAUUUUCGACUGUCUUUUCACCGUUGGAGUACAAUCGAUGAGAUCUUUGAUUCUCGUUUAGAUUGUUUCGUCUAAAUAUCGCUCGAUCUCGUAUUCGAACUUCGGGCUAUACACUGCUAAACAAAAACUUCGAAAAAUCAUAACUUCCUCAUACGAAGUCAGAUUUGGGCCUUCUUUUUAUGCACGCUCUCAGUUUAACGAACUCUACAACAUUACUUUAGAUCGCUAAGUCCAAAUAUUUUUCUAAUGUAAACUCACUAUUUACGUCUCGCUGUGUCGUACCGGUUCUGUCGCGAAACUUCGACAAGUCAUAACUUCUUCGUUAUAACUCGGAUUUCGGCAUUCUUUAUAUAUUCAGAAACCUCGUUUCAACUACUACAACAUUAUCCAUAGAUAUUGGGUUGAUCUAACAUUUCAUUUUGACGUUUAUUUUUAUUCUUAAUUAAAUUAAGACAUACAAUUAAGCACAAAAACACAUAAUACUCAAAUAAUACACUUCUAUUAUUUCAAAACGGGUUACAAAGGUUAACCUAGACUAUUAUAUCAACAUUAAUGACAACCCCAGAAACACCGUCAUUACAAUUCUCUCCACCUUAGAAUGAUUCCGUCCCCGGAAUCACACAUCAACAAACAAAUGUGGGUAGCGACUCAUCAUGUCACUCUCCGUCUCCCAAGUGAGAUUUGGCCCAUUCGUGUGUUUCCAUCGGACAAGCACAAACUCAACCACAUUGCGUCGCAACUUCUUAGUCUUUCGGUCAAAGAUUGCCUCUGGUUCUUCAAUCAAUCUUUUGUUCUCAUCGAUUCUCAACUCCAAAAGUGGAAUCAUGUCGGGAACUUCUCUCGUGAACUUCAUCAAAUAACACACAUGGAAAUUUUUAUGAAUUCCAUUCAGUUCUUCUGGUAGUUCGAGCUUGUAAGCUUGGUUCCCAAUCCUCUAAAGAACUUUAAACGGUCCAAUAAACCUUGGACUCAACCUUCCCCUUUUACCAAAUCUUAUAAGUCCCUUCGACGGCGAGACUUUAAGCAAAACCGAAUCUCCAACUUCAAAAGUCAUCGGUCUUCGCUUGUUGUCAGCAUAGCUCUUUUGACGAUCUUGAGCUGCUAACAUUCUCUCCCUAAUUAUUUUCAACUUUUCAGCAGUUUGAUGGACUAUCUCUAGUCCCAUAAACUGCUUUUCUCCAGCCUCAAGCCAACAAGACGGCGUACGACACUUCUUUCCAUACAAAGCUUGAUAAGGUGUCAUCUUUAUGCUCGAGUGGAAACUAUUAUUGUAGGAAAAUUCUACAAAAGGUAAAUGUUCAUUCCAAUUACCUUAGAAUUCCAGGGUACAUGCUCUCAUCAUAUCUUCAAGUGUUUGUAUUGUUCGUUCGCUCUGAGCAUCAGUCUGUGGAUGGUAAGUUGUACUCAAACACAACUUGGUACCCAAUUCCUCUUGUAGACUUCUCCAAAAUCGCGAGGUAAAGCGGCUGUCACGAUCUGACAAAAUCGUUAACGGAACACCGUGAAGCCUCACAACUUCCUUCACAUAAGAAUUCGCACGCUUUUCCAUAGACCAUUUCUCAUUGGAUGCUAUGAAAUACGCACUCUUAGUGAAUCGAUCAACGACCACCCAAAUCAUGUCGUGACCACUUUUCAUUUUGGGCAGUUUAGUGAUAAAAUCCAUAGCAAUGUCUUCCCAAAUACCCAUAGGCACAGGCAAAGGUUCUAAACUCCCGUAUGGUUUCUAAUGUUGUGUCUUGACUCUCGCACAAGUCACACACUUGGAAACAUACUUUGCAACAUUAAGCUUCAUCGUCGGCCAACAGUUGUAGGGUUUCAGGUCCCUAUACAUCUUAGUGUCGCCGGGAUGAAUUAAGUACAUGGUUUUGUAAGCUUCUUCCAUCAGAAUUUCUCUGACUCCUCUUGUCUUAGGUAUCUAAAUCCGAUCUUGGAACACCUUCAGUGCAUGACUGUUUACACCGAACACUAACGUUUUGCCCAAACAUUCUCCCUUUCGGUCAUUCUUCUCAGAAGCUUCCUCUUGAACUUUCUUUAUACUUUCCAUUAUUGUCGAGACAACUUCAAUUCUCAACGCUCUUGGCCUCUUCCUUUCAAGAUUGACUUUCCGACUGAGAGCAUUAGCAACAACAUUUGCUUUGCUGGGGUGGUAAAGUAUCUCACAGUCAUAGUCCUUAAGUAACUCUAGCCAGCGUCGUUGCCUCAUAUUCAAUUCCUUCUGAUUAAAGAGAUAUUGGAGACUCUUAUGAUCAGUGAAAAGUUGGCACUUCGUGCCAUAGAGGUAAUGUCUCCAUAUCUUUAGAGAGAAAACUACCGCCGCCAACUCCAAGUCAUGAGUCGGGUAGUUCUUUUCAUGCUCUUUCAACUGUCGAAAUGCAUAUGCGAACACCUUUUCCCUUUGGUUCAAAAUACAACCCAACCCAACACCUGACGCGUCGCUAUAAAAACAAAGUCUUCAACUCCAUCGAGUAGAGAAUGUAUCGGUGCCUCGCAUAGUUUCUUCUUUAGCUUCUCGAAUGCUUCUUUAUGCUUAUCACUCCAAGCAUAAGUAGCUCCUUUGUGGGUCAAAGCUGUUAAUGGAGUAGCGAUCAAAGAAAAGCCUUGGAUAAACCUUCGGUAAUAUCCGACUAAUCCCAAAAAGCUUCAGAUCUCCGUGGGACUUUUCAGUUGUUCCCAGUUCAUUACAGCUUCAAUCUUUGCUGGAUCAACCAUUAUUCCUUCUUGGUUGAUCACAUGACCCAAGAAUUGGACUUCUCGAAUCCAAAAAUCACAUUUGAAGAACUUAGCAUAUAGCUUCUCCUUAUUCUAGACUUCUAACACUUCUCGCAAGUAUCUACCAUGCGCCUCUUGGCUUUUCGAAUAAAUCAGAAUGUCAUCUACAAACACUAUCACUGAUUUAUCAAGGAACGGAUUAGAAACCCUGAUCGUUAAAUCUACGAAUGUUGUUGGAGAAUUGGUUAGUCCAAACGACAUAACCAAAAACUCAUAGUGUCCGUAUCGUGUUCUGAAUGCAGUCUUCUCUAUAUCCUGCUCUCUUACUUUCAGGUGAUGAUAUCCUGACCUAAGAUCGAUCUUUGAGAAAUAGCUCGAACCUUGUAGUUGAUCAAACAGGUCAUCAAUCCUCGGCAACAUAUAUCUAUUCUUUAUUGUUGCCUUUUUCAGAUCUCUGUAAACGAUGCACAUUCUCAUACUUCCAUCUUUCUUCUUUACGAAUAACACCGGAGCUCCCCAGGGUGAUGAACUAGGUCUAAUGAAACCUUUGUCCAAUAACUCCUGAAGUUGCAUCAUCAGCUCCUUCAUCUCCGUCGGUGCUAAUCGGUAAGGUGCUUUUGCNNNNNNNNNNNNNNNNNNNNNNNNNNNNNNNNNNNNNNNNNNNNNNNNNNNNNNNNNNNNNNNNNNNNNNNNNNNNNNNNNNNNNNNNNNNNNNNNNNNNNNNNNNNNNNNNNNNNNNNNNNNNNNNNNNNNNNNNNNNNNNNNNNNNNNNNNNNNNNNNNNNNNNNNNNNNNNNNNNNNNNNNNNNNNNNNNNNNNNNNNNNNNNNNNNNNNNNNNNNNNNNNNNNNNNNNNNNNNNNNNNNNNNNNNNNNNNNUCUUUCCCAGGUGGGUUUACUUUGACUAUCUUCUUCUUGCACAAUAUCUCAGCAUCAUUGGCGCUAAGCCAAUCCAUUCCAAGCACGAUGUCAAAACCUUUAAGUUCAAUAGGCAAUAAUUUCUCGUGAAACUUAUUCUCAUUCAAAUCAAUUAAGAUGUUUUUCAUACGAUGACUAACAGGUACAAACUUGCCACUAGCAACUUCGACUAAUAAAGCAUUAUCUAGUCUAUCGACAGGCAAAGCUAGUUUUCUACCAAAUUCAUGUGAAAUAAAGGAGUAGUUGGCUCAAGACUCAAAUAAAAUUUGGGCAGGCAAUUCGUUAACGAGAAAGGUACCUGAAGCGACAUCAGCUUCAUCUUUAGCAGCUUCCAGUGUCAUCUGGAAGGCUCUCGCCUUCGGCUUUGGCGGAAUGUUGGGUCUUGCUGCCUCCUUUUUGGGGCAGUCCCUAGACACGUGUCCCUCCUCACCACAACCAUAACAAACUUUCUUGGUGAGAGUGCAUUCGUUGGCAUAGUGCCCUGGCUUUCCACAUUUAAAACAUGUGGCCACUACCUCACAUUUUCCAUGAUGCUUCUUCUUACAUUUGUCGCACCAUUUUGCUUCGCCUCCUCCUCCUCUCGAACUAGACUUCGAGAACUUUUUUUUCUUGUUGGACCUGAAGGUCCUUCGAACUUCCUCUUUUCACCAACCUCUAUCCUUUCCAGACCCUUUUCCUUCUGUUGGGCCUCCACAUUCUUAGCUGCUCGAACAACUUUUUUCAGAGUGGUUGCCAUCUUGACUGUCGGACCUAAUUCGGUAGGUAGUCCAUUAGCAAACCUCUCAAUCUUGGAGAGUUCCGUUGGCACCAGGUACGAAAAUAACUUUAUUUUCUCAGUGAAUGCAGUAGGAUAGUCGUCUACGCUCAUUCUCCCCUUCUUCAAGUUUUGGAAAUCAUUGUUCAAAUCAAUCAGAUCUAUCUUUGAACAGUACUGCACCCUUAGUUGUUCCAAGAAAUCCUCCCAUGACAUUUUCAGGGCUUCUCCUCAUUGCAUAGUAUCUGCCAACAGCUUCCAAAAACUCAAGACACCAGUCUUCAGUUGUCUAAAUGCAAAGACAGUCUUCUUUUUGUUGCUACAGUCGCAACUUUCAAAUACCAUCUCCAUUUCGGAGAUCCAAUCCAUAAUCUCAACAGGCUUCAGGCUUCCAGAAAGACUUGGCGGCUUGGCGCCCAAGAAAUUCUUGUACAUUCGCCCAUCCUUGUUGUUUCUCCUUUCCGGGUCGUUCCUUCGUUCUCCUUGAGUCCCAACUUGACUCAUAAUGCGACUAUUGUUUCCGUCCUCCGAUUGUUUGGGAAUCAGUUCAGGUUCCUCAAUAGGUAUGAUUGGUUCAUCCCUAUUUUCAUGUAACAUUUGUUGCAUUUCUUCCCUUUAUUCGGCUAACAUAGCCUGAACCAUGGCUUGCACCCCAGCCAUUGUUAUUGGUUCUGGUGCUGCUGCUACAACAGGUAUUUGCUCAAUCACUGGUGGUUGAUUCCUGUUUUCAUCUGCAUUUCCAACGCCACUCCUGGUUCUUACCAUUUUUUAUCUACACACCGAAUAAGGUGAAAUUCGAUCCUCAUCCAUGAUAGAUAAUUAAAUCAUCCUUAUCACUCCGAAACAUUUACAUGUUAGUUCUAAUACCGACGUCAUACGCUUAGAAUCUUACACACAUAAGGUUUCAAGAUCCGGUCGGCAGUAUACCAUAGAUCCGAACAAAUAAUAUCAUAUAUGGCAACAUAUAACAUUUAGCACAUAAAAGCAUUUUAGGCAGCUUCCUAAAAUAUACUAGUGCUCGUGUCUAUAAUAUAAUAGACACACAUCUCACAAUCUCCACUUAGCAUUCUAAUUUUAAGUCUAGAAAUCCUACAAAUUCCUAGUUCGCUUAAACUAAUGCUCUGAUACCAACUGUGACAUCCCCAAAAUCACGGCCAGAAAAGACCGUCUUAAUUUAUGCUUUUACACUAAUUUCAGAGUAAAUCCUUUGAUUUAAAAGAGUUGCGGAAUUUGUUUCCAAAACAAAAUAUGAUAAAAUAAAGUUUAUCAAAGCAUUUCAUUAAGAGAUACAUUUUCAUUAUAUAACAAUGUUCGGGAUGUCAUGUUCAGAUAAACAGACCAAAAGCAUAAACAACAAAAGAUAGACCAUACAACAGUUACAUAUAACAAAUGGUCUAAUAUCAAAAGAUCUUGAUAUGUCAUCCAACUUAUGCUAUCACGCCAAUACCUGUAAUACAAAUAAACUGAGUGGGUCUGGCUUGGGAACCUGGUGAGCAUAUAGGGUUUUCAACCUGCAAUAAAUAAUUACAUUUAAUUUCACCAACCAACAAUAACCCGAUUACCCAUUCCCGUUAUCCUCACUUUACGUCCCUAAAACAAUAUCUAUCUCAAGGGACCUAAUCAAGGAUUUUCAGCGGGACGGACAUUACUGCAAAGGGGUUUCCUCAACAGUAGAUGUCCUAAAGGCAACCAUGAGGGGGAUAGAGUACACCGGUGAAUACAUCGUUCACAACACCUACAGGUUAUGAGCCUGCUAGCGUUCCACAGGACUGACUAGAAAGAGUCUGUGGUCGUUAUCCAUACUCCGCUGAAUAACUAGAUCAACAACAACAACAUCGAGGCCUCUCAUCUGUUUAUCACACAUCAACUAUCUACCCAUGUUCUACCCAACAUAUUAGCAUAUAAAAAUAUAUAUUUUUAUACAUAGUUUAAAAACUAUAUAGCAUUCUCAUUCAAUACAUAUUCCAAUCAAUAGAUGAGACAUAUACACAUCGCACGUAUUUCAUAGAGAAUAAAUCAUAUCUAAGAGAUAGAAGAAAGUGAAUAUACAUUCACACAUAUAACAACAAAAUAUACACAUAACACGUAUUCUGUAUAAAAUACUUCAGAAUUAUGCGUUAGAAGAAAGUAACUACACACUCACUUGAUCAGAAGAUGCUCGGACAGCACUACAGCUCUAAGAGUAGUAUUCUUCGGUGAAACUGGGUUCACUUCACUCAUCGGACUUCUUAUGGGCAGAGCUUCGGCUCGGAAACUCUUUUCUUCGCGGGAUCUUCGAGCUUCUGGACUUGCUGCGGGUGUCGGGAUGAUACCGGGGCUUCGGGGGUACUUCUUUGCAUGUAAAUUGAGGUAAGAUGAGUGAGAGAGAAGAGAUUUGGCAACCACAAACGGCUGCCCCUUCAAAUCUAUUUAUAGGGCUGUUUUCUCAUUUUCCAUGUCGUGGGCACUUCUNUUCACAUCGUUACAUCAUCGCAAGUUGGGUCUGGUAGACUCCAGGAGUCGUCAAAAGACAUGCCACGUCGUGACCACUGAUUUCACAUCGUGGUCUCUGACAGUCUUGGAGUUUCGCGCCCCGAACUUCAGAAAUUCAUAACUUUAACAUACGAACUCCGUUUUCGACGUUCUUUAUAUCGACGCGUAGGUAAAAACAAGGUCCACAACUGUUAUUUAGACUUUGUAGGCUUAUUUUGACUUUAUUUUUAAUAUAUUAAUAAUAUACUAUUUUUAGUAGGCCGGGACAGGAAAACUCCGUUAGAAAUUCAUAACUCCUUCAUCUGACGUCUGUUUUCGACUGUCUUUUCACCGUUGGACUACUAUCGAUGAGAUCUUCGAUUCUCGUUUAGGUUGUUUCGGCUAAAUAUCGCUCAAUUUCAUAUUCGAACUUCGGGCUGUACACUGCUAAACCGAAACUUCGAAAAAUCAUAACUUCCUCAUACGAAGUCAGAUUUGCACAUUCUUUUUAUGCAUGCUCUCGGUUUAACGAACUCUACAACAUUCCUUUAGAUCACUAAGUCCAAAUAUUGCUCUAAUGUAAACUCACUAUUUACGUCUCGCUGUUUCGUACCGGUUCUGUCGCGAAACUUUGACAUGUUAUAACUUCUUCUUUAUAACUUGUAUUUCGGCAUUCUUUAUAUAUUCGGAAACCUCGUUUAAACUUCUACAACAUUAUCCAUAGAUAUCGACUUUAUCUAACAUUUCAUUUUGACGCUUAUUUUUAUUCUUAAUUAAAUUAAGACACACAAUUAAGCACAAAACACAUAAUACUCAAAUAAUACACUUCUGUUAUUUCAAAACGGGUUACAAAGAUUAACCUAGACUAUUAUAUCAACAUUAAUGACAAGCCCAUAAACACAGUCAUUACAAACGCUAGCAGGCUCAUAACCUGUAGGUGUUGUGAACGAUGUGUUUACCGGUGUACUCUAUCCCCCUCAUGGUUGCUUUUAGGACAUCUACUGUUGAGGAAACCCUUAGCAGUAAUGUCCGUACCGAUGAAAAUCCUAGAUUAGGUCCCUUGAGAUAGAUGUUGUUUUAGGGACGUAAAGUGAGGAUAACGGGAAUGGGUAAUCGGGUUAUUGUUGGUUGGUAAAAGUAAAUAUAAUAAUUUAUUGCGAGUUGAAAACCCUAUAUGCUCACCAGGCUCCCAAGCCUGACCCACUCAGUUUAUUUGUAUUACUAGUAGUGUCGCGAGGGCAUAAGAUGGAUGAAUCAUCAAGUUAUUUUAUUUAUUAGACCAGUUAUUAUAUGUAACUGUUGUAUGGUCUAUCUUUUGUAGUUUAUGCUUUUGUGUCUGUAUCGGAACAUGACAUCCCGAGUUUUGAUUUUAUAAUGAAAAUACAUUUUGUUAUGAAAUGCUUUGGUAAAUAUUAUUUUAUCAUGCUUUUUUUGGAACAAAUUCUGCAACAAUUUAAAAUCAAAAGGAUUUACUCUGAAAUUAUUUAAAAAAACAUAAAUGAAACUGGUCUUUUCUGACUGUGAUUUUGGGGAUGUCACACUGCGCCUAAUCGAGAACAUCAUAAUCCUGGCAGCUACGCCCAAAGGACAAUAUUAGCACUUGCGCCUAAUAGAGAAUAUUAUAAUUCUGGUAGUUGCGUCUAAAUGAUAAUGUUGGUAGUUGUGCUUAAUAGAUAACGUUGACAACUGUGUCAUUAGGAAAACGGUGGACUGCGUGCCUAUUCCUUAGGAAAAUCCUUAGGAAUGAAUGAGUUAAUGAUAAAUGAUUCUUAGGAUACAUCCUUAAGAAAUAACGAAGAUAAUGGGGAUGGAUAAUUGGGUUAAUUUUUUAAUGAUUAAACAUAAUUAUAUUAUUGUGGGUUGAAAACCCUAUGUACUCACUAGGUUUCCCAAUAUGACCCACUCAAGUUUAUUUGGAUCACAGGUGUCUAUACGAAGCUACUUUACACUGAGAGAUUAAGGAGACGUAAAUCACUAGUGUAAAUGAAUGGAAGGUCUGUUUAUGCUUAUAUUUAUGUAUUAACGAUGACGUCCUAAAGUUUUAAAAAGAAAUGAAAUACAUUUCUUCGAAAAUGCUUUGAUAACACAUUUAUCAUGUUUUUCUGGGAACAAAUUCCGCAACAUUUUUAUAAAAAGGGUACUCUCAUUUUUAAAUAAAGCAUAAACAAAUCGGUCUUUUCUGGCUGUGAAAAUGGGGAUGUCACAAUUGGUAUCAGAGCAUUAGUUUAAGAGAACUAAGAAUAAGGGUUUAUUUCUAGACUUAAACUUAGAAUGCUAAGCGAUGAUUAUGAGUUGAGUGUGUGAUGUUGCGCAUAAAAAAACACAAAGAUAACCAAGAAUGAACCUGUUGAUUCUAAAAGAAUAGCCAGGACAAUCUCUUCAAAACCACGUUGAUUCUACGAAUACUGUGGGAUUGGCUUCAAAAACUGGGUUAACACGCACAAAAUUUGGGAGAAAACUGAAAGUUCAUAAAAUUGAUGAUCGACCAUCCAAAUUACAUAAAAAACAGUUAAAUAAAAAGCAUAAAUUAAAAUGAAACCCUAAAAGUCCAUGGGCGAAAUACAAACCCAAAAAUUAAGGAAAAAUAACAAAAUUGUUCAUAACUCCAUUUAGAAAGCGAUUUCUGGACUCAAAAUGGGUAAGUCCCUUUCGGGGACUUAUCUAGAUGUGCUCCUUGCUCCAAGCUUCGACUUGACUGGUCGUAGGCCCAAAACGGAGACUCGUAGCCAAAGUUAUGGCCAUUUCCGUGAAGCCCCUUUAAUCACACGAUCGUGGGCCUCUAGGAAUGCAAUGGCCCGAUCCUCCACACUAGGGCCCGCAUCUGUGUGUCUAAUAUAUUUUAGGUAGUACACCUGAAUAGACACAGCCACUAUCUUAUUUUGGGAGGAUGCCUAAAAUGCUUUUAUGUGCUAAAUGAUUUGUGAUACUUUAUGAUGCUAUUGUUCGAUCAGAUAUAUGGUAUGUUGCCCACCGGAUCCAGAAACUUUAUGUGUUUAGAUUUCAAAAUGUUUAAUUACAGUAUUAGAACUGGCAUGUAACUUUUCGGAGUGAUAAGAAGAUUUACAUGUGGAUCGUAAAUAAAACCUUUCCUAUCUUAAUUAUCAUCAUUACACAUCAAACGUCUGAUUUGGUGUAUAGAUCAACAUGUUGAGAACUCGAAGCGGAUUAGGAGACGCUAAUGGAAAUGUUGAUCAACGGCCUAUGAUUUAACGUGCACUAAAGGUAGCAGCUACACCAUAGCCAAUCACAAUGGCAAGAGUCCAAGCAAUGAUUCAGGCUAUGAUAGCCAAACAAAGGGAGGAGAUGAGGCAAAUGUUGCUUAAUAGGGAUGAACCUACCAUGCUCAUUGAAUAACUAGAACUAAAUGAUGAACAGUUAGAGAAGGGAAUUACAGUAGAACCGUUGGUCAAGCUGAACUGCCAGUGGUUAGGAGGAAUAACCAAGAGGAAGGGAUCAAGAGAAAUAGAUGCAAGUAUAAGGAUUUCACAACUUGCAAACCAUAGAUUUUCACUGGGAAAGAGGAUCCAAAUCGGAGUUACAGACCGGAUCUCGGAGAUGGAUUUGGCUUUCAUAACAUGUAGAUUCAAAGGAAAGCUAAAAACCAUAUAUGCAGUGCGUCAGUUGAUGGGUGGAGUUGUUCACUAGUGGAACACUUUGGGAAAGAUCAUGAGUCCUAAUGAGCUGCUGCAACUGACGUGGGCAGAGUUCCUAGUGCAUUUCAAACGAAAGUUUUGCUCGGCCCAAAAUCUGUUGGAGCUAGAGAACCAAUUCCUAACAUUGAAGAAGGGCAUCAUGCCUAUUGACGAAUACAGCAAUGCCUUCACCGACAAGAUGGAAUUUUCUUUGCGCAUCGUCCCUGGCGAACUAACUAAAGUCGAUAAGUAUACAAAGGGACUACCAUGGGAAUAUGUUGUGCUAGUACGCCAGGCACCUACCAUCGAGGCGACUAUCUGGGCUGCUAAGUCUGUUGAAGAAAUGAUCAAGAGUAGGGCCACCAACAACGUCGAAGUUGGUGAAAGAGAAAGUUUGAAGGAUCUUCAAUGUCCAAUGAGAGGAGAAAAUGCUCGAAGUCUGGUUCGAAGAAGUUUGAAGGAGGAGGAGGUGAAGCAAGAUGGUGUGAUAAGUGCAAGAAGAAACACUUUGGAAAAUAUGGCAAGAAGGUGACUUGUUUCAAGUGUGGAAAGUCUGGGCAUUAUGCCGAUGAGUGUAUAUUCAACAAAAGGGUGUAUUACGGAUGUAAUGAAGAAGGGAAUUCAAGCUGGACUGCCCAAAGAGGGAAGGAGCUACAAAGCAAAAUGCACCGCCAAAGCCGAAGGCAAAAACAUUCCAUAUGAUCCUUAAUGAAGCAGAUGAUAAUGCAAGGAAUCAAGAAUGAGGACUGAUACCCGAAGAUCAAGUUAUGAAGUAGCCAUGCAGAUAGUAUCAGGAGGUGUAGCCUAUUAGAGGCAUAUUAUAGGUUGAACUUUAACAUCCAUGUAAUCAUUUCAAGAAGUAAUAUAAGCCUUGGUUUUGUUAUCUGGUGCGUUAAGUUGUUAUGUGAUUUUCAAGUAUGGUGACUUGGAAAACUGCGAGACAAUACUUGGGACAAGUAUGAGUAUAUGUGAAUGGUAGUAGAGGCCUAUACUACCAGAAGCACAGGACUCGCACUUGGAUUAGGGAAAGUCACAAGGUUACCAAGGCACUAGUAAUUGAUUCUUUUUUGUUCAUGUUUGUCGUCACCAUCGUUUCGGUAAUGACUAAGAAGAUGAUUGUUAGUCCAACCCUAGUGGUCAUAUCAAAUCGAGUCCGACUAAGAUGAAUAUGUUGCGUGGUUCAAAAAACCAAGGUCGAUGUUGCAUCUGACUUAAGCCAGACGAUUGAAGUGAAAGAUAAUCGAACCGAUCAAUAGAAGUAUCGUAACCUUUGUUAAGGUAAGAAGCUUGUAGCUAGAAGUGCUACAUGCUAGAAUAUGAUUAUAUCACAUUAGAACAUGAAGGAAGGUAUAUUUUGUUCUAUAGUUUGACUCUAAAAGACCUAAGUCUAAGUGUUGCAUCAUACGAUAAGAGGUCAUUACAACAUGACCCAUCGGUUUAUUGUGGUAAUCAAAUAACUUCUCUUAAUAUAAGUAUGUUUAACAAGAAGUAGGAGUCUCUGAUUUGGAUCGAUUUUGUAACUCGAAGGUUACGAUUGGAAGUCCAACAUAGGAUAAAGAACGGGUGCAAGAUUGAGUACCUCCUGCGGUCAAGAAGUCCAAGAGUUUGAUACUCAUUCGAAGGAACAUAAAAGUUACGAUUAUUACCUAAUAUGAAGAGAUAACAUAAGGAUUCAUUAUACAAGCCCUAUUUUGUUGAUUAUUCUGGGACGUAAUCAUCCUAAGGAGGAGAUAACUGUAACGCCCGCAGAUUCAGGCUAGUCAAUUAGAGAUAUUGAGCGUCAAAAAUGACAUUUUUAUGGGAGUUUAUUUAGAAGAAAUAAUCUUAACCUAGUAAUAGUAUAUGUCACAAGGGUUCCGUACAUAUAAAGAACGCCGAAAUCCGAGUUAUAACGAAGAAGUUACGACCCGACGAAGUUCUACAGCAAAACCGGCACGACACCGCGUAACAUAAAAAGUGAAUUUUUGAUAAAUUACUUUUUAGCCUUAGAGAUAUAAAUGAAAGUUAUAAUAUAGGUUAAACCGAUAGCAUGCAUAAAAAGAACGUCAAUAUCUAACUUCGUAUGAGGAAGUUAUGAUUUUUCUAAGAUUUCGCAAAGUAGUAUACAACCCGGAAUUCGAAUUUCAGAUCGAGCGAUUUUUAGCCAACACAACCUAAAUGAAAAUUGAAUAUCUCAUUAAUAGGAGUUCAACGAUAAAAAGACAUUAAAAAUGGAGUUCGAAUGUACAAGUUAUGAAUUUUACACGGUCAUUAACAAUGUAAUCUUCUCAUACUAGUAAAUUUAAAAUCGGUCGAGAGUUAGCUGUUUGAGUCAAAAGGAGAGUUGUAGAUCAUGUCAAUACCUAUGCGUGGAUAUAAAUAAUGUCAAAAAUGGAGCUCGUAUGCAAAAGUUAUGAAUUUUUGAAAAUUGGUUGUUUUACCUGCGUCCAGCACCACGUGUCAGCACCAAGCGAAGCCAUGGUGCCUACGCAAGGCCACGACGUGGAUUGGCUCCAGAUAGCCUAUAAAUAGAGGCGGAAAUCAUCCGUUUUCUUCACACCUUCACCCUUCUUUCUCUCUCAACGCUCCUAAUCUCUCCCUCCCAAUCCCUAGCAACUUCUAAGUGCUCCGAGAAGAAGAUCUUUCGGCUCAGAAGUUCCACCCCCGCAUAGCCCGGUUCCUAGCCAAACCCACGGUAAGUUAGUUAUGAUUACCCUACUUUAAGUAUAACUUAUGUUUGAGUUUAUUAUCAUUAUUAUGAACUUAUAAACAAGAUUUAUCAAUGAUUCCAAGUAGUUAUAUUGAUUGAUCUACUUAUGGGGAUAAUGUCUAGGCUGUGAUUUUGUGAGGUGUUUAAAGUGGGGUUUCCAAAUAGUAUACUUCGUAUACCAAACGAACCCUACCUCUGAUAUGAUCCUACCUGGUUGCUCUUUACAUGAUAGAUCAUGAAAGUAGACUUUGAGUUAAUGAUGAAUCUAGACUAAUAAUUAGUUGCAAUAAAGAUUAGACUAAAACUUAGCGAUAAUAAUGUUAGGUUUCGUCGAAGGAAGAUAGAAUCGUUAGAAGUGAAGCGUUUCUCGACUUUGGAAUUAUCACUUUGAAAAGUGAGUGCAUAGUUACUUUCAUCUUACACAUUGAUAUGAAGUAUUUUAUAUAAAUUACGCGCUAUGUGUGCAUGUUAUCUGUUUACUUGAUAUAUAUGAUAAAUGAACGAUCUUAUACAUGUACUCUAAACAUCCUAGUAGCUGUGCUCAAAGUGUAGUAUCGGUAGCUGUGCCGUCACACCCCCAAACCAGAACGACGGAAACGUUCAGGGGCGGAGGACGUCAUGUAUAGUAUCAUAACAAUGCAUAAUAGUAAAACAAGCAACAACAUCAUCCAUUGAAUUAAUGAUAGAAUUUAUACAUGUGUGUUCUUUGUAAAGUUGUAAGACACCAAAAAUAUAUAAUCAAAAUAAAGACGAGUCUUGAAUACGCUCUGUCUCCUCAAAACCUGGUCAUCGAUACAUGUCUACUGGUGACCUAAGAAUACAAGUUAUUUUGAAAGAGUAGAUCAACAUUUAAGCUGGUGAGUUCAUAAGUAUAUUAGUGUCAAAAAUUUUCAUCUGUUUCAUGAAAAUGUUUGUAAGUAUUUAGAUGUAAAUGUUUGUAUGCUUCCAAGAAAAUCCUAUAUUUUCUACUAAAAUGAAAAGUAGUCUUCUUCCAAGACUCAACUGUUUUGUAUGUUUGUUUUCUCGUAAAAAUUGAUGUAAGAUGUAUGUUUGUACUUGUAAUAGUAUAAAUGUGGGUUUUCCAUAUUUUUUUAAAACUUUCUAUACACGAAAAAUAGUAUGCAUUUCUUACGUGAGAAUAUCACUGUGUGAAUAUGAUGGAAAAAUGACGAUAUUCAGUAGUGUUGUAUAAAAUAUCUACUGAAGCACUAACUACCUUAAAGCAAAUUGUUAAUUAAGGUAAAACGUGAUGAGGUUAUAACCAUGCUUGAUUGACUUGUAUAAAACACAACGAUCAAAAUACAUCGAAAUGGUAUGACAUUUGUCACUUGUAGACCUGUAGGUCCCAUUGUAGCUAGCAACAAGGUUUAGGAUGGUCAAUCCAGUAUAGAUCUAUACACAAACUCACGCUCUCCCUCCAAGAGACUCUGGUUACAAAGCGUGACACAACAAGUAUAUUGAUAUGCCAUGAAGUAGUGGCUCACAUUAAUGUUAUCUUGUUCUAGUUAUAGUAUGUAUGUUCCUUUCUGUUCUAGUUAUAGUAUGUAUGUUCCAAUCUGUUCUAGUUAUAGUAAGUAGUAAUACUCUAAACUAUACCUAUUAUAGUUUACUAGUAUGAUUGUUUGACUGUUACUAAUUUGCAGAAAAGUCUCAAUUACUCACAUAAGCAACUAACUUAAGUAUGUAACUUAAAAAUGGGUUUAAUAUUCAUAUAUGUAUUUAAUAAGCAUAACUAUGAUUUUGCUGACAUUCGAACUAGUGAUCCUACCCUAAGCCCACAACCAAACAAAGAAACAGGAGUUAAGGUAUCUCGCAGUAGUCCUAAGCCCGUUAAAGCAUACUUACACGUAAACAGAUAGACGAAUAUGAUUUGAUAUAAAAGAAGUUUAUAAAAGAUUUAAAAGAGUUUUAACAAGUUUUGAGUAUAAGAAAUCCCUUUGGAUGUUGUUUUCACAUGUAAAUGGUUAACAAAAUUUAAUUGUGUUCUACUUGUUAUCCCCCAUAAAAGCAUUUAAAAGGUAUUUAAAAGUGUAUUGUAGGGGUAUGAACUCAUAUGUAGUGAGUGAUUCGAAUGAAAGAUCGAUAUAGGAUGAUAAGUAUGCCAAGUGAAGUAUCGAGCACAAACGGGUCCUAUUAAGCAUAUAAUAACACAUAUAUGUAUACAAUUAGUAUAUAUAACAACUAAAAUGUAAGGGAAACAACCUUAGGAACUAGGAAACACUUUGAAUGAAGUGUUAGCAUCACAAAUGAUUGGCUGAAAGGUGUUCACGACUAAACAAGGGGUGUUCACGGCCUUAGGAGGGUACAUGUCCAUAGAACGCAUGAUGUGUUCACGGACCAAGGUUGAUCUUAUGAAGGUUUCACGGUCCUAUGAUGCAUCUAUGAAGGGUUCAUGGCCCUAUGAAGGGUUCACGGUCGUGAACUCUUGAAGAUCUUGCAAAUAAGUGUUUGUUUCAUGGGUGGAAUCAAGUGUUUCUAAGGGACAACAAGAUGAUGGAUGAGAUACUUAUGUUUUGGAAGCCUUUAGAAGUGUUCACAGUUGAAGAUAGUUGAGAGAGAAGUGGUGUUCACGGCUAGGGUUUAAAGAAAUGAAGAAAAAUGAGCCAACUCCUUAUAUAUAAGACUUGUUCACGGCCAAGGAUGGGUACACGGCCAUGAACCUAGAUGUGGCCGUGAACUCCUUUUGGUGGUGUUUCCGGCUCGAUUGCAACUCAAUGAACUCAAGCUAACACUUCCUAACUCACAAUCCUUGAGUGUACUAGGCUUAGAAAUUCUCAAACAUACCCUUAACACAACAUAAAGGUAACAGAAACAAGUCUGACUUUAGAUUGAAUUGAUUGACUUUACAAGAUAGAAAUUCCAGGUUGUCGCAUGUGCCUAAUAGAAAACAUCAUAACCCUGGCAGCUACGCCCAAAGGACAAUAUCGACUGUUGUGCCUAAUAGAAAAUAUCAUAAUUCUGGCAGCUGCUCCUAAAUGAUAAUAUUGGCAGCUAUGCUUAAUAGAUAAUGAUGAUAUAUGGUCCAUUAGCAUGGCCUAGACUGCUCUAGCGCGCCAUAUGAUGCGACAUCGGCUCCGACCACCUGCUCUAAGGAGAUGCUUCUGCACCAGAGAUAGAUCUGUGAGGUCACAACAAACAAGACCGUUAGAGCUGCCCCAAAGACUGUGCCCUGGGAGAGAGCUCCGACGGUCAAGUUAGAUCAUUUGGUAGAUCUGAGAUGGAUCUCUUUAGCUAGAGAGGAUCAUCCUUGUGUUGGUGGUGUUGUAUGGUGGUUGACGGCGGCGGGUGCCGGCUGAGCCACCCGGCCAAAGUAUAGGGCGGCGGCUGAGCCAAGGGGAAGAUCCUAAUGGUGGCAGAACCACCUAGGAAAGAGUCCUCCUUCAUGAAGGAGGCACUAUUCUAUUUAUAGGGGGACAACUAGGUCAAGGGGAAUUAGGUCAGGCCUUGGGCCAACCCAAUUCAGGCCCAGCUAGCAAGGAGCUGGGUAAGGCCGCCCGGAGGCGCCGCGCGGGACUUANUGACGGGCGCGUACCAGGAAAGGACGGCAAGGGUGCGCCAGGAAAGGGAGCGUCAGGUCGGGCCUGCAAGAGAUUCCCCAGCAAGGCUGGCAAGGGAGUCCCCAACAAGGUUGUCAAGGGAAUGCCAGGAGAGGCUGGCAGGAGCGCGCCAGGCCAAGAUGGCGCGCUAGAGCAGUGUAGGCCAUGCUAAUGGACCAUAUAUCAUUAGAUAACAUUGACAGCUGUGUCAGUAGGAAAAUGAUGGACUUUAUGCCUAUUCUUUAGGAAAAUCCUUAGGAAUGAAUGAGUGAAUGAUAAAUGAUUCUUAGGAUAGAUCCUUAAGAAAUAACGAAGAUAAUGGGGAUGGAUAAUUGGGUUGAUUGUUUAAUGACUAAACAUAAUUAUACUAUUGUGGGUUGAAAAACAUAUGUACUCACUAGGUUUCUGAACCUGACCCACUCAAGUUUAUUUGUGUGACAGGUGUCGAUACGAAGCUACUUUACACUGAGAGAUUAAGGAGAUGUAGAUCACUAGUUAAAAUGAAUGUAAGGUCUGUUUAUGCUUAUGUUUCUGUAUUGACGAUGACAUUCCAAAGUUUUAAAAGAAAUAAAAUACAUUUCUUCGGAAAUGAUUUGAUAACACAUUUAUCAUGUUUUUCUGGGAACAAAUUUCACAACAUUUUUCUGGCAUCGGGCCUCGCCCGGUAUACAAAUAACAUAUAAGCACAUGCAUAAAAAUCACUUAAACACAUGCAUAAAAAUCACAAUGAUAAAUAGCAUACAAUAUAAUCAUUACGCCCCGCCCGGUAAUCAUAUAAACACAUAACACAUGCAAGAGUAACACAUACAACUAGUAAGGAAACUCACCUCAAGCUGCAAAAUCACUCGGAUAAAAUCUCAAUCUGUUGGUCCGGAAGAUCCUCGCGCUAACCUCAUAAUAUAAAUAUCCAAUUAAUAAUUGGAUCUCGACCCAUAAUAACCAAUCUAAGUUCCUUUUCCAAUAUCCAGGGUAAAAGAUUGUUUUACCCUUUUUCUUACAUGGCCCAAAACCAAGGCCCAAUCCAUUGCUCAAAAGGGCUAAAUUCCAAAAUGGCAUCCAUAGGCCCAAUAAGGCCCAACUUCCAAAUUGGGCUGAAAAUCAUCAUGGACCUAAUCCCAUGAAAGUCCAUAGUCUAUCCAUGACCCAAAGUCAAAAUUCUAAUGACCUAACAAGGCCCAAAUCUUAAAAACCCAAAAUAUGGCCAAAACCCAGGGAAGUCAAACCAAAAGUCAACCUACUGUACGCUUAGCAUACUCCUUCCAGGGCAAGUAUGUGCAUCGUACCAACUGGGUAUGCCCAACGUACUCCCCAGAUUAUCAACCCAACCCAUUAAUAACUUAAUUGGUUAAGCCAACAUGCUAAACUCUCAGAUCUGGUUCUAAAUGGCGACUUACUAUGUAAAGUUGACAACUUUACACCCAUGCAUGAAUUAAUGGGGCCCAACACUAAAAAAGAAGCUUAAUAAGACUCUUAACACUUGCAUGGAAUAAUAUCUUACAUAAAGUUUGCAUUUUUAUGGGCAAAGGACCUCAAAUCAGCGAAGAUCUAACAUCCAUAGCUUCUGGAGUGGACCAUAACUUCAUAUAUGACUUAAAAGACCCAAAAACGCAUAAAUAUCACCAUAAAAUGGAUCUAGCACAAAGGACCAUCCAGAUGAGAGAUUUUUACCUCAAAAGGCUUGCUAAGGUGAAGAUAACUCUAGAUCUACAAGAUUAAGCUACUCCCAAGAAACCUCGAAGUGUUCCUCGUUUUCUUCUUCUUCACCACAAAACACCAACAAACUCACUUUCAAGCUCAAAUCUGACCAAAUACACUUAGGGUUUCGAUAUUGUGACAUAGGGUGAUGGAGGCUGAUCAAUAAAAUGUCCAAAGGUGGUUUAAGAUGUUUAAGUAGGCUGCAAACCCUAAAAAUUAGGGUUUGCCCCUGCUCUACGUAUGUCAUGCAUACUCUACGUACGCCCCACAUACGUGGGUGAAUCUUGCGUCCAGAAAAUAGAUAGUAUGAUAAGCGUACUCAUAGAGUAUGCCCUGUGUACUAGCUAUGGACCAAAAUGAUAAGGAUUUUGCAUUAAGGGGUUAGAAAGAAACUUACCAAAUUACGAAUGUUACAAUUCACUUUAAUCAGAAUUUGUCCUUGAAGUAUGCUGCUCCAAACAACUUUGGGUAGUGCUCUCUCAUCUCGUCCUCCGGCUCCCACGUCCAUUCUGAACCCUUUCGAUGCUGCCACUGAACUUUCACCAAUUCAACAACCUUGUACCUCAAGGCUUCGUCUUCCUGUCAAGAAUUGUUACCGGUCUCUCGAUAUAAUUCAUGCGAUCAUCCACUUAAAUAUCCUCUAAUAGAACCACCACGGAAUCAUCAAUUAAACAUUUUUGUAACUGAGAGACAUGAAAUAUGCUAUGGAUCAUACUAAGAUCCUCGGGAAGAUACAAGCGAUAAGCAACCCGAACCACCCGUGUGAUAAGUCCAUUUUAUGAAUGUACUAAAUUGUCAUAAAUCUGUUGAAUUGAUGUAUAAUUGUCCAAGAAUGGCACUACAUUGCUGAGUUAUUGAACUUCAUAUGCAGGUCAAUAUAUUGUACUAAAAGUGGGUGGAACCUACAAGUAAAACGGAUUGUUAAAGGAAUGAAGAAACGUUGCUGGGAAAAUUGACCAUUCUUCAAUGUUUUGGUCUAAUCUCAAGUUCUGGAGCUCCGAUUGACAUGAGUAUAGAAGUUCUGGAAACUAGACAAGAUUUUCUACAACUUUCGUGUUUUGUGCUUCUGCUAGUUAUGUCGUUUUGACUACCAAAACUUGCACAGAAGAUGAAGGACACCUCCAGACAUCUAAGACGUCCAGGUCAAACAGCCAACAUCUGGUCGUUAUUUCAGAGCAGAAAAGAAGGAAGAACCCCGUCAGCAUCUAACAUGGAAUCUAAGAUGUCCCCUAGGAUGUCUUGGCAUUUUAGGGACGUCCCGUGUUGGAACGGUGUGUUUAGGAAAGUUUAGAAAACAAGGCACGACGUCCUAGAACGCAUCUAAGACGUCUCCUAAGACGUUUGACGUUUUUGGCCAUUUUUUAGUAUAUUUCAAGGACGUACAAAGAUCGCUUGGGCGUUAUACACGACGUCUAAGAUGUCUCCUAGGACGUCCAACGUCCCACAUCGCCCAAUUUCAUUAUUUUUUAUCCCACACUAUAAAUAGGAGCCUAUUUCGUUGGUUAAAAUUCGGAUUCAAAGCAAGAUUCGAUUCAAUUCAUCAUCAAGCUAUAAGUGAAGAUCAUUUCAUUGGUUAAUUUUCAUCAAUUCUUUAUUUUCCAGAAUUAUUUCUUCUUCCCCAAGGUUUAUUUGUUCUACACUUCGAUAAUCAUUAGGCUACAUUUGUUUGAUGAUUCUACGUUUGUUUAUGAAUUCUAUAAUGGAUUUUAUUCAUUUUAAUCAAGUUAUUUGUCUUAUGAACUCAAUGGAAGGCUAAAUCAUUAGGGUUACUUCCGGGGAUGUUUAGGACUUUUUGAUGAACACACUUGAUUAUUACUUGAUUCUAGUUAAUUUCAAUUGUUGUUUUAUGCUUCAUGUGAUGAUCUUUUGGUAAUGAUAAUUGAAAUUGGGUUGUAUGAAUUGUUUGAUGUCAUAAUUAAGAUAGUCUAUUGUCAAUUCAUCAUUUGUUCCAAGUUCACAUAGUUUAGGAAUAAAGACAAGUGAUUGAAUCAACAUAUAUUAUUCCAACUUAUGAUAUUGAAUCUUAAUGCGGUAAUAGGUACUUGUAAGAUAUUUUAUUGCUAGUCCACUAAUUGUUCUUAAUCCAUUGAGGCAUAAAGGAGUAAGACAACUAGUUAAAUGAACAUUUAGUAUGCCCAAACUAUGUAUUACAAGUUAAUAAAUCCCAAUUGUAUCUAAGUAAUUGAAUUAGGAUUUAAGGGAAGAAAGUGUGUGAAUUUAAACUGUCCAUAACUGAACCGGGAGUACUCUAGUUUUCUCAUUGAGAUUUUCGUUGUAAUUAAUAAAUUUCCAUGCUUUUUGUUUGAUCUUUGCGUUAAAUUCUUUUUCGUGACAAUUGCUAGUAGCUUUUUUUCGUUGACUAUUUUAACACAAAGUUUGACAACAAACUCCCUGUAGAUUCGACCCUUACUUACCCUAGCUAUCUAGUGGUUUUGAGGUUAUUUUUGAUUGAUACAACGACAUCAAUCAUAAUUUGGCGCCUUUGUCGGGGAGAUUGUGCGCUUGAGCUAUUGUUUUUAAGUAGUUAUAGCCUUUUACUUUCAUUUUCAAUUCUCGUUUGUAGUUCACAUUUUGUUUUAUUUGUGUUGUGCAGGCACACUGGUGCAUGCAUACAAGACAUAGCAGACGCUCUUCACCGCUUGCAUUUGAUCCGGAAAUCGAACGAACAGCUCGCUCAAAUCGGGUCGCCAGAAGGAACAUCAACACUAUGAGUGUAGAUAAUGUUGUCGUGGAAGAUGUGGUUGAAGGGCAUGAGGAAGAAGCCAACAAUCCUCCACCACUAGUUCCACCACCAGCUCCUCAAUUCCCAAACAACAACAAUGGGAAUAACAACAAUGCCGGUGCACCAAUCAUCCAACCAGUGCAACCAUAACUGAAUAGAAACAACCGUGGCCAAAAUGGUGGAAACGGAGGAAAUUGGGCAUAGAAUAUGGGAGGCAAUGUAGGAAACCACACUGGUGGUAAUGUUAGAAAUCAUAACCAAAAUCCUAGAAAUGUUGGUCCUCAAUUCGGUAAUGGUGGUAAUGGUGGUAACGAGGAUGAUUGGGAUUUUGACGAUGGAAGUUACAACGGACUUGGUUGGAAUCAUAACCACAACGGUGGUAAUAGGCGGAAUCAAGGAAAUCGGGGUGGAAACGGGUACUAAAACAAUAACUGGAACAACCUGAAUUUCCCUAAUGGUGGCAACAAUUACUACAAUGAUGGGUUCGGAAAUCAAGGCUUUGGGAAUCAAUAUCGAAGGAAUCCAAAUGGUGGAUUCAACAAUGCGAAUGGAGGAUACUAAAAUGAAGGUAAUCAAUUCCCUCAUCUUUACUUUCUGCAGCCUAAUAGACAAUCUGUGGCGUCUCAUUUUCAGCCGAGAGAGUAUGAUGAUGCUUCACCCAUACUCUUCGCAGAAGUAAAUGAGCAUCAUGUAGAAGUAAGACCACAACUAAUUAGUGUCUUACCCGUCUUUAGAGGCCAUAAAACUAAUGAUCCAUACAAUCACCUCUAUGAGUUCCUUGCAAUUGCUAACGCGAAUACUCCGCGAGGAACUAAUAGAGAUUCAUUUAGACUUCUCUUAUUUCCGUUCACUUUAAAAGAAAAAGCUAAGUAUUGGUUCACUUCUCUUGCCCCCAUAGUAUCACUACUUGGGAGCAAUUAAAAACUAAAUUUUUGCAAGAGUUUUACCCAGCUAGUAAAACAACGGAAAUAAGAAAAGCCAUAGAAGAUUUUGCACAAAAACCCAAAGAAGAAUUUCAUGAUGCAUUUGAACGCCUCAAGGAAUUGUUCCGUUCAUGUCCCUAUCAUGAAUUUCCCCGUUGGCAACUGGUAGGUUUCUUUUAUGAUGGAGUCGAUACUGCCAAUCAAAGCAUGAUUAAUGCCUCGUCCGGCGGCAUUAUUAUGAUACAAGAUAGUGAAGACGCUUGGCGAUUCUUAGAGUAGUUGAGUCAUGGUUCAAAAACCAAUUACUCAGCUAAGAAACGGGACAAUCCAGUUUCAUCUGUUGCUUCAGUUGGACUAGACAAAAAACUGGAAAAAUGAAGUCAAAUCUGAUAUUAAUUCUUUAAAUAAAAUUUUUGACUUACUACUCUCUAGUCUAGGCAAAAAGAAAGGUGUGUUUUUUCGCAGGGACAGAAGAUAUGUGUAAGCUGUGGAGAUUCAUGACACAUUGCAGAUGAGUGCAUGAGAAUUCAAGAGGAAAUCAAUCAAGUGCAUGGUUAUGGUCAAUUCCAAAAUAAUCCACGAUCAUUCAAUCGGAACUACAUCCAAGGCGGGAACUACAACAACAUUGGGAUUUUCAACAACAACAACCGUCAAGGGAAUUACCAAAACCAAAAUCAGCCAAAACAGUUCCAGCAGUCCAACUUUAACCAAGGUGGAACAUCAAAGAAGGAGGAAAAUGAUGGCAACAAGUUGGACAAAAUCAUGGAGUUCAUAACCUAAACAUAUCAGAAAACCGACACUAACUCCAAGUCUAUAGCUGCUAUUGAGAAGCAAAUUGCUCAACUGGCGGAGCAAAUUGGGAAAAGAGAAGAUGGCAAGUUUCCAAGCACCACAACAGUGAACCCAUCUCAUACCCAGAGACCCCGAAAAGAGCAUCAAGUGAACGAGGUAAUUACCUUGUGUAGUGGAAAAAAGGUUGACAACAAGGUAAGUGCUUCUACAUUAGAUAAUGACAGUGACACUGAAGUCAUCUUUGAUGAAAAAGAAGAGUUUGAGAAAGAUUUUAAAUCCGAAAAACAAAAAGAAGAUAAGGUUAAAAAUGACUCUAAAGUUGGGGAGCAUGGUGUGGAGGUUAAUACCGCACCAUACCCUUCGGCUUUAGAGAAGCCGGCAUCCUUCCCUUUUGGGAAGCGAGGGCUAAAAAUGGAAGACAUGUGAGAUCUAUUUAGUCAAGUUAAAAUAAAUAUCCCAUUAGUCAAACUUAUUAAGGAGGUACCUUCUUAUGCUAAAUUUUUGAAGGAUUUGUGUGUUCAAAAACGCAAACUCCAAGCAUACCUCCCUAAAAAGAUUGAUUUAGUCAAGCAUGCGAGUUCGAUAAUAUCAAAUAAACUUCCACCCAAGCUUAAGGAUCAUGGAGCACCUUUAAUUUUUGUUACGCUAGGUAACAUUAAUAUAAAAAAGGCGCUCCUUGAUCUUGGAGCUAGUGUUAAUAUAAUCCCGGGAAAUUUUUUUGAUCAACAUGACUUAGGCACUUUGGAACAAACUGAUAUUAUUUUACGAUUGGCCGAUAAGUCAACAAAAAUUCCUUGGGGAAUAUUAUCAGAUGUUAUUAUUAAGGUGGGAGAUUUCUAUUACCCAGUUGAUUUUCUUAUGCUUGACACCGUGAGCACUUAUAAAGAAAGUCAACCUUCUAUUAUUUUAGGUCGUCCGUUAUUGACAGCAAUAAAUGCACAAAUUAAUUGUAGAACGGGUGCAAUGGAUAUCUCUUUUGGAAAUAGGAAACUUAGAAUUGAUAUUUUUAAUACGUUUCCUAACUCACCAUCAGAUUAUGAAUGUUAUCAUGUGGAUGUGGUUGAUGACUUAGUGCAUCAAUUCACUCUUAAAAUCUUACACCCUGAUCCAUUGGAGUUUUUUCUUUCUAAUGACAGGGACGAAGUUUUAGAGUUGGAUGACAUCAAGAUGGUUGAGGAGGCAUUUGAAAAUGUUAUUGAGCAAGAGAGGCCACCAUGGAGUUAUCAAGUUGAAAAAUUGCCAACAAGUUUUUCGGACCCACUUAAGCCAUCUUUGGAGGAGCCACCCAGUCUUGAACUCAAAACUCUUCCUUCACAUCAUAGAUACUCUUUUUUAGGAUCUAAGGAGAACUUACCAAUUACCAUAUCUUUUGAUUUGACAUGUCCACAGGAGGAAGCAUUACUGAAGGUGCUUUCGAAGUACAAGGGAGCAAUUGGAUGGACCAUAGCAGACUUGAAGGGAAUUAUUCCAGCCACAUGUAUGCAUUGAAUCAUCACUGAAGCUAGAGAAAAGCCAUCCCGAGAUGCACAACGAAGGCUCAACCCGAAUCUGCGAGAAGUUGUUAAAAAGGAGGUGUUGAAAUGGCUUGAUGCGGGUAUUAUCUACCCAAUAUUUGAUAGUGAUUGGGUGAGCCCGACACAGACAGUGCCAAAGAAGUCGGGCGUUACAGUGGUAGAUACAGAAGAUGGAGAGAAGAUCUCAACAAGAUCGGUCACCAGAUGGAGAGUUUGCAUCGACUAUCGCAAACUCAAUGCUGCAACAUCAAAUGACCAUUUCCCUCUCCCUUUUAUUGAUCAAAUAAUUGAGAAAUUGUAUGGUAAAAAGUUUUAUUGUUUUUUGGAUGGAUACUCGGGGUAUAAUCAAAUUGCCAUCCACCCCGAGUAUCAAUCCAAAAUGACAUUCACGUGUCCAUAUGGCACCUUUGCUUUCCGAAGGAUGCCAUUCGGCUUGUGUAAUGCCCCUGCCACAUUUUAAAGAUGUAUGAUGGCUAUUUUUUUAGACGUGGUGGGGGAUGCAUUAGAAAUUUUCAUGGAUGAUUUUUCUAUUUUUGGAUCAUCUUUUGAGACAUGCUUAGACCAAUUAGAAAAAGUUUUGAAACGUUGUAUUGACUCUAAUUUGGUUUUAAGUUGGGAGAAGAGUCAUUUCAUGAUAAAAUAGGGAAUUGUACUUGGCCAUGUUGUCUCCGAGCAUGGCUUUGAAGUCGACCGGGCCAUAGUACAAAUUAUUUCUACUCUUCUCCCACCAACUUCAGUAAAAGGCGCCCGUUCUUUUCUUGUACAUGCCGGCUUUUAUCGAAGAUUUAUCAAGGAUUUUAGUGCAAUGUCAAAACCUCUUUGUAAUUUACUUUUAAAAGAUGCACCAUUUUCCUUUGAUAAAGCAUGUCUUGAAUCUUUUACCACAUUAAAGAACAAACUUGUUGAAGCUCCUAUCUUGCAAUCACCCGAUUGGACUUUACAUUUUGAAAUUAUGUGUGAUCCAAGUGAUUACGCGGUAGGGGCAAUUUUGGGACAACGGGUGAAUAAAAAACCCAUUGCAAUUUGUUAUGCGAGCAAAAAAAUUUCGGAUGCACAAUUGAAUUACACUACUACCGAAAAAGAGUUGCUUGCGGUCGUGUUUGCACUUGAAAAUUUUAGAUCUUACAUAUGGGGAUCUAAAGUUGUAAUUUUUACCGACCAUAGUGCCAUUCACCACCUCUUGGAAAAGAAGGAUGCCAAACCACGUCUCAUAAGAUGGAUCCUUCUUCUUCAAGAGUUUAAUCUUGAAAUUCAGGACAAAAAGGGUUCUGAAAAUGUUGUGGUGGAUCAUUUAUAUAGAAUAACUAAUAAUGAUAACUCAACGAAAGUUAUUCAAGAAAACUUUCCAGAUGAGCAUAGUCUUGUUGUCAAAACUAUACCAUGGUUUGCUAAUUUAAUUAAUUACUUUGCGACAGGGGAAACUCCAUUGUAUUGGAAUGCUCAACAAAUGAGGUUCUUCCACUCUCAAACAAAAUACUACAUAUGGGAGGACCCAUAUAUUUUCAAAAUUGGAGCAGAUCAAGUGAAUAGGAGAUGUGUACCACAUACAGAGCAAGAAGACAUUCUUCGACACUGCCAUUCAUAUACAUGUGGAGGGCAUUUUAGUGCCAAAAGGCAGGGCAUCGGGUUCUACAAAGCGGUUUUUUCUGGCCCUCUAUUUUUAAAGAUGCACAUACAUUCGUUAAAGCUUGUAUUCGUUGCCAACAAGUUGGGGGGAUCUCAAGACGGGACAUGAUGCCAAUGACCCCAAUUUUAGUAGUUGAAAUCUUUGAUGUAUGGGGCAUUGAUUUCAUGGGUCUGUUCCCCACUUCUUUUGGCAAUCUAUACAUUCUUGUAGCCGUUGAUUAUGUAUCAAAAUGGCUCGAAACCGAGGAUACACACACGAAUGACCAUAGUGUUGUUUGUAAAUUUGUUAAAAAGAACAUAUUUUCUACACACGGAAUCCCUCGAACUAUUAUUAGUGAUGGGGGCUCCCAUUUUAAAAAUUGGCAUUUUGCAAAGUUACUUAAACACUAUAGUGUCACACAUAUGAUAGCUACUCCAUAUCACCCACAAACAAAUGGACAAGUAGAAGUGUCAAAUAGGGAAAUAAAACGAAUCUUGGAGAAGACUGUUCAUCCCGACCGAAAAGAUUGGUCAUUAAGAUUAGAUGAUGUGUUAUGGGCAUAUCGAACAACCUAUACGACGCCCAUUGGAAUGUCUCCGUAUCGGCUUGUUUAUGGAAAGCCAUGCCAUCUCCCGGUGGAGUUAGAACACCGUGCCAUGUGGGCCAUAAAAAAUGCUAACUUUGAAUUGAGUGAUGCAGGUAUAGAAAGGAAACUCCAAAUUGUUGAAUUGGAAGAGAUUCGAAAAGAAGCUUACGAAAGCUCAAGGAUCUAUAAAGAAAAGACGAAGGCAUUUCAUGACCGACAUAUUGUCCGAAAACAAUUCGUUAAAGAACAAUUGGUGUGGCUAUUCAACUCUCGUCUCAAACUCUUCCUCAGAAAGCUUCGGAGUAAAUGGAAUGGACCUUUUGUGGUGAAAAAUGUGGCGGAUCAUGGAUCUAUUGAAAUCAAGGACACGAAAGGCAGUGAACCAUUCAAGGUAAAUGGACAAAGACUCAAACCUUAUAUUCGAAUGGUAAAUGGUGAAACAACAUUCGUUGAGAAAACAACGCUCAAGGCAACACAAUAUUUAGAAACAACUUAGUCGAGGUAAACCGUCCGGCUGAAGACAUAAAACUUACCGCUUUUCGGGAGGCAACCCGUGGUUUGGUGUGUUUUUACUUCUAUUCUUCUUUUGGUGUGUUUUAAUUCUUUUCGUAUCGAGGACAAUCCAAGGUUUAAAGUUGGGGAGGGGGUAUUUAAUUUUUGUUUAAAAUUAAAUAAUAUUCGAAAAAUACUCAAAAAACAGCAAAAAAAAAUAGCCUCAGGCAUCCUAGGGGUGUCUUAGACGUUGUCUAAGACGCCGUCGGGCUGUCACUUCUUUUCCCCCCGAUGAAAACCCUUCGCGAAAAUUAAAAAAAUACCCUUAAUGUGUAUGACGUCCUAGGACGCGUCUAAGACGCCGGCUAGGACGUCGACGUGUUUUUCAACCGUUUUAUGCCGUUUUCUGCAUUAUUGUUGGUAUCUUUCUUCUCCAAACUGCCAUAGCCGAAAACCCACUUGUUCUUGCUUAUUUCCUUUGAUUUCUUGGCCAAAACUCAACCAAAAUUCGUGGUUUUUGUUGCAAUCUUCAAGAAAUCAAGUAAGAAACAUCACAUUGCAAGAUUUACACACUCUAAUCACUUAUUUGGGGCCGAUUUCAAAACCCACAAAAACUAGGGUUUCGAAAUUUUGACUUAUUUUGAGAUUUUACUUCAAGUUCUUGGUUCUUCUUCACUAGAAACACAAUUUCAACAAGGUAUAUGCUUCAAAACUCCAUCUUUUAGUUGAAUUUCAGAAUUUUUGCAUGUAUGUUCAUAUAUGUUUGAAAUUUUGAAAAAGAUGAAGAAUAUGAUAUAUAUUGGUAUGAAUUCUUGUGAAUUAGUGUUUGUAGUUGUUAGAAGUAUGUUCCAAACAAGUUGCAUGUGUUGAUUCGAGAAAUUUCUAAAAAUUGAAUUUUUGUUGUUAGUUGUUAAAAAAUAAUAAUAAUAAAUAAAAGCACAUAUAAUGUUGGAAAAUCAUUCUUAUGUUUAUAUUUGUGUUUGAAUUAAAAAUUCAAGUUUUUAGAAAAUUUCAGAAUGACACUGAAUUUUGACAUUGCAUUGUUAGUCUGAAUAUUUGCCUGUUACAGUUCUGUUCUGGUUUUAGUUAGAACUUGUCAGUUGAAGUUAACUUUUGGUUUAACUGUGUUUUUACUGAUUGGAUAAAUUUUUGAAAAAUAUUUAGUUACUAAAAACAUAACAGGACUUAAAACGGUUAUUUAUUUAGACUGGAUUUAUUUUAACUUUGUUUGGAACAACUUGCCAACUGAAUUAUUUGUUUUAUUUUUGUGACAUUUGAUAUGUUUAAUGGCAAGUUUUGUUUUGUGGUUUUGUGUAUGAAUUAUUUUGCAGAUGCCAGCAAAGAGAUCAAGGGUAGCAUCAUCAAGCAGUGCAUCUAGACAACCAGCUAGACAGUCGGAGCCAAAUGUACAUGUGGCUUUCAACCCACAGUAUCAGACAUUGCAUGAGCAUCUAGAUGACAUUCGUCCAACAGUUUAUGAGGCAACUCAUCCGAAUAUGGGUUUUAUUGUAGAGUACAUGGUGGAGCGACCGAGCUUCACUAGGUAUAAUAUUGUGGAGACGUUUGAUCGCUAUGGAUGGGGUGGAGUGCUAGACUUCAAUCCCACGCAGAUUUAUGUUGAUAUAGUGCAGGAAUGGAUGAGGAAACUUCGACGUGUCGAGGUGCCUGGUAGGCCGGAGGAGUUGCCGCUGAUUGGGACGGUCCGUACUCAUGAUAUAGUGAUAACUGUGCAGGGUAUUCGGGACAUGUUUCAUGUAGAUACUGGCUGUCAUUUUCAUUAUCUUGAGAAUCAUCUGACUGAGUAUAGAUGUAUUGACACGAGGGGGUAACCCUGGGGUUAGUAUGACUGAAGUAUACCGUAUAGUGUUCCAUGAGGGGACGAGGGCAUACGACAGAUUCCGCGAAUUGGUGCCUUUAGCAAAGGCAUUACAUAACAUUAUCACGAAAAAUGUGAACCCAAGGAAUAGUGAUCCUAGGGCGGUGAGGCCACAUGACUUAUAUGUAUUAUAUGGAUUGAUGAUAGGAUCUAUCUUUAUCUCUUAUGCAUAUAAUGCUAUGUGCAACAUAUGGUCCUGUUUUGAUAUCCAGCACAGAGUCACUACCCCCCAUGUUGCCCUGAUAUCGACAUAUGUUGCCUUGCUACUUCUUUUAGACACAUCUCAUUUCAUGUUGAAAAUGGGAGACAUAUUCUGAGGGAUUCUACCACAAAUCCGACAUACACGGCACCACUCGGAGUGGGGGAUGAGGAGCCAUUCGUUGGUGAUUUUUAGGGGGAUCAGUAGCAGCAAUAGGCAUAAGCAGCAGGUCGGGGAUAGAACAUGCAGGCAGCUUGGGAGGACUUUGUGGGGAGGCAGAACAUGCAUAACCAGGAGGUGCAGGCUUGGAUGGGGAGAACGGAUAUAUGGUUGAAGGGUGUCGAUACGACACUAGCUGAUAUUACUGAGCAGAUGCGACAGAUUGGCAUUACAUCUAGCAACACUUAUAGUGUUGCCACUCGUCAGUUGUACCAACAGGAGUACUAUGCAGAUGCUGCCUACACAUAGAGUCGUGUCCAGUAUGAACCGAUGGACAUUGAUCAACCACAGUAUCGAUACCGAGCUCCAGCUCCGUUCUUCUACCGAUCCGGGAAUCUGAGCAACUAUCCACCGCCAUCCGAGCAUGAGCAUUAUCAGCCACCACCAGCUACAGAGGACUCUACUCGCUUUGAGGAUUUAGUUGGAUCGAUCUUUGGGUAUCCUCCACCAUACCCACGUUAUCCUCCACAGUCGCCCCCACAUUGAACUUUGGUGAGAUCCUCUUUUGAUUUUUAUUUUUAUGGUUGUUUGAUGAAGACUUUUUUUAUUUUUAUUUUUAUUUUUCGUUUGCUUUUCAUGUCUUUAUUUGGGAUGAAUGUACUAUUAUUAAACUCAUUAUUAUUAUUACUCUCUCUUGGGUUGGUUCCAUUAAAUAUGUGAUGAGUUAGUAGCAUCUCUAUAUCUUGAACGUAACUCAUCAAAAUGGAAAAUGAUAGGAGUUUCGUAAAUUGAGUCAUAAUAUUUAUUUAAUAUUGAUUUUGUGGAUUGCUCAACCGAUUUGGGAAUAUUUAUAUUUAGUUAAAAAAUUGUUAUGUGAAAUACCCAAGUGUUUGAAAAAUGACGGUUUUUAGCUCGAGCCUACGAUCUUUCAAUUGAGGACCCAACCGAACAAUAUGUGUCAUCACGCUCUGAGUACUUGGUCUUACUUACUCUUGCGCCUUUGGGGUUGGGAGGGGACUAUUAUUGUUUUCACACAAUAAAAAAGCAUCAAAAGACAUUGAAGAACUUCCAAGUAUCUAUAUUCAAGCUCAAGUCAAAUACCAAAAUGAUCAAAUCCGAUGAAGCCAUCAAAGAACUUGAAGAAUGCAAAAUCAAGAUAAAUAUGAAGAAAAGUUCAAGUUGAAGACAUUGUGUGAAAUAAUGUGUGACCCCUCGAUAGCGGGAGCGUAUGGGUUGGUCCAUUAAGUGUUACCGACCGCGCUAACUAUGUUAGUGAACCUUGAAAAAAGGGACUUUGGCAAUGAGUUCAACUGAUUACUCAUGAGGGUGAUUAUUGGAAAGGGUUCAAAAAGUGGAGGGUUUCAAACAACAAAGUAAAAUAAGCAUAACAUGUGUUUUGAGUUUAAAAGUCUGGAUAAGAAAAUAAUAAUCCCCAUAAUCAAUAUAUUGUGCUAUUGGAAAUGUUGUGAUAAAAAGUACAGAAUUCAUGAUUCCAUUGAGUUUUUCUUAGGAUAAGAGAGUAAAGACUACGCUGAUUAUUUCAGGCCAAUCUCGGGACGAGUUUGGAAUAAAGUUGGGGAGGUUUGAUAAGUCCAUUUUAUGAAUGUACUAAAUUGUUAUAAAUCUGUUGAAUUGAUGUAUAAUUGUCCAAGAAUGGCACUACUUUGAUGAGUUGUUGAACUUCAUAUACAGGUCAAUAUAUUGUACUAAAAGUGGGCGGAACCUGCAAGUAAAACAGUGCUAAAGGAAUGAAGAAACGUUGCUGGGAAAACUGACCAUGCUUCAAUGUUUUGGUCAUAACUGAAGUUCCGCAGCUCUAAUUGACAUGAGUAAAGAAGUUCUGGAAACUAGACAAGAUUUUCUACAACUUUUGUGUUUUGUGUUUCUGCUAGUUAUGUCGUUUUGACCACCAAAACUUAAACGAAAGAUGAAGGAUGCCUCCAGGCGUCUAAGACAUCCCCUAGGACGUCCACAUCAAACGGUCAGCAUCUGGCCGUUAUUUCAAAGCAGAAAAGAAGGAAGAACCCCCGUCAGCGUCUUACAUGGCGUCAAAGAUGUCCCCUAGGACAUCUUGGCAUUUUGGGGAUGUCCCGUGUUGGAACGGUGUGUUUCGGAAAGUUUAGAAAACAAGGCAGGACGUCCUAGAACGUGUCUAAGACGUCUCCUAAUACGUUUGACGUUUUUGGCCAUUUUUUAGUGUAUUUCAAGGACGACAGAUGGCAUGCAAGGACGUACAAAGAACGCCUGGGCGUUAUACACGACAUCUAAGAUGUCUGCUAGGACGUCCAACAUCCCACAUCCCCCAAUUUCAUUAUUUUUUAUCUCACACUAUAAAUACGAGCCUAUGAAUUCGUUUUUAGGGUUACCACCUCCGAUUUUCAGAGUUUUUCAUGUGUUUUUGAGGCUUCUAAAACACUUGGAAACAUUUGAAAACACAAAUCCAUUCCAUUAAAAUCCGGAUUCAAAGCAAGACUCAAUUCAAUUCAUCAUCAAGCUAUAAGUGAAGAUCAUUUCAUUGGUUAAUCUUCAUCAAUUCUUUAUUUUCCAGAAUUAUUUCUUCUUCCCCAAGGUUUAUUUUUUCUAUAAUUUGAUAAUCAUUAGGCUACAUUUGUUUGAUGAUUCUACAUUUGUUUAUGAAUUCUAUUAUGCAUUUUAUUCAUUUCAAUCAAGUUAUUUGUUUUAUGAACUCAAUGGAAGGCUAAAUCAUUAGGGUUACUUCUGGGGAUGUUUAGGACUUUUUGAUGAACAUAAUUGAUUAUUACUUGAUUUUAGUUAAUUCAAUUGUUGUUUUAUGCUUCAUGUGAUGAUCUUUUAGUAAUGAUAAUUGAAAUUGGGUUGUAUGAAUUGUUUGAUGUCAUAAUUAAGAUAGUCUAUUGUCAAUUCAUCAUUUGUUCCAAGUUCACUUAGUUUAGGAAUAAAGACAAGUGACUGAAUCAACAUAUAUUAUUCCAACUUAUGAUAUUGAAUCUUAAUGCGGUAAUAGGUAGUUGUAUGAUAUUUUAUAGCUAGUCCACUAAUUGUUCUUAAUCCAUUUAGGCAUAAAGGAGUAAGACAACUAGUUAAAUGAAAAUUUAGUGUGCCCAAACUAUGUAUUACAAGUUAAUAAACCCCAAUUGUAUCUAAGUAAUUGAAUUAGGAUUUAAGGGAAGAAAGUGUGUGAAUUUAAACUAUCCAUAACUGAACCGGAAGUACUCUAGUUUUCUCAUUGAAAUUUUCGUUUUAAUUAAUAAAUUUCCAAGCUUUUUGUUUGAUCUUUGCUUUAAUUUUUUUUCGUGACAAUUUCUAGUAGUUUGUUUUUUUUCGUUGACUAUUUUAACACAAAAUUUGACGACAAACUCCUUGCGGAUUCGACCCUUACUUACCCUAGCUAUCUAGUGGUUUUGAGAUUAUUCUUGACUGAUACAACGACAUUGAUCAUCGUGCCAAAACCCUAAAGAGACCGAUGUGCCUGGGGCCCAAUUUGCUCUUCUUCCUGAAUCGGAUGACACCUUUCCAAUGUGACAAGUUCAGGGGGACCAUAUCCCUAACCUGAAACUCUAAAUCUGAUUGGUGCUUGUCGGCAUAGCUCUUCUUCCGGCUCUAAGCUGUCUGGAGCCUACUCCAAACUGCUGAAUCAACUUGGUAGUCUUGAGUACCGCUUUGGUACUCCCCAUUAGUAGCUGACCGUCCUCACCCCAACAUAUCAUGGUACUGCAUUUCUUUCUAUAGAGCAUCUCAAAAGGAGGUCGAUUAAUGUUGGCGUGAUUACUAUUGUUAUACAAAAACUAUUGGAUUAGGUGUCUAAGACCAUAACUAUUUUGGUAUGUACUUGACCCGAUUGUGAGCAUGGUCCUUUUGGGUUGCCUUCACCAUAGCAACUGAUGGGAUGAAUUAAGGAGAAAAAGGAUUAAUUAUGAUUUAUUAAUAUAUUAUAUGAAUAAUAUAUUAAAAGAGAAAUCAUAUUGUUUAAUUAAUAUUAGUCAAUAAUUCAUUUUGUGGCUAAAAGAGAUUAAUUAAAUAAAGGGGACUGAUAUUGCAAUUAUAUGAUAGUUGCAAAUUGGGCUAUGGAUUCCUAAUGGAAAUCGGAUUGGACAAAAUCUAUGGGAAGCCCAUAUGGAUUUCGUCCAAGGGCUUUCCAAGGGAACUCCAUGGGUUGCUUAAGGCGUAAGCAGUGAGAUUAGGGUUUCCUGAUUCAAAACCCUAAUAGCCUAAGUAUAAAAGGAACCCUUGGCAAGCCAAAAACGUCCCUAACCUUAUAAGAGAAACCCUAGGACGUUUUUGGUGCCUCCUCCCUCUCUCCUUGUUCAUCUUGUUACAUAUGGUGUUUGUGACUCCAUUAGAGGUGCAACAUUUGAGGCACUAGGCUUUCAGAAGUCAAUUACAAGAAGGAUUCGGAUUGUUAUUGCAACAUAACAAUCAAGGUAAGAUCUAAAAUCUAUCCUUUUGUCAAUUUUGAUUAUUGUAUACUAGAGUUAGGGUUUAUGAGCUUUGGAUGAUUAUUACGUAUAUCAGACAAACUAGAUCCAAAGCUUUAGGGUUUGCAUGUACACCAUAGGAUUGACGUAGUGCUCAAAACCCAUCAAAAACUACGCCAAAGGGAUAUAUGUAUCCCAACUCCCACCAAAAUCCAGAACACACGCCCGAAGCAUAUCCUCCAAGGUAUGAAUAGUCCUCUCGCUCUGACCAUCAGUAUGUGGGUGGAAAGUCGUACUGAAAUGCAGAUGAGUACCCAGCUCGUCGUGGAACCUCUUCCAAAAUCUGGAAGUAAACCGGACGUUCCUGUCUAAAACCACAAAACGGGCACACCAUGAAGUGCCACUACCUCCCUGAUGUAUACCUCAGCUAACUUCUCUGAGGAGAUACUAUCUUGAGUCGGAAUAAAAUGUGUGAACUUGGUCAAUCAAUCCACGAUGACCCAAAUCGAAUCCACUCUAUGUUCACUCUAAGGCAACAUCGUAAUGAAAUCCAUGGUAAUCUCCUCCCAUUUUCAAACAGUGAUAUCUAACGGUUACAUCUUGUCGUGAGGCCACUGAUGCUCGGCCUUGACUUUCCUUCAAGUCAAGCAUCUCUCCACGUACCAAGCUACAUCCCGCUUCAUACAGGGCCACCAAUAAUCAGGAUGAAGAUCAAUAUACAUCUUCGUCGUGGUGGGAUGAAUGGAGAAUCUCAAUUUGUGUGCCUCCUCCAUCAGAACUUGACGCACACCAGCCCAAUCGGAACCCACACUCUUCGAUGGAGAUUCAAUAACCCUUGGUUUUCAUAAUAAAAGGAAGCCACCUGACUCACUGUGCGCUCACUCUUCCCAUCACAACCUCAACCUGAGCCUCUCAAAUCUACUCUAAAAGUGGAGUGAUCACAGUCAUCCUGAAACAAAUAUCCUUGAACGGAGCCGCGAUCGCCUUGCUGCUAAGAGCAUCGGCCACCACAUUAUCCUUCCCCGUAUGGUAAAGGAUCUCACAAUCAUAAUCCUUCACCACAUCCAACCAUUGGCACUGCCUCAUGUUCAUAUUUGGCUGAUCCAUCAGAUACCUCAAGCUCUUGUGAUAUGUCUAUAUAGUACAGCGGGCCCCAUAGAGGUAAUGUCAUCAAAUCUUGAGGGCAAAAACCAUAGCCCCAACUCUAAAUCAUGCAUCGGAUAAUUCGUCUCAUGAUGCUUCACUUACCUUGAAGCGUAAGCGAUCACGUGACCCCUCUGCAUCAGAACUACACCUAAACCUGUGAUCGACGCAUCAUAAUAAACCAUGAAAUCUUCAACACCCUCCGGCAGGGUCAAAAUAGAUGCCUCACACAAUCUUUAUCUUAGGGUCUCAAAAGUUGCAUGUUGGUCGGGCGCCCAGCGAAAAGUGACAAUCUUCUUCGUCAACCGAUUUAGAGGAACCGCUAUCUUGGAGAAAUCCUAAAUGAACCUCCGAUAAUAGCCUUCCAACUAAGGAAACUCCAAAUCUUAGAUGGAGACCUCGGUACCUCCCACCUCAUCACGGCCUCGACCUUGGCCGGAUCGACCAGAAUACUGUUUUGGUUGACAAGGUGCCCUUGAAACUGCACCUCGUGCAACUAGAACUCGCACUUGGAGAACUUUGCAAAAAGUCUCUCCCUCCUCAAAGUUUCCAAUACCUCCCUGAAGUGCUCCUCAUGUAGCUCCUGGGUCUUGGAAUAGACCAGGAUAUCAUCAAUGAAUAGGGCAUUUUGUAUAAUCAAUUGUUGAUGUUAUUGAAAAUAAUGAUGUUAUUGAAACAUAUGCAUGGCAUGUAUUCCCAAUAAUUAUAUUUAAUUAAUUGGUUGUUGUGCAUGUUAUUAUAUUGGGAACAAAUUAGAAAGUGGUCCAUGUGGUAGUACAUGAUAUGUAUGGGGACCAUUUGUAGUUAAUAGUCAAUGGGUAUUUUUAUAAUGGAAAAAUGGGACCUUUGAACCCAUUAUAGAACCAUAUCCAUGACUAUAUAACAAAUUCACAUGCAUGCACAUUAUUCCAAAUUUUUCCAUGCAUAAAUAUUCAAACCCAUUGGUCAUGAGUUUACUUAAAAAGGCAACAUACUUUCAUAAGUGAGUAAAAUAUCAUUUCAUGUCAACAAUUUACUUACAAAGGCAACAUACAUUCAUUAGUGACCAAAAUACCCUUUUAUGUCAUGAGUUAACUUAAAAAAGCAUCACGCAUACAUAAAUGACUAAAAUACCCUUUUAUGUCAUGAGUGAACUUAAAAAGGCACCAUGCAUACAUAAAUGACCAAAAUACCCUUUUAUGUUAUGAGUGAACUUAAAAUGGCACCAUGCAUACAUAAAUGACCAAAAUACCCUUUUAUGUCAUGAGUUAACUUAAAAAGCCACCAUGCAUACAUAAAUGAUCACAUCACAUGUAUUCAAAUACACAUACUUUAAAUCCAAAUUACCAUCAUCCUAAUACACAAACUUAAAAUCCAAAUUACCAUCAUCCUAACACACAUACUUUAAAUCUAAAUAACACAAAGGAAAAAUCAACACUAAUAAAUUAGAAGAGCUUUUCCCUUAGAAUUUCCUGGAUCAUCAACACCACCAACUUUCUUGCCUAAUUUCAACUUGAAGAUUCUCUUUGACUUUCUUCUCCUUAUCCUGUUCAAAAUCUUGGAAAUUGGUCUAACCCUUACCUGUUGAACCUAGAUAAUAGGAGUAACCUCCUAAAUUUGAACAUUAUCAACAACUUGGACAUUAGGAAUAACCUCAUCAUCUUGAACAUUACCACCCUCCUCAACUUCCUCACCCAUAACACCCCCAUCACCUUCAUAACUUCUAGGUGGAAUAACUUGCAUAGACUGACUAAAAUCCCUUGCACUACUGGAUUCAACAUGAGUAGAAGUAACUUGCAUAUCAUUUUGAGUAUUAUCCAUCUCAAUUGGAGUCAUUUAACCUCUUCUUGUUGUUGUGGUUCACUUGUACUACCCUAUAUGGCAUGAUAUAAUUAUGUUAGUGGCAAAUCAUAUGUAAAUAAAUUUAAAUUUUAAAUGGUUUUACCUGUUCUGCAUUUUUCUUCACAUAAACUUUUUGUUUCUUCUGUUUCUUUACAUUUAACUUUUGGGGCCUUCUCUAUGGACAAGUGGCCUUACUGUGACACAUCUCCUUGCAUAUAAUACAUCUAAUUUUCUUUCCAUCCUUAGAAACCCUGUGUGUUCCUGUAUUCUUUGUAGUGGAUUUCUUCUUCUUAGUAGCUGGCCUACCAUGCAUCCGUCUACUAAUAAGAGGCAAUGGUGGAGUAUAAUUUGUCUCUGGCCACAUGUCACUGCCAUUCAUGGGGGAAAUUCUGUAAUUGUAUGCCUUCCGAAUUGUGGUGGUGUUAAACAUGUUGUCUACAUAGGCUUCUACAUCUCUAUUAAGAUUGGAUAUGGUAGCUACAGAAUGAGCAUAUCCAUAUCCAUUUAACCGCCACAACCUACAUGAACAUGUUUUCCUUUAUAAGUCCACCUCAUAUGCAUCUGUUUCUCCCUUACCUCGAACUGGUUUAAUCCACUAGGUAGUACCUGAUAAUGCCUCUGAAUUUUUUAAGCAAAUUCACCUUAUCCCUUAUCUCUGGACAAAUAUUAUUUCCCCAUUGUUGUCCCUUUAAUUUCAUGUUGUACAUUUUGUCCAUCAUGUAUAAUCUUAACUCCUCUAACAUGGUUAUUAUGGGCUUCUUCCUGGUAUCCACUAUUACAACAUUAAAACUUUCAGAGAAAUCAUUUUCAACUGCAUCACAACACCUUCCAGCUUGAAAGUAAGCUCUUGACCAUGUUUUAAGAUCUUUCUCCAUGAGAUAUUGAUGGGCAUCUGGGUUUAAUGUCUCAAUUUCCUUCAUCACAACUUUAAAAGCAUGCUCAUUUGUGGUUUUAGAUGCUCUCCAAAACAAGGUAUGAUAUAUGACACCAGUGAAUCUCUUCUGCAAAUUUUGAAAAAUAUGUCUAGCACACUGCCUGUGCAUAUGGAAGAAACUCUUUAACAGCCUCUAUCAAACCUUGUAUUAAUAAAAAGGUUUAAAUCAGAUAGUAUAAAAUAAAUAUAAAUGAAUUACUAUGUAAAAUACUAACCUUAUGUUGGUCUGACAUUAAACUGAAGCAAUUGCCUAAACUUAAGUUUAGAUUAUUAAUGAGAAGCUCUAAAAACCACUUUUAAUUCUACUUGUUCUCCACACUAACCAUUGCCCAAUCAAUAGGAUAUAUCUUGUUAUUUACAUCCCUCCCAAUAACACAAAGCAAUCCCCCCUUACAAACACCUUUAAGAAAACAUCCAUCAAGACCCAUUAUCCUUCUACACCCUUUAAUCCAACCUUGUUUAAUUCCUUGAAAACAAACAUAGAACUUGCUAGAAUAUUUCUUUCCAUCUGGACCAUCCUCCACAUCUAGUUUCACAGUUGACCUAGGAUUUGUCCUUAAAAUCUCAUCAACAUAUUACCAUAGCUUACCAUAAUGUUCAACAAGGCUACCUUCAACAAGAUUUAAUGCAUACUUCUUUGUUCUCCUACAUUAGCCCAUACUAACUUGGAUACUAAACUUGGUCAUUACCUUUACCCUAAGCUUCCUUACACUCAUUUUAUGACUUUGUACAAUCUCUUUGGUAUAGUGACUCCCAAUCCAUGCAUAUGUCACCAAUAAUCCAAACUUGAAGUUCCUAGCACAAUUAUGAUAAGCUUUUUGUGACUUGAUUUGGAAAGUCUCUCCAUCAUUCAUCCAAGAAGCCCAUAAUAUAAAUGUGCAAGCACCCUUGCUACAUCUCACCAAAAGUCUUUUCCUAUCAUAUUUUUUCAAAACACAAUUGAUAUCCAUUAGCCACAACAUAGUUGCACAACCUUGACUUUACUUGCCCUGGACCCUUAGAUCUCAUUCCUAGAAUUGGUUUUUGUUUUUUCCAGUGUAAUAGCUCAUUAAAUAUGGAAAUAGUUUGGAUGUUAGGUUCAACUUCUCUCCCAUUAUCAUCAUCUACAAUGUUGUUAUCCUCCUCAUCAUCAACACACAACUUACUCACGAAAGGAUCAUUUGAUGUCCUAUUCAUAUGCACUGCAUCCUUAUUAAAUUCAAAGACAACAUUCCUAAGUUCAUCUAUGUUAUCUUCAUCUAUGUUAGCGGCGCAGCUUUUUGCCCGUUUGCCUUCAAUCGAUAUGUAUUGAACAAAAAUGUUUGAAUGUCUAUCAAUACAAGGCUCAUGUUCAUCAUCAAACCACCCACCAACACCAACCCCAAUAUGAUCCACAUAAACCGAAAUUACACCAUCUGUUCCAUCAACAUCAAAAAUAAAAGCAGCAUAGUCCACAUCAUCUGAAAAUGGGAUUAAGCUCUUCCAUCAGGGAAUUGCCUGGUUUACAGUAGUAAAACUUUUUACACUCUUCAUGCAUGAAAUGUUCACAGAAGGUCACAAGCUCAGAAUAAGUCAUAGAAGAAAAGUCGACAUCAGUGAACAUGGUUUUCACACCACCAGUGUAAGAGAAAGGAUUUCGAUUAAAUACCCCUUGGUAGUUGAGUUCCACCAUCACAAACACUCCAUUAGGUUCCGAUUGUGCCAUUUUUGCGACUUCUUUGGCUCUUCAGCUCGAUCACAAAAAUGCUUCACAAAACCUAAAUCAAUUUCUUUUAAAACUAAAUAAUGAAGACGAGUGAAGUUCGAUAGCUGAAGACAAAAGGCUUAAAGCUUCGUAUAUCAUCUAUUGAUGUGGCAUAUCUCACAUGGCAUCAGAUUAGCUAAAAAAGAUAUAUUAAUUGACAUAUAUAAAAUGUCAACCAGGAAACCGUUUACAAGUAUGGAAAUGACUAAAUUAAUAAGUCAGAUACCAUUUUAAUGGUCUAAUGUACCCAAAAAACUUUAAUGACCAAAUUAGCCAAAUGUAAAAAGUUUCAUGUGCUACAGUGACAUUAUCCCUGAUGGGUUUUGAGCAUUCUAACACUCCUAUGGUGUACAUGCAACCCUAGAAACCUUGGAUCUAUGUUUGACUAAUAUACAUGCAAAUAAUUAUUUUCCAAGGUUCUUAUCCUAUCUAGCAUGGCAUGGGAACUUGAAUCAAAUAGAGCUAGUAGAAUUACUUACCUUGUAGUUGUUUAAAGCUUCGUAUAUCAUCUAUUGAUGUGGCAUAUCUCACGUGGCAUCGGAUUAGCUAAAAAAUAUAUAUUAAUUGACAUAUAUAAAAUGUCAACCAGGAAACCGUUUACAAGUAUGGAAAAUGACUAAAUUAAUAAGUCACAUACUAGUUUAAUGGUCUAAUGUACCAAAAAAACUUUAAUGACCAAAUUAGCCAAAUGUAAAAAGUUUCAUGUGCUACAGUGACAAUAUCCCUGAUGGGUUUUGAGCAUUCUAACACUCCUAUGGUGUACAUGCAACCCUAGAAACCUUGGAUCUAUGUUUGACUAAGAUACAUGCAAAUAAUUAUUUUUCCAAGGAUCUUAUCCUAUCUAGCAUGGCAUGGGGAACUUGAAUCAAAUAGAGCUAGUAGAAUUACUUACCUUGUAGUUGUAGUUGAUUGCUUGGAGUUUUAGAGCCUAGCACCAAUAGUGUGGAUGCCUCAAAUGUAAAUCACAAAUCACUACAAACUUGGAACUUUGAGAGAAUAGUAACCACCUUUCUUGAAAUCGGCCCUCUUACUUUACUCACCACAACUAGUAUGAUUUCAAGAACCAAAGCCUCCUUUAUAUAGUGUGGUGGAUUAGGGUUACAUCCAUGUAAACCCUAAUACCCAUGUCUUUUCAUUUCCAUGAGAUCCAUGGGUUAAAGCUCCAUGGAGUAUCCAUGGACUUUCCAAGCAAGCCUAGCCCAUUCCAAAUAAGCAUUAGCCCACACUAUAUAAAUAUAAGAGCCCAUAUUUAAUUAGUAAUACUUUUGAUCUCUAAAUUAAUUUUAGAUUAAUUAUAGAUCAAUACUAAUUAAAUAAUAUGGUUUUAUAUUAAUAUAUUAGAACUUAUAAUAUAUUAAUAAAUCAUAACUUAUACUAUUCUCAAAAGAUUAUCCAUAAAUUGUUCGGGUGAAGUGCAACCCAAAUGGACCAUGACGGGUCGGGUCAAGUACAUACCAAAUAUAGUUAUGGACUUAGACACUAUAUCCAACAAUCCCUACAUAAAGUCAUAUGUAGUCAAGGAUCAGAUAGAUAAUCGAACAUAUGACUCACCUAAGAGCGAACAAUCAGAAAAGAACAUCACAAUCAAGCCUUAGAUCAAGAGUUAUCAGUCUAUCCAACUUAAACUAGAUAGACCUAAGAUAUUAUUACCACCUAACCAUGUGACAUAAACAUUUAACAGAUACUAGCAUAUUUAUACACUUAGCAACUAUCCUUCCCUAGUUACCCUGUCAUUGAUCACUUCUCAAUCAAGUGAUCAUCUGGUCAGUCAUGCAUAAUCAUGAUAAUUGACCUACCCCAAUUUCCCUAACUAAACAUAACUCAUAACAAUAUCAUACAAUAAAUAGGAAAGACCUCACAAGAAUAGCAUACCCAGACACCAAGUGUUCUAAACUGCACAUGCAUAUCCUAGCCAACUAGCAUAUUUGUACUCUAACAGUAUCUCCAUCCUAUCAUGCACAGGAUAUAUAAUGAGAUAUGUGGCAUACUAUGAAACUCACCUGAACUGAAGAACCGGAGAAGCACAACAACACUCUUACACAUUUCACUACUCGAUCAUGUGAACCAAUUAACACCAAAAUAGAUAAAUCCUCAAUCAAUAAUCCAAAUCCUCCAAGUUUGACCCUAAGUCAAACUGGUCAAAAGUCAAUAGUCGAUGUAACGCCCAUGUUUCUUUCCAGACAUUAACUAAAUAAUUAGGGUCAACAAUCACCACAACGUGGUAACCUCUUGGCCACAUCCUGGGAAUUUCCAUACAAAAUAGUUACGAAGCUUAGGAUCACCAUGUCGUUGCAAGCCUAUUGCCACGUCGUGGAAAUUCACAGGAAGUCAUAUUCUUCAUUAUGAGCUUAAUGCUUACAGAUCUAAGCUCAAACUUUCAUAUUUGAUUCUUCUUGAUGAAUUAAUGGAUCUUAAACCAUAAGUCUAUUAAGUCUUUAAUAUGACCAAAACUAGAGCAUGGAGAAAAGGGAGCUAUGAAUUAACGCUUUUUCCAUCAAACAAGACCAAAAGAUGGUCACCAAACAAUUCUAAAGUUCUGGAGUUGGCCAAAACUCCAAGAAAAUGCCUUCAAGGGACUUCAAAGCAUGAUAUGAGAGAAAAGGAUGAUAAAGGUGGAAGCUUUAUACCUUCCCAAAAUCCACAAGACAUAGGAGAUGCAAGAUCUGAAGUAGAUACACCAUUCAAACUAGCAAACACACUGUCGUUUCCUUCCCAAAGUGCAACCCAAGGCUUCAAACUUCAAGAACUCCAAGAACUCAUCAAUAUCACUCAAAUAGGGCUAGGGUUUCGAAAUAGGAGGAUGGAGACUGAGGGAAAUGAGCUAACCCUAGAGUUAAGGCCAUUAAAUAUGGGAGAAAAUAUAAAAAAAAAAAUUAUGUGCUUGGGCUACAGCACUCACAACGUCGUGGCAACCCUCUAGUCAUGUCGUGGUGCUCUUCAAAAUGUGCGUUCCCGAAAAUAUGUGUCACGUCGUGGUCAUCCAUGCACCAUACCAAGGCAUAGAUUUUUCUCCUAAAACCCCAUCUUUGAUCCUAUUAGCUCUUUAGUUAAACUAUUAUAGAAAAUAGGUGUUAUAGCCACCAUUCCGAGUUCCUUCUGUGACUGCUAAAUUAGUGUUUGGCGGGUUGGGGAGCCCGACUUCUUUCUCUUAUAUCUUCACAUAUAUAUAUAUAUAUAUAUAUAUAUAUAUAUAUAUAACAUUUUUUUUUCAAAAGUGUAAUACUAUCAAGGGAAAUUGACUUAUCAGGGUAAUUACUGUUUUGUUUUGUUCACAUCGGGGUAACUCUUUUUUUAGUACACAUCUAGGUAACAAACUUUUUGUAAGUGUUCACAUGUGACCAUUAUAAUUGGUUGUAGCAAGUUACAACCGAACGUAAUUGUCAUAUAUGAACACUUCCAACAAGCUCGUUACCUCGAUGCAUACAAAAAAAUGAAGUUACACAUAUGUGAACAAAACGAAAAGGUAAUUACCCUGAUAAGCCAAUUUCCCUUUUUAUUAAGGUGGCAAAUCAUAAUGUUUGUAAUAUUAAUAUAUUCAUUUAAAUUUCUUUAAAACAACAUUUGUAACACCCGGAAUCUAGAAGAUUAAUUAUGGAAACAAAUUCCCUUACCUAAGUAAAAACACGAUGAGUUGAUGGUGGGAAACUCGAUGUGUUGGAGGUUUUUGGGACACACGUUUUUAUGAACCAACUCGGUGAGUUGGUGAAGGAAAAUCGGCGAGUUGGACACUGACUGAGAAACCCUAAUUUUUAGGGUGUUACACCCUAUUUAAAGACCUUAAGUUCUUUAGCUGGCCUCCUUACCGGCCUCCUCUAUCCAGAAACCCUAAAACUGAGCCUUGUCUUCCAUUUAUGAGUGUGAAAGCUUGGGGAGAGCCUUGAGAGUUCAUUUUUGGUGCUUUUUGAAGGAGCUAAGGAAUUAGGAGUUGCUUGGCUUGAAGAAGAAGUCUUGGAUCCAGAAUCUCUGCCUCAUUUGCCAAGUUUUUGAGGAAUCGUGUUCUUACCUUGCUUAUUUGUUGCUUAGAUCUCUUCUUGGGUUAGAGUUUAUGAUUUUUAGCCAUUUUGGGUGAAUGUUGGGGAUUAGGAGGUCCCAAGCAAUUAUUAUUUCAGAUAUAAGGGCUAGCGGCGCUGCUUGUUGCCCGUUCGCCUUCAAUCGAUAUGUAUUGAACUUUCAUUGGAGUAUAUUUUCUUAAUAUAAAUAUAUAAUAGAUAUAAGGUCUACAUGAGCUCUUUAGGCAUAAAGGUGCCAACUUUAUGGAUUUAAUGGCUUCAUGUAUUCAUUAAGUCUUUCAGUUAGCCCUUUUUGAGCUUUUGAUCACCUCCUAGUCAUGCUUAAGUGUAAAGUUGGAAACUUUACACGGCCAUCUAGCCUUAUGGGGACAGAUCUGCAUUAUGGGUUUUAUCUUUGAUGAUUAAGUGAUUAAUGAUUAAGCCUUCACUCUUUUAAGUUUAGGGUUUGGGUUUGGACCCAUUAGGUGAUUCCUAGGGGUAAAGUUGGAAAAUUUACCCUUCUUGAUCUCAUUUUGGUCGAGAGCAGAGCUUUGGAGCCUUUGGACUCGAUGAAGGUACCUUAAUGCAUUAAGAUGUUGGUUCUUGAGAGAACUCGGCGAGUUGACUUGGUUUCCCCGAUUUGUGUAGUUGAUGGAGAAACUCGACGAGUUGGGUUAACUUGGACCGUUGACUUUGACUUUCGAUUUAUGUCUUUGAACAAGUUUGUCCCAAUGGGUACUUGAGGUAAUCUGAAUUGUAAUUAAGGGAAUUAUGAGAUUAGGAUAAGGCCCAUAUGGGGUUGGUCCCAAUUUGGAAAAUUGGGCCAUUACUGGGCCUUUGCGGAUCUUUUGGUUUUGGACUUUUUGGUUAAUGGAAUUUGGGCCUCAGUUUUGGUUCAUGACGCGUUAGGGUUAAAAUGGUCAUUUUCCCCCAAGUAUGGAUGGAGGGCUUUAGAAUGGAACCCAAUUGCUAAUUAGGUGUUAUUUUGAUCUCAUAGCUCGGAGGUCUCAUCAGGGCAGCAGCUAGGGACUUCUUUCUGUGAGUUUCUGCGUUCGAGGUGAGUCUCCUUACUUUUCUAUGGUUUGAAGGCAAUAAUGACGGCCCAUUUGGUUUAUGUAUUAUAGGAAGACCUGGGGGAUAAACCUUGGCAGUUUGUAUGAAAGACCAGGAGGCGGCUCCUGGCAAACUGUAUGCAAGACCAGGGUCUGAACUCUAGCAGUUGACUAGUUAAGUAGUGUAGAUUUUAUACUAUUUGUCUUUGUGACACUUUCAUGGAAGACUCGAAGGUGGAUCCUGGCACUUGUCUGUAAGACCUAGGUUUUUGGCCCCCGGCCUGACAAGGAAGACCACAAGGCGGCUCAUGUCAUAAUGGCAAGACUAUGGAUGGCACAUAUCACCUUUACUAAUUGGGGUAUAUGUAUGCUAAGUAAGACUCAGUGAUAUUAAUGUUAUUUAUAGUUUUGAGUUGAGUUUUCUCCUGCGAUUGAGGUGCAACAGUUGGUGCGAGAGUUUCUGGAUCUCUGUCAGACUACUGAGACUGUGGCAGAUUGUGGAAGGGUGGAAGUGAUGUAAGACUGAGGGGUGGCCCGUAGCAUUCACUAGUUAGAAGUUGGUAUAAAAAUGUUGUAAGACUGUGGGGUGGCACGUAGCAUUCACUAGCGAUCAGAUAGUGUGGGAAGUGUUGUAAGACAGAGGGGUGGCCCGUAGCAUUCACCAGUCCCUAUACAGCGGUGAGAGUGUGGCAAAUUUGUGAUUUGCUCACGGUUUUCUUCGGAUGAUUUUGGCCAGGAUGGAUCAGUUCGCAAGGCUAUGGGAAGGACACAACAUGUUUGGAAUCAAGAUAUGGGAGGUCGUGGGAGACCGGGUUUGAGGUAAGACUAUAGUUGGUCUGUAACGUUCAACCUAGUAUCAGAUUAUUGACGAGACGGUUUGGGUAGUUAUUGCCAGUGAGGCUUUUUUUCAAAAGUUGCGAUGGGCGAUUGUGUGGAGUUUCAAAAGCAGCUACGAGGCAACAAGCUGUUUUGGGCAGUAUUAGUGAUUUUUGGGCAGUAUUUUCGGGUAGUACUAGUCAUUUGGAAUUUGUGUGUGAAUAUGUAAUUUUUCAAACAAUUUUUUUUUCAUUUAUAAAACUCAUAAAAACUCAUAUAUUUCAUUUCAUAAAAUCACAAGUGUCUCAAGUCAACAUAAAUCCACAAGAAAAAUCAAAUCCUAGAAUCCUCAACAUAAUCUCGAACAGGUGUGUACAAUCACGUCGGUGCCUUCCCGCGAUCCUCGGAGGUACUUGAAACACAUAUCACAUAGCACGGUAAGCAUAAAGCUUAGUGAGUUCCUCAAAAUACCAUGCACACACAUAAUUAGCCACUCGAGGCUAUCGCUCUGUAAGACCCUCCGGUUAAUGUGUCUUAGCGAGACCCACCAGUCCUACAAAUCGUCAGACCCUCCGGUCCGGUCUAAGUGAGAACCCUCCGGUCUCACUACUCGUUGGACCCUCCGGUCUAGUCUAAGUGAGGACCCUCCGGUCUCAUAGUUCGUUGGACCCUCCGGUCCGGUCUAAGUAUCUCAUAAUAUAGUACACAGUAUAUAUCACACAGAAAUACAUAACUCAAGCAAGCACAUAAGACCCUCUGGUCACACAUAAUGACCACACUAGGUAAGGUAUAAUGAGAAGACUCACCUCCUAAGAACUCGGAUAAUCUCAAACUCAAAUCACAGGUUUAGCCUCCGCCUAAUAUACACAAUAAUUAUCCCUAAUUAAUAACGGCUCUCACAAGGCUGAACUAACCCUUCCAUACACUCACAGAAGGGUAAAAGACCAUUUUACUCCUCCAUGGGCUUAAUAGACCACAUGUUGACCAAACCCUAAAAGUCAACCGAAAGCCAACAGCAAGGAGUACGCUGUGCGUACCAACUCCCUACGUUGGGCAUACUCGGCUGCCAUGCAGGCAUCGUGGAGACUCGACCUCUACGUUGUGCGUACUGGGAUUAUGCCCAGCGUACAUCCUAGUUUCACUCUCCUCACAAUUUUGGUCUUAAACAGUUAAUACAUUGGCUCAUAAUUCAGAUCUGGACUCCCUAAUGUCUCUUAAUCCAUAAAGUUGGUGACUUUAAGCCUUUGCGUGGCUAAAUAGGUCACAAACACUGAAAACUCCCAUCCCCUUUCCUCAUGAAACUCAUAACUCAUGCAUGGCUUACUCCUAAUGUCCAAGAUUAGAUUUUUAUGACUUUACUCCACAAAAUACACUGAAAAGGGAUAGAUCAAGGCCUCUAGAGUGCAUUAUCUCAUAAAGUCUCCAUCUUUUGGGAAAAAACCCUAAAGUAAUUCAUAUGAAUGCACCAAACAAACAAAUGAGAAAGCUUGAAGAUUUAUACCUUUAUGUGAAACCUUCUUCACAGCUAAGCUCAGAUCCAACUCCUGGGGCUCUCACUCCUUCUUCUCUAAAGCUUCCUCUCUACUUCAAGAACACAAGAUUACACCAACAAGCUCUCAAAUGCACUCUCCAGCUAUAAUGACGGAGAUUUAGGGUUAGGAGGGGUUGGUGUUUGGGAAUGGUGGCCAGGAAUGAGGCCAUCAUGUCCUUUAAAUAGUGAGCUCAUUAAAAUUUAGGGUUUCAUUAUGGGCCUAGCAUGCCCAGCGUACCCACUGGUACGUCGCGCGUACUAGGUGGCCUCCACAUCACUAACACGCAUUGGAGUAUGCUGAGCGUACACUCAAGUACGCCCCGAAUACUCGUUUACCACCUUUUCUCUAAUAAGGCCAAAAUGGACAAAUGCUCAAUAGAUCAAGGUUUACAAGGUAUACCUGGACUUGGGAUGUUACAUCGUGUGUGAGUCUCUUGUAGUUCGGGGAAUAUAAUAAGUUGCUUGUAGUGGAUUAAAUAAUCUCAGAGUGGUUGAUUUGAUUCUAUUGCGCAGUUCUCGUCUGAGUCUAACCAUUGCAGGGAUGAAUCUUCUACUCAAAGGAUUAUCUGAGCCUAUUGUCGAGUAUAAGUGUUCUGUAGCUGCAAAUGAUCUGUUUUUUGGUUCCUUUAAAAGCAUUAAGAUAUUGGUUUUAUAGUGGUUCAGAGAGGGGGAGGGGGUGAUCAGCCAGGAAGUCAAAUCAAAUUGAGAUUUCAGGUAUCAGGAAAGGUAAAGGUGGGUUUUUCUGCAAGGGAUUAAGGUUCGUUCUGCUAGGGUUGGUUUCAGUUGCUAUGGGAAGGUGGUAGUAUUAUGGGGUUGUGAAGAUGAGUCCUUAUGGGGACAGUGUUAUCUGGUGCUAUCUGUCAUGGAGUUCGGCAAUGUCCAGGGUUUUCCAGGUUCAAGUUUAAUGGUUAGGGAUCUUCUAUUUUGGAUUUGUCAUCGGUAUGGGUGGGCGGUUAUCUAAGCGGGGUGACUUCCUUAGUCUUUUGGGGUUCAAGGAGUUUAGUCAGGAUCAUCAGUUCGGUACACGAGAUUUUAGGGAAUGAUUUCGAGGAUGAAAUCUAAUUUAAGUGGGGGAGAGUUGUAACAUCUGGAAUUUACAAGAAUAAUUGUGGAAAUAAAUUCCCUUUCUAGGGACCAACACGGCGAGUUGAUCGUGGGAAACUCGACGUAUUGGAGGCUUUUGGGAUGAGCGUUUUUAUAAACCAAUUCAAUGAGUUGGUGAAGGGAACUCGGCGAGUUGGACGCUAAUCGAAAAACCCUAAUUUUUAGGUUGUUGUACCCUAUCUAAAGGCCUUAAGUUCUUUGGUUGGCCUCCUUACCAGCCUCCUCUGUCCAAAAACCCUAAAAUCGAGCCUUAUCUUCCAUUGUUGAGUGUGAAAGCUUGGGGAGAGCCUUGAGAGUUUAUUUUUGGUGCUAGUUGAAGGAGCUAAGGAAUUAGGAGUUCCUUUCCUUGAAGAAGAAAUCUUAGAUCCAGAAUCUCUGCCUCAUUUGCCAAGUUUUUGAGGUAUCAAGUUCUCACCUUGCCUGUUUGUUUCAUAGAUCUCUUCUUGGGUUAGAGUUAAUGCUUUUUAGCCAUGGUUGGGUGGAUUUUGGGGAUUAGGACAUCCCAAACGAUUAUUAUUUCAGAUCUAAGGUAUAUAUGAGCUCUUUUGGCAUAAAGGUGCCAACUUUAUUGAUUUAAGGGCUUCAUAGAGUCAUUAAUUCUUUCAUUUAGCCGUUUUUGAGAUUUUGUGCUCGUCCUAGUCAUGCUUAAGCGUAAAGUUGGAAACUUUACAUGGCCAUCUAGCCUUAUGGGUUCAGAUCUGCAUUAUGGGGUUUUGUCUUUGCUGAUUAAGUGCUUAAUGAUUAAGCUAUCACUCUUUUAAUUCUAAGGUUUGGGUUUGGACCCAUUUAGGUGGUUCCUAGGGGUAAAGUUGGAAACUUUAACCUUCGGGGUCUUAUUUUGGUCAAUAGCUGAGUUUGGAGCUCUUGGAUUCGAUGAAGGUAGCUUAACGCAUUAAGCUGUUGGACUUUUAGAGCUCAUAUCGUGAGUUCGAUCUUAUCCAUCCGCUGAAUCGACUUCUGACAGCCCGACUCUGGAACCCAUCCAUCACUGGCUCACGUCGUGAGCUUCAUGCUCACGUCAUGAGUCCUCUUAUAGUGUGGGGUUGAGUCUUUUACUCGAAGGAUUAUUUGAUCUUUGUUGCGUGUGGCUAUAUUAAUGAGGAAGCUAGUUGACAUUGGUGGGAUUCCUUUAGCAGUUGAGGGUUUGGUGAGGUCGGGAACCUAGGAAAGCCUAGGAUAUGCUUUAGUGGGUUAGUGGUACGGUUUAGUGAGUUUUGGUGCAUUGUGCUGAAGAAGUGACUUAGAGGAUUCGAGAGGAUUACUGAGGAAAGUAUGGAUAGGUGGGCUUUAGAAUGGAACCCAAUUGCUAGUUGGGUGUUAUUGUGAUCUGAUAGCUCGGAGGUGUCGUCAGGGCACUAAUGUCGGCCCAUUUGGUUUAUGUAUUAUAGGAAGACCCAGGGGAUAACCCUGGGCAGUUUGUAUGAAAGACCAGGAGGCGGCUCCUGGCAAACUGUAUGCAAAACCAGAAUCUGAACUGUGGUAGUUAACUAGUUAACUAGUGUAGAUUGUAUGCUAGUUGUCUUUGUGAUGCUUGCAUGGAAGACUCGGAGGUGGCUCAUGGCACUUUUUUGUAAGACCGCAGGUUUUGGCCCCCGCCCUGACAAGGAAGACCACGAGGCGGCUCGUGACAUAAUGGAAAGACUAUGGAUGACACAUAGCACCUUUACUGAUUGUAGUAUAUGUAUGCUAAGUAUGGCUUGUUGAUAUGAAUGUUAUUUAUGGUUCAAUCGGUAUGUUUGGUAUGUGGUAUUUGGGGAACUCAAGAAGCUAUGUGCUUACAUUUUGUGCUUUAUGGUUUCAUGUAAUUCCAUUUUGAAAGGAAAGGGUUCGGCUUAAUCGCAACGCAUACACCCAUGUUUUCCGCAAUGUGUGAUAUUUAGGAAUGAACUCUGAUAAUUGUUUUAUUUUGAAACUCUUCUAGAUGUCGGAUUAAAGGUUAAUGAAUGUUUUGGGCAUAAUAAAAACGAAAUUUUUACCCCUGAUUUUCGGGAUGUUACAACAUUUAUUACCAUUUAUUGACAUUUAAAUUGGCCACGACAUGUUUGAAACCAUUUGUGAUAGCAUAAUUAUCAAAUCAAAUAACUCUAUAUAUUGAGACAAGAGCAAUGUUAUCCAUGUGGAUAAAAUGUAUUUCUAUUUUUUGUAUUUUAAAUUCAUGUAAUACAUGGAACAAAAUUGAAGAUGAUAUUCUAUUUCAUGUUAUUGGUCUCAAUAUCUGACACUUUUAGUAUCUAGUAAAUUUUAAUUUUCAUAUGUAAUAUCUUAAACAAUAAAAUUCUAUAAAAUGACGAUGUAUUUUUUCCAUGUCAAAUGUGAUUUUUUUUUUGUAUCAAAGUAGUGUAUUUUAAAAAGAUAUUUACCAAGUUGGAUUGAGUGACAAGUGGAUUGAGUUAACUGAAAAAAAAAAUUAUUUUUCAUGGGUUAGAAAAGAUGAAAAAAAAAAGUUGAUAUAGAACUCACACCACAUGAAUGAUUUGACACCGUUCUACUCCUACGACCUUUACCCCCAACAUCGAAUUCAUUAUGAUUGUUAGCCUAUCUUACGAGACAGACAUGACCUCCUACUACCAUGUAUACUAAGUCCCACUAUUUAUAACUCUACCCUAUAAAACUCGACGGAGCGCUGGGGUGAAGGGUUACGGGAUCCUUUCCCGCUCACCGGAACANNNNNNNNNNNNNNNNNNNNNNNNNGGGGGGGGGGGGGGGGGAAGGCUGCUGCACUCUCUCUCUCUCUCUUCUUCCUAUUGGCUGGUUUUUUUCCCAAGCGAACUGUUUGAAAUAAAUAACAAAAUUAAUUUUUUUUUCAAUACAACUAUUGAAAAACAACAAUGAAUUUAUAUAUAUAUAAUUUUGUUUUUACCUCUAUAACAUCUAUAAAUAUACACAUACUUUAACCUUUCAAACUCACACCUCCUUCUAUGAAUUUCUCUGUACUUUCUUCAAAAAAAGGAAUCCAUACAACCAAACCCCAAACUUCGAUAGAAGGAAAAAAACCAAUGUUUCAAAUUUAAGCACCCCAACUCGAAACAUUUUUGAUAUCGAUUCAUCUCAAGGGGUUUAUCGUCCACAACUCGAUGCUCACAUUUAAUCUUCACUACAAUCACAAUACCAAAAUAUUAGACAAUUUUACCCGAUGCAAGUUCCAAAUGUUACUCCAAAUAUGCUAUUAAACUUUGUUGUUUUUCCUGAUCAACUUUCGCCAAAUCAACCCCAAACUCAAAUCCCACUCUUUCAAUCUCAAACCCAAACCCAACCUAAGCCCAAACACAAUAUCAACAACAAUACCAAAUCUUCGAUGAGUCGGAUGAAGAGAUUGUACGGGAAACUCAACCCACAACCCCCAACCCCACAAAGUAAAACAACAAGUGAGAGAGGGUUCCAUACAACCGGGACGACAGAAGCCGCAACCAUGGACUAAACGAGAAGAGAUAAUUGGGGUAAAAGCUUGGGUUGACAUUUCAGAUGAUUCAGCGACAGGAAAAUGCACAACCUGAGGAUCAUUUUUGGUUUCACAUUCUUGAGAGGUUUCAUAAGGAGAUGGGAAAAAGUGACGAGUAUCGUACCAAUCAUCAAUUGAAUUCAAAGUUUCGAGAAAUAGCGUGGGCCGUUUCAAAAAUGAGCGGGUGUACAACAACCUAAAAACCUAAUGGAAAAGCAGCCAAGGAGAUGAAGAAAUACUUCAGGAAGUUUUGCAUUUUUUCGAGAGGAAGUGGGAAAGUCAUUCAAGUGCCACGAUUGUUGGAAAAUAUUGAUUAAAAGUCGUAGGUGGAAAAAAUACGAGCAAGAGUUUAUACGUCGAGUACAACAAUCAAAACGAACAAAAAUGAGCUCUAGUGGUUACACAACUUCCUCCGAUGCUCGGGUCGGUCUAGAUUUAAAUGACGAGGACGCACUCGAGCUAGAAGAAAUUGUCCGACCGAUAGGUAGGGACAAAGCAAAAAUGAAGGGAAAUGAGACUUCUUGGGGUGAAUCGAAUUUCAGCAUGGACGCGGACCAAGUGCGAAAAAUGGUGGAGAUAUUUGAUCGAUAUAAUCUUAAUUUUGCUGAAAGUUUUGGCAUUCGACAAAGACAAAGAAGGAGAAAAAAAGAAGGAGAACGCAUAGAAACAAGAAAUGGAGGAGAUGAUGUUAUUGAUGAAAAAUACCGACCAUCUUUCGGGACUAGCUUCGGAGCUCGUUUUGAAAAAAAAAGGUGCGGAUUAUGCAAAAAUAUUUUCCCUAAGAGUGUUGUUUGUUUUUUUUUUCUAGUUAUUUAAAUCUUAGGUUUUUAUGUAAUUUUUAUUAUAAUUAACAAUGGCGGAGUUACUAUAUCAUUAUAAAUAAUAUUUUGUUUCUUAUAAUGAUAAUCUUUCCUAAUAAAUAAAGAACUUUUUGUCACAUGUCAAACUCUCAUUGAUUUGACCACAUGUCAUUUUGUGGUUAUUUUCAAUUAAUUUUUUUUUACACAUGUCAUUUUGGGGUUUUUUCAUUUUAUUAAUUUUCACAUAAUAUUUAAAUGUAAUAAUUACAAUAAAUAUAAUAAUAAAAUGCAUAUCAAUUUUAUUAAUUGACUUCCUUUUAAUUUUAAAAUUUCUAAAUUAAAGUUUCAUUAGUUUCCUUUAUUUAUUUAUCUAAAUUAUUUGUUUAAUUUAAAAGAAAAACAAACAAUUUAAUUUUAAUAAUUAAAUGUUUUUCUAUUGUUUUCUUAUAAAUUCAAACUUGUCAAAUGUUUAAAAUUUUAUAUGUUUUUCUUUAAAAUGAACUCAUGUAAUACAUGAGUGUUACACCUAGUGAUAGAUUAUAUCACGAGUACAAUUCAUUUAAUGAAACAUAUGUACGUAUAAUUAGAGAAAAUUUUUAAUAUUAGCAUGUUAAUCCUCUCUAAAAAAUAAAAAUAAUUUUGCCACAUAUCACUCUUUUAUUAAUUUGGACACAUGUCAUUUUUUGGUAUUUUUGAUUAAAUGUUUUUUCCAUUUGUCAAUUUUUUAUUUUUUAAUAUUUUCUUAAUUAACACAUCAUAUAUACACCUCAAUUAAUAAUUACCUUAAUUGAAAAUAACCAAUAAAUUACAAUAUUAAUAGUCAUAUAGUAUUUAAUAUGUUUCCUUUUAAAUUUAAAUUUUAAAAUUUUAAUUUCAAAUCUAAAAUUUCAAAUUUGAAUAAAAUUUGUUUGAACUUUUAUAUUUAAUUUUUGUUUUAUCAAACUCGUAUAACAUACGGGUCUCACACCUAAUGGAGAAUUAUAAAUCAACGUUUAUUGUCGGUCUAAACUUUUGAAAUGUCAUUUUUGCAAUGAUCGGUAUAACUUCUCCUUAAAGGAAUUUUUAUAGUCAUUUUCUCUUUCAAGAUUGUAGACUCUUUUACAUUAUUUUGAUAAAAGAUAUAUUUGAAUAUAUUUUUACGACGUCGGCUUUCCUUAUUCUUAAAUCCUGGCUCCGUUCCUUUUAAUUAAUGUAGUGGUUUUUAUUUUUAAUUAUAUAUAUAUAUAUAUAUAUUACUUAUUCAUUUAUAAAAUUAUAAAUCAUAAAAUCAAUUAUUUUUACUUAAAAAAGAGUGAUACACCUUUACAAAAUUAUAAACCAUAAAAAUCAAUUAUUUUUACUUAAAAAAUAGUGAAAAAACCUUCCCACAUACACCUUGGUUUCUAACUAAGAAAAAAAAUGUAGGAAAAAGGAUAAAAUGAUAAAGAAAAAUAAUAAAAAAAAAAAUAAAAACCUUCCCGUACCCACCCUCCGGCAUAAGAAGGUGCGUCCCUACGAGUACAAGAUACACAGGUGUAGAUACAUAUGUAAAAAGCUAGUAAUUAACCAACUAAUUAUUAAUUAUUAAAUAAAAUAGGGAUAUAAUAUUAAUGAUAAACACAUUAAAAUAUUCCAAAUGCUCAUGAAGUCAACAUGAGAAAUUAUAUUGCAAUAAAUUUCUUGUUGGGUGAGAAAUUCACAAGUAAAAUUUGUAUAGUAAAUAACAAACCGAAAGUUCCAGAAACAGGUCAAAACUUAAAACCCUAAAUGAGCUUACAAAUUUCCAUUGGCCACAUACCCCACCACAAAGGCACAAACAAUCAAUGAAACAAGUGUAGAUGUAGAGGCCUUUUUCACCACAAUCACCCUUCAUCGGCCAUUUCGAAGGCCACGUGAAAUGUCACUAACGUGGCCCUCUAAAUAUCCACUACUUUGUCUUUAACCCCUCCCCCCUCCCUUAUAAAACACUCCAUCCUCCUCCUUAAUCACCAUCACCAACAACCUUCUCUCCUUCCUCAAAAGUACCACCAUCUUUUCCGACAUGGCAGCUUCUUCAAUCUUCAUGGCAACUCCCAUCACACUCCUCAAAAAAACUCCCACCUUCUCCGUCAAAUGCAUGUCACAAACACCUCAAAGCGGUGAACCGGAGAUUUCAAAAUCAGCAACCACCCCAACACCACCACAGAUCAACAUUCCUCCUCCUCCGCCACCUGCUCCAAAGGUCAGCACGAAAUUCUCUGACGUGUUGGCGUUUAGUGGACCUGCACCGGAGAGGAUCAACGGAAGGUUGGCGAUGAUAGGGUUUGUGUCGGCGAUGGCUGUGGAAGUGAGCAGCGGUCAAGACGUGUUUACCCAGAUCGGCAACGGCGGAGUUGCGGUGUUUGUGGGGACUAGCGUCGUGUUGACGUU